rnacentral:lncRNA from 1 species
CCAACAUUAAUUUUGAAUGGACGAAUUUGUCCUUAUAUAUAAACUAAAAUCAUAAAGAAAAAAAUUUGGUUAUUUACACACUUUGAAAAAAAGUAUGUAGGUAUGUAAAACUCUAAAUAUAUUUUGUUACCUAAACACUUUGGAAAAAAAGUGUUCAGGUAUGAUAAAUUUUUCAUCACAAUCUUCUUUUUCCAUGGUUGGUGUUCUCAUUGCAUCACUCAAAGAUUUUGUCACUCACAAUCAACACAUACUGCUUCUUUCUCCUCUGUUUCAUCCUCUGAUUUUUCUUCUUUAGCAUAUUAUGUAUCCAAUAUUUUCAUUUACAUCUAUGCCGCCAUCAUCAACCCACCACCAUCUUCUUAUUUGUCUUCCUUGUCAAAAUUUGUAGCAGUUUGAAUUGUCAAAAAAACAUAUGCGAAGAUGGUCGUGAAUUCUAUCACUGUGCUGCAAAUUGUAUUAUGGGUUUGAGGAAAAUUGUUGAAAAUUAUGGGUUUUCCAGGUCGUUUUGAAAUUAUGGGUUUGAGGGAAAUUGUAUGCAAUUUAUCUACACAAUUCAUAAAUCUCAAAAAGAAAAUAGAGGGAUUUUAUAUCUGCUACCGGAGACAGGUGACGAAGAACAAAGCAACAGUGGCGGCUAGCAGUUAGCGGCAGAGUAAUUAGAUAGUUUUCUGGUAAAUGGUAUGUGGGGGUGAAGAUGUUUUCUGAAAAGGGUAAAGUUGAAAAUUACUUUUGAAUGUAGGGGUAAAGGUAUAAAUGUUGGGGUAGAAAAAAAAAUUUCCCCAUAACUUAUGCCGUUUUCUUGUAGUGUUACUGUUUUUCUUUUCUAAAAUAUCUUAUAUGAAUUGGCAUAUCUAAUAAUAAUUUUCAUUCCUUCAUGUAUAAUUUGUGGAAUCAUGGUCAUCCAUAUAAAUAAUCAAUAGUACUAAAAUUUCUUUUUUUGGUUACACAAUAUUAAAAUUUCGUUACCUAUCAUAAUUUUCUCAAAUUUAUUUGUUGUAGCCUGUAGGGACGUCAUUGUGUCCUUUUUUGUCUUUUUCUAGUAGGAAGCAAGAAGUGGUGUCACAUAAAACCAUGCGUGUGCACCCCACUAUGAGAACCCACAUUUUUUGCUUGUCAUCAUGCUUGAAAUAUAUAGCUGGCUAGAUAUUUAAAUUUUCAAUUUUUUAAAAUUUUAAAUUAUCAAUCAAUUUAUUGAUUAUUUUGUUAACAUUAACCAAAAAUAACCAAGCAUCAUCAUAUGAAGUACAGAGUGAACAAACAAAAUUGGAUAUUCGUAGGAAGAAGAUCCAGACACAAAAUCUUUGAAAUUGGAUAACUUCACGGAUAUUUUCACUUGCUUUUCACAUGUAUUUUAACAUUUUUCUUAGCAAAGUUUCUGAUAAAGAAAAAUUUAAUUUUUAUACACCGUCAAAAAUCACAAUCAUCAUGUAUGUGAGAGUUGAACUCAAAGAUGAGUUUACUUCUUCUUAAUGGUAUCAACUCCUUUGUUUGUCUUUGAAACCAAUAAUAUUAUAUGGUGUAUCUAUCAUUUGUAAAAGGCAUUUGUAUAAAGAUAUUUGCUUGGUGCAGCAAUUUACUUGCACGUAAAUAUGUAAAUAAAUAAAUAUUGACUUACGUACUUCUUGAAGUUUUUGGGCCACUAACAAAAUAUAUUUGUGAUUAGAAAGUAAGUGGUACAUUUUUUGUUAUUGAAAACUGGCUAUAGUAUCCCCAAUUUUCUAUUGGGGAAUGAGGAUAAAAUUGGAUGUAUACCUCGUCAUCAAUGUGAAGUUAUUAAUUUGUGUGGUUGUGUCAGCUGUUCUAGAUUAUCCAACAACAGUCUAAUAGAUUAAAUAAUUUUUAAUAGCAAAUAAGGUUUAAAAUAAAUUUUAGGUAUUUUUUUUAUCAAAUAAUUUAUUAGUUAAAAUUUCACCUUUUUUUAAGGUGAAUAAGGGUAGUAUUGGAGAUUCGAACUUUAACUAAUACAAAGCUAAUUGAUCAUCUUCACCCAUUUGAUUAGCAAAACUAAAUAUAUAUUAGCUCUGUUCAUAUAAAAAGUUUGAAAUAUCUAAUUAUUCAUACUCAAUUAAAACAUAAAAAUCUAACAAAACACUCACAUGAUUAAAUAAUUGAAAUAUCUAAUAAUCAAAACAUAUACCUAAAUACCAAUUUCUUAAUCUACCAUACGAUGAAACAUUAACGAAGGGAGAAACUGGACAUGAAGGUGAUUUUGAAGGUUAAUUGAUGAAUUUGAAGAUUAACGAAGGGAGAAUCUGAAGCUUACCUUGAACAAACGAGUUUGGAUCUGAAGAAGAUUGAAUCUGGAACGAAGUUCGAAUUUGAAGGAAGAAUCGAUCUGAGUUGUGAAGAAGUAACGAACGAGUUGUGAAGAAGAUUGAAUCUGAACUCGUGAGUACUAGCUUAAAUCAGUUGUGAAGAUGAUUGAAUCUGAGUUGUGAAGAAGUUUGAAUCUGGAACGAGAUGAAUUUCAAUCUAAGUGUGAUUGAACGAGCAAUUUGUGAAAGAAAAAUAGAGGGAAUGAGAGUGAAACUUCUGUGCUAUGAUAUCACUCACCCACGACGGUUUAGACGAAAGGGGCGUAUUUCCUAAAUUUAAAAUUAUCGGCGACGGUUUGUAGGAACCGCCAUGAGCUAUCAGUCGCAUAUCAAACCCUUUUUUGUAGUGAAUAUCCUCCUGCUAGCUAUGCUAAUGGGACUUUAUUUUAUAAAUAAUUUGUUUGUUGUUUGUUUUCCCUUUUCUUUUACUCCUUGUACAAAAAAACACGGAAAUUUUUUUUAAAAAAAAUUAUAUACAUUUAGCCUAAAAAGUAUCAUAAUCAACUUCAUAAAAGUAUUGAAAAUUGUGUUUUCAAUACAAUUUUUUUUAUAUCCUUAUAACUUCCAAAGAACACUAUAGUUAGCAUAAUUUUUUAUUAUUAUUAAGAUUUUUUUAUUAUGUGCAAUUUUGAACAUAUUAAAAAAUUUAAAAUAAUAAAUUUGCAUUGAAACUUGUGAAUUUCAUAUUAAAUACUCCCUGCAUCCCAAGUGAUUUAAUAAAAGCCAAAAGGGUUGAGGAACUACCUCAUACGAAACCAGCUAUGUCAAUAUUUAAUUAAUGAGAUAAAAGUGGAUCACUAUUGCUUAGUUCAAAGUAUGUGAAAAUCAACUUUCACAUAUGGAUAAUGUUAAAGCUCGACCAAGGAAAUUAAAACUGUAGCCAUUUUAUGAUUCUAAGAAACUAGAGAGAGCAAGCUGCACUAAAAUAAUGGGAAGGAGAGAGGAACCUUUUCAUAAGCAUCUUGUUCUUUUGAAACAUGAGAUGGCAUCCCAUUUUUCAAAUUCCAAAAUAGAAGCAUCCAAUGUUUUCAUAUAUAUAUAUCAAUACAUGAUUAUUAUAUAUUAUAUAUUUCUUGUGACUAAGUUUGCCUAAUGCUUAAUAAUGGAUAAACUUUUCUUGGUUCGAGUCUGGUUAAUGGGAGGUAAAUGUAAUUAUUUUUAUAUGUAUUUGAAGAGCUCUAAAAUUUCCCUAUCUUGAAUUGGGACAUUUAAUAUAAUGGAUAAACUUACAUAAUGUUUUGAUCAACAUUAUUUUUUAUUAUAUUACAUCCAAAAAUUGAAAAUUGGUGGGCUACACAACAAAUUUGUACAAAUUUAUAUGUUGGAAAUUUGAAUACUGAAAUUGCCCUAAGAGGAGCAGACUACAAAAGGUAGCAUAAAUGUGAUGUUGAGCUAUGCUCUGUAAGAUUUUUUUUUUUUUGUUACAAGCUCUAUAAGAUGUUGAAAUAGUGGUAGGGNNNNNNNNNNNNNNNNNNNNNNNNNNNNNNNNNNNNNNNNNNNNUAUAUAUAUAUAUAUAUAUACCGGGACAUUUUUGCUAUUUUGUUAACAAAAUGGAAGGGCAAUUUUGUCAAACUAAAAAUUUUAUCUUCCACUUUUCUGCAUGAAUAGUGUUUGCGUAAGAUUUGUGUAUCAAAAAGUGUGUCAUAAUAACAUAAAAAAAGAAAAGAAAAAAGAAGAAUUUGAAUCCUUUGAAGUUUGAACUAUUGUGGUACUUACAGAGUCGUUAGAUCUAAGUGCAACUUGCAUCAUUCAUAUGCAUUCACUUGCAUUUUUACUCAAUGAUUCUAAAGUGUAAGUGAAACUAAUAUAAAACGUUAAACUGUGGAAUUUAUAUAUUAUUUUUACACUUUAAGAUCUCACACAUUCACGCAGUUAAUACUUCAAAAGCAGUUGAAUUAAGAUUAAACGGUUUAUAAUAAAAUCUCAUAUUUUAUACUUUUAAAAAACAAAACCAACAUCAAAAUAUGAACCAUUUAAUAUCGAUCUAACAAUCAUCGAUGGCUAAUUAAGUGAUUGUGUGUGUUUUGGUUUUGUGACCAUACAAAUAUGAUUUCUAAACAAUGAGGCAAUAGUUUGAGAGACCCUCCUUGCUAUCAUUUUCAAAUAAAGAUUGAUUGAAAUAAUAAUGACUUUAUAAUCCCCACUUAUAUUAAAAUAUGUUUUGAAAAACAAAAAAAAAAAUCCUUUGGAAAGGAAGGGGCAUACUUAGUAGAAAUGUUGAACCAAAGGCACUCUCAAGGGCCACACAAUACAAAGAAUUUCUAGAGGGAAUAUGAGUGCUCUCUUUAAUUGCCAAUGUGGACACUAUAGGAUUAGAGAAUUGAUAAAAUUGUGAAAAUGACAAAAAAAAAUGUUUUGUUUUACGUUCGUUUAUGUCAUCCAAUUGUUAUAGUUACAUAGAUUGAUAAGAGUCUCGUGAACUUCGCUCAGUUGAUAAGGAUAAUGCAUUAUUUAUGCAAGGGAGUCGAGAUAACAGUAGUUUCUUUUAGGCAUGCUAACUAGCGAUCAAGAUACACAAGUUAAGGAAAUCAAAACAAAUAAAUUAUAUUUUUAAAAAUAAUGUUCUUAUAUUUUUUUUAAAAAUAUUAAUUAUACAAAUUUCAAAAUAAUUUUACUAUAUUUAUUUUCUAAACUAAUACCCUAAAAAUAUUAGUUAAUAUUUUUCUUAUUCUUUUUCGUUGGGGAUACUAGAUUUUAUAUCAGUAUAACUACGCNNNNNNNNNNNNNNNNNNNNNNNNNNNNNNNNNNNNNNNNNNNNNNNNNNNNNNNNNNNNNNNGUUUUUUUUUUAUUUUUUAUUUUCACCACUAGUAUCCGGCCAACUGAACCGACUAAUAUGGUUCGGAGUAAGUUUUGACAUCAAGUGGUUUUAGUCCCCUCCCGAUCACAGUUGCGGAGAAUCGAAUCGCAGUCCUUUCUACCAAGUUCAGCAUCAAUCAUUACUAAUUAACUCAACUACUGAUUGGUUAAAAAAACCACACCUUUAUUCGGUAUGUAUAUGAGUCAAAAUUCAAGUAUAUGAGAGAAAUAUUUAAAAUCAUUAUAACCGAAGAAAAAAUAGUGAUUGCAAACACAAUUACACCAGUUGAGUUAUCCACCCUGUCUCUAAAGUGAGUGUUCCUAGCCUUACUCUUUCAAAAUAUACUAAUGAUGUAAUGGUUGGUUAGAAACAAUGGGUCUAUUUAUUUAGUCUUUCAACAAAAAUUGUGAACAAAGAGUCAAAGAGUAAAUCAAUGUAUUGUUUCAAAUUAACAUUGUUAAAAAUCUUUUAAUAAUUGUUUUCCUUCAUCAAUUGGUAUGAGUUUCUCUAUAAAAGAGUUACUCGCACAAACAUAAUCUAAAGAUUCAUGUUUACAUUAAUCUAAUUUUUGUUUAAAAUAUAUUUCUAAGGUAUUUCUACUGCACAAGUUUAUAAACUAGUCCAAUAAACUAGACUUACCAAACACACCCUAUAUAUGCAGCGAGUCGGAGUUUGAACCCAGAUAAUCUUAAUUAAGAGAAAAUUGCAAAAAUCAAAUUGAUUCUUAAUAAAAAAAAAAUUAAGAGAAAAUACUCCGUCUACUAAAAUGUAAGCACGUAAUAAAGAGUAAAUCGUCAAAUACCCUCAUGAAAUUUUAAAAUUCGUUAAAUAUUCUUGAAAUUUAGAAAUAGGCAAAUAUCCCUUAAAAUUAUAAAAAGUCCAUGCUAAAAAUCUUGUUUUGUUUUGAAGUGACAAACCCCGCCAAGAUAACAAGCAUUUUCCAUACUAAAAAUCUUGUUUUGUUUCGAAGUGACAAAACCUCGCCAAAACAAAUACAUGUUACAUCGUAUAUCUUCCAAGGCUCAACUCUCAGAGUCAGAUAGCACCACCUUUCCCAUAUUUCUUUAAUCCAAAUGAACCCAACAAAAAAAUUAACAUUUUCCCAUAUUUUCCAAAAAUGUUCCAAUCUAAAAUCUUUGAAUCCUGGCAAACAAGCUCAUGCUCGGAUGAUAGUAACUGGUUUUGUUCCCACCAUUUUUGUUUCCAACUGUUUACUUCAAUUUUAUUGUAAAUGUUCAAAUUUGAAUUACGCGUUCAAUGUGUUCGAUAAAAUGCCUCAAAGGGAUGUAAUUUCUUGGAACACAAUGAUAUUUGGUUAUUCAGGAAUUGGAAACAUUGGAUUUGCGCAGUUUUUGUUUGACUCAAUGCCGGAGAGAGAUGUUGUUUCGUGGAACUCUUUGCUCUCGUGUUAUUUACAAAACGGGAUUCAUCGAAAGUCGAUUGAUGUUUUUGUUAAGAUGAGAUUGCUGAAUGUUCCGCAUGAUUAUUCUACAUUUGCUGUUGCUCUGAAAGCUUGUACUGGUAUUGAAGACUAUGGUUUAGGACUUCAGGUGCAUUGCCUUGCGAUUCAGAUGGGUUUUGAGAGUGAUGUGGUAACUGGUACUGCUCUAGUAGAUAUGUAUUCAACGUGUAAGAAACUAGAUCAUGCUUUUAGGGUUUUUGUUGAAAUUCCGGAAAGAAAUUCGGUGUGUUGGAGUGCUGUAAUUGCAGGCUAUGUUCGAAAUGAUCGGUUUAUUGAGGCAUUGAAAUUGUAUAAGGCUAUGAUAAAAGAAGGUAUGGGGGUGAGUCAACCAACCUUUGCUAGUGCGUUUAGGUCGUGUGCUGGAUUAUCUGCAUUUGAAUUAGGCACACAGUUGCAUGCUUAUGCUCUAAAGACAAAUUUCGGAUAUGAUAGUAUAGUCGGAACAGCUAUAUUAGACAUGUAUGCUAAAUGUGACAGAAUGAAUGAUGCUAGAAAGCUGUUUAACACAUUCCCUAAACCUACUCGGCAAUUUCAUAAUGCCAUUAUUGUUGGAUAUGCACGACAAGAUCAAGGUGUUGAAGCUUUAGAGAUUUUCCGGUCUUUACGGAAGUCUUAUCUUGGCUUCGACGAAAUUAGUUUGUCCGGUGCUUUGACUGCCUGUUCGGCUAUCAAAGGCUAUUUGGAGGGGAUUCAACUACAUGGAUUAGCUAUCAAAUGUGGAUUAGAGCUUAAUAUCUGUGUUGCGAAUACCAUUUUAGACAUGUAUGCAAAAUGCGGAGCAUUGAUGGAAGCUUGUUGGAUAUUCGAUAAUAUGGAAAGAAAGGAUGCUGUGUCUUGGAAUGCAAUCAUUGCUGCUCACGAGCAAAAUGAACAAGUAGAAGAAACACUUUCACUUUUUGUUUCAAUGCUUAGGUCAACUAUGGAACCCGAUGAUUUUACUUUUGGCAGUGUUGUAAAGGCAUGUGCUGGUCAGCAAGCUUUGAACUAUGGUAUGGAGAUACAUGGAAGAGUUAUUAAGUCUGGUAUGGGGUUAGACUGGUUUGUAGGAAGUGCCAUGAUUGAUAUGUAUUGCAAGUGCGGAAUGCUAGUCGAGGCAGAAAAGAUCCAUGAGAGAUUGGAAGAAAAAACUACUGUUUCUUGGAAUUCAAUCAUUUCAGGAUUCUCAUCACAAAAGCAAGGUGAAAAUGCUCUGAGGUAUUUUUGUCAGAUGCUACAAGUUGGUGUAAUACCCGACAACUUCACAUAUGCUACGGUUCUUGAUAUUUGUGCUAAUUUGGCUACUGUCGAACUUGGAAAGCAGAUUCAUGGACAAAUUUUAAAGCUGCAAUUGCAUUCAGAUGUGUAUAUAGCCAGCACUAUUGUUGAUAUGUAUUCAAAGUGUGGGAAUAUGCAGGAUUCAUGCGUAAUGUUUGAGAAAGCACCUAAGCGGGAUUAUGUGACUUGGAGCGCCAUGAUUUGCGCAUAUGCAUGCCAUGGACUUGGAGAAGAUGCCAUUAAAUUAUUUGAGGAGAUGCAGCUUCUGAAUGUGAAACCAAAUCAUACGAUUUUUAUUUCAGUCCUCAGAGCUUGUGCACAUAUGGGUUAUGUAGACAAAGGGUUGCAUUAUUUCCGUAAAAUGCGAAGUCACUACGGUUUAGAUCCCCAGAUGGAACAUUAUUCUUGUAUGGUAGAUCUACUAGGAAGGUCAGGACAAGUAAAUGAAGCUUUGAAGCUUAUUGAAAGCAUGCCUUUUGAAGCCGAUGAUGUAAUAUGGAGAACUUUACUUGGUAUUUGCAAGUUGCAAGGGAAUGUCGAAGUUGCAGAAAAAGCAGCGGAUUCUUUAUUACAGUUAGACCCUCAAGAUUCUUCUGCUUACGUUCUUUUGUCAAAUGUAUAUGCUAUUGCAGGAAUUUGGAGCGAGGUUGAGAAAAUAAGAAGUUUCAUGAAGAAUUAUAAAUUAAAGAAGGAACCAGGAUGUAGCUGGAUUGAGAUAAGAGACGAGGUGCAUGCGUUUCUUGUUGGAGACAAGGCACAUCCAAGAUCUGAGGAGANNNNNNNNNNNNNUGGAUAUGUUCCUGAUAUUGAUGAUUUCCUGCUUGAUGAAGAAGUGGAAGAACAAGAUCCUUAUGAGGGGCACAAAACCGCCAUGUGUAGUGUGAGAUAAUGUAGAAAAGGUUUCAAACACGCUGCCUACAAUGGCCUAAUGGAGAAUUGGAGCAGGAGACUCUGAGGAAUCAGGCUGGCUGGGAAAAACUGAGCAACUUGAAAAGAAAAGAUUGCCCUGUACCGAAUAGUGGCUUGAGAUAUGUUGUUUCAUUCACAAGCUGAGAAUCAGGUCUAGAUUCUUGAUUAAUAAGAAUGUCAACACAUUAAUCUGAGUCCGGCUGAAUACGGUGGCCUUUUUAGGGUGUACCAAUGGGUUUGGAUGGUUUAUCCAGCAAUCUAACUGCCUUCAAUAUAUUCAUCAUCCAUGCAGAUUGGUUUAGAGCAACGAGAAUUCGCUUGAAGUUGGUGUGUGUGGAGGAGAGGAUUCAAGUAUGUGAAUGUGAUGUGAUAAUGUAAAUCUAGAAAGGAAAAGCAUGUCAUUUUUUAAUUAGAUUCUCUACUGGUUUUUUUAUUCAUAAACCAGAUACUCAUCUUCAUACCAUAGGAUUGAUAUGAACAGAUCCAUGAAGCCAUCAAAUGGAACUGGAGUGGUGGGUAGCUCCAAGCCACUCUUUUUAUUUUCCCAUAAGUUCACUUCACGAGAGGAGUUCAAAUCUAUGUGAUAGUUGUAAAAUGAUCAUUAGUAUCACCGUUAAUAAUAACAAUUUCUCGAAGUCAAUUUUUAUUUUUUUUUAAAUAAUUGAUUUAUAUAUAUAUAUAUAUAUAUAUAUAUAUAUANNNNNNNNNNNNNNNNNNNNNNNNNNNNNNNNNNNNNNNNNNNNNNNNNAUAUAUAUAUAUAUAUAUAUAUAUAUAUAUAUAUAAAAGAUAAUUACACUUGAAUGGAGGCAAACUACAAUAAGCUGCGCCGCUAAUCCAAAUAAUUGUGUCUGAGGGACCGGUGGUUAUUGUAGCCGGCUAGCCGCUACUGGAGAUAUGAUUAGAGGAUGGUACCGGAGGAAGACCUGGAGAUUAAUGAAUUGGAUAGUAAUAUGAUAUACAGCAGAAUAUGUUCAACAUUGAUGCCCUUCAAUGAACCUCUAGCCGAUCACACCAACGUUGUUUUGAUCCGUUACCAGAUGCACCCUACACCCCGUCCAACACAGUCCCCUUUUGUGUCAAAUACCAAUCCCUGUGAGACCUCAAGCAACCACAUUGUUCUGGUUUAGUUAAUUUUGUUAUUCUUUGCUUGCUAUUUGAAUGUUGGUAUAUAUCUAAAUUGAUUUGAAUUUCAAGGAUUGUGAGUUGUGACAAGUCACUGUUGGUAUGCUGCUUCAUAAUUUAGAAGACCACACACAGGAGUAUGUUGAGUUUAUGACAUGAAUGCAUCAAAAAACAUAAUGUCAAAUGCUGUUUGGCUAGAUAAGUUAUGAGCAGUUAUUAUUGUUGCAGAUGCUCAAUUUUGUUUCAGAUGCACAAAGUAGUAUGAUCAUAUUGCACAAUUUUAAUUUUUUUUGGGUCUAAAGAGAAAUUUCAUUCAUUCAAGAAGCUAAAUUAGCCAAAUAUAAUACUUCAUGAGUAGCCUCACUUACCACUAACGGGGUAAAGUACAGAGUUCAUGCAGAAUCAAAUAGAUACAACCUUAAGCUCUAGACAUGUUUCUGACUUGUAAUCUAAUAGAUCACGGUAAACUCGGUAAGCUAAGAAUGAACAAAGAAGAGCCAACAGACUACAACAACACUAACUACGACCAACAACAGCCAAAGAGAACAACAAAAAUACACAAACUUAGAUCUAAACUAAAAACUAGAAAGACAAUACUAUCAUCACUAGAGAGCUAGGGUUCGCCGAAAAGGUUUAAACAAAGGAGUCAAAUCUAAAGAUAUAGCUUACUAUACAUGCCUGCUAUACACACUUACGGAAAUUUUUACCAAUAAUAACAAGGGUCAUACAUCUAUCAGCAAAAAAACUAGCAGGUUGAAUGCCUUCAAAAUCUCAUUUGUUUCUUACAAAUUCUGUUUUUUUUUUUUUUUUGGUACACAAAUUCUGUUAUUUUAUUCUAUAGUUGACAGAAAAGAAAAAUCUCAACUAAAAUAUCACACCAAAAGCGAAGGAGCUAUAUAGAUAUUAAAAAUGACAGGAUGAAUGGGAAAAACGCUUCAAGUGUUUAGCCUCAAGGUAGACCACUUGACUGUGUUGCCGAUUGGUUUGUCAACUGGCCGAAGACGGUCCAAGUAAAUUUAAAAAAGAACAAGGACAGAAGUUAUCUAAAAUAAGAGGAGGUAGGAGCAUGAUAUUGCAGGGGUGGCGCAAGACAAAGAAUCGUGGUGGCAGUAAUCAGCUAUCUGUGUAUCAUUACACAAACACUUAAGUCGUGUGCUAUAAAUGCAACUGAAUCAUGUUAGAAACAAUAAGAAUAAUAUCUACCACAAAAAACACAGCAAAAAAAAAAAAAAAAACUAUUGACCUUGUAAUAAAGCCUACAAUGUCAAUGACCUUGUAACCUACUACUAUGUCCUCAACUUACCCCAGGUAUUGUUUUUAAGGGAUUCUAUCCUUCCACAUUAUGGCAUUCAUCAUCCUUCAACCGUAGUCUUUUGUCUUAUAAAAUAAAGCAUAAAUUCCUAUCUAUUCACAGACUAAAAUCAACAUUCAAGUCCUUGAAAUACAAAAAGGUUACUGCUGAAAGCAGUAAGACAAACAAUGAUAUUAAUAAGUGCUUAGAAGUAAGAACUCCUGGAUCUAUUCUCCUCACAGUCUCAACAUCUAGCAUAGAAUCAGACUUUACUUCAUUAUCAUUUGCAGAUGAAUUUUUCUUGUUUGCCUGGAAAAGAAAAAUAGGAGCAAUAAUUAGAACUUUGCUCUGUCCAUAUUUCUCUUCUGUUAUUACAUAAUAUAUAUAUCAGAAAUGAUAAAAUGUUAUUACAUGAUGAACGAUAUAGGAAAAAAUGGACAAUUUGGAAGGAAUGUAACUAGAUCUGAAUAACAUUGCAUGCUUUAUGCGCGUAUUGUUAACCAAGAAACCAGGUAUUGUUUUACAUUUGUUAAAGAAGUACAUCCAACUAACAUGAGGUAACAUAUUUCACUUGGGAAGAAAAUGUUGAUACCACAUAGAAGGCACUCGUACUGAUAACAAAACGAUUUUACAUUAUCCACCAACACAACUACCAUGAAAAGAAUAUUUAACUAAACUAGGAGCCUAGAAGUAGAGCUAUAUAUUAUAUGACCCCCAACUAUUAUGCAGAUAUACUUUGUUGUUGACAAAUUUCGUUGUUGACAAAGUUUUGUGUGUAGUUAUUAGAGACUGAAAGUGCCAAAGCAAGAAGAAUAAAUUUAUCUAUCAAGUGAUAUAUUUUGUUUUUCCUAUUUCUAUUAAGUUUUUACAAAUAGACUUAUUUGAGGUAGCUAAAUCUAUAUUAUUAAAGUAUCUAAAUAUGAAAAUACACUAAAUUAUUAAAAAAAAAAAUGUGGCUACCCCAAAGACACACUACCCUCCGCCCCAACUAUAAUUUUAUGCUAACUACAUAGGAGAUUCUUGCGUAUCAGUUACAUAUACAAAUAAAAAACAUGUCCAUAAAGUCUGAAGUACCAACCUCGUGGUCAGAGGAAAAAUUCGCACUAAAGGGAGAAGAAUCCUUAUAUGCCUGCUUCAGCUUCACAACCAACAUUUUGUUCUCGCUUGCUAAGGAAGAUAGCUGCAAAUAAAGUACAACAAUUUCAACUAACCAUGUACAAAAAAUCCCAGAAUAGUCCAGCAAACAUGACAUAAAUGUUUAAAACAUAUGGGAAAACCCCAUACAUCCCAUCAUCAGCCAAAACAACUACUGCUAAAUUUUCAUCAUAUGAAUUUUCAAUCAAGUUUAUGUUCAAUUAAAAAUAAAAAGGAAAAAACUCCAUACAAGCUAAAUACUAAACUACUUAAACUCAAAAGGUAGAAAGUGUGAAAAUCAAAGAGGUGAAAAAGAAGGUUUUGCUUAUUCAAUUGUUAUUCAAUUACUGACACACAAAAACGAAGCAUCGCAUAGUUUUAUGUGUCGUUAGUUAUUGAUACAAUAUUCAAUUAUCAUACUAUGCAGAUCAAUUGAUACCCUACAUGUUUCUGUUUAUUAAAGAGCAAUAAUUAAAUAGUGUUGUCAAUGGGAGAUUGUGGAAAAUCGCAGUUUGUUCAAAUUCCGAUAUGCUAUAGGGCUAAAACGCCACAAUAGCCACUAUUUGACAAUACUAUGUACUCUAAAUAGUGUAUCAAGGAACAAUUGCGAUUUGUUCAAAUUCCACUACGCAAUAGCGCCGCUAUAAUAGCUAUUUGACAACAAUAAUUAAAUAUCAUGUAUGGCUGAAACAAGAUUUCAAAGGCUUGGUUUUUACCUUCUUAUUAAGACGCUCUCUCUCCAAAGCCAGCUGUGUCACCAAACNNNNNNNNNNNUUUAUAACAUGUUCCAUAUCUUCGAUUGUGUCAUACAACAUCUUUUGCUUCUCUUGACUAGCUUCAGCAGUCGCUACUGCAUGCUGCAGCUUUAAAUCACACUGCUUUAGCUGCCUCUUGAGUAACUCUACGCUCUCGGAUGUGAUUCCGCCGUCUUUUAAAAGAGCCAGCUUCUUGUUGAGUUCUUCAUUAGUUUCCGUCAAUAUUUUACACUGAGCUUCUGCAGCAUUAGCCCUAUUUUCUGCAUUGGUUACAUUUUCUUUCAGUUCAAUGAUAAGGUUAUCCAUUUCUUUAAUAUGAGAACACGUAACAUUAUACUGUUGUUGAUAUUCAUCGGCAGAGGUUUUCACAUUCACUAACUGGCACUCAGUUUCUUGUAGCUGUUUCUCAAGUGAACACACCUUGCCACAUUUCAAUUGCUUCUUAGAAGUUUCCAGCUGAGCUUUAAGCUCAAACUCAUUUUGUCUUAAACCAACCACAUUGAACUGAGAAAGCUUGAGUCUAGCCAACAAUUCAUUUGAAAUUCCCUUUAGGAUCUCACGUGCAUUGUCUGCCUCAAACCAUCUUUCCCAAACUUCAGUUGCUUCUUCCUCCGUUUGAAUUACCUCGUCUUCCAAAGAAGCGAUCCUUUGUCUUAGCUUUUCUUCAAUUUUCUUUGAGUCGUUGAAAUUCUUCUCGAGAUCCAUUUCACUUGCCAAAGAUUUCUCAAGCAUCAUUAGAAUGUUUCUAUGUUGCUCAGUUGUUUGCAUGUUCAUCAUGUUGUUUACAUCCAAAUUUCUAUCACCCUCUUCGACACUUCCACCCUCUUCAACAUUACCUGUUGUCAUUGAAAAUCCCACAGAUAAAAAAGGACAAAAAAUAUUAAUUAGAAUUGAAUUCAUAUACACUAUGUAAAGAAUUUUUACACUGUCAGAUUAUUAAAAUCAGUUGACUUUAAUCAUAACCACUUCUAAAGUCACAUAUAUGAUUGGUUGUGAUUUAUUGACGGUGUAAUCAAAUUGAACCAAUCAAUUCAAUGUUCUUCACAACUUUUUCUUCCUUUUCUUUAUUCUUUCAUUUUAAAACCAAAAAUAGAAGAAUUCCAUUAAUGCAAAAAAGGCAUUCCUUAUUCCCAUUGCAUAAAUAUUCCACACACGAUAUUACGUGGAAAUUGAAGUGGACCCCACAUAAAAGAAUAUACCAUUUUCUAACGACUAAAUGAAAAAAAACAAUUGCUUCAAAAAAAAAUGAAAAAAACAAGAUCAUGAACACAAAAAAAAAAACAAGCAAAGCAAUCAAUGUUCAAAGUUCAAACAAAAACAAAAACUACAUAAAUAAAUAUCAAUCAUUAAUUAGAACCCGAAAACAAUAUCAAUCAUUAAGAUUUUCUACUUACCAUUCUCUUCCUUCUUAUAAGAAGACAAAGUCCUUUGAAAAUUAACAGAAUGUUGCUUAAUCUCAUAGAAAAGUUCCUCCGACAACGUCAAACUUUGUUCGAUCUCAACCAACCUAUCUUGCCAUUCGUCAAAAGACGAAACUUUUCCUUUAGCAUCAGAAAUCUCAGCACGAAGAGUAUCCGAAAACAAACCUAAAUCUCUAACUUCAGAAUCCAACACCCCACAUAACAAAUCAAACUCAAAACCCUUUGUAACACAACCUAUAUCAAUGUUUUCUUCAUCCAAAACUAAACCCUCUAAUUCACCUUCCAUAGUUUCUAAAUUCAUCACAAAAAUAUUCAAGUUUGAAACUUUCUCAGAGAAACAUGCUAUACCCAAUUCCAAAUUACCAAUAACUCCUCCAACAUCAACAUUAACAGUAUUAUCUUCAACACUUUGAGUAUUCAUUUUUCUAAUCUUAAAAAACUUCAACUAUUGUUGUUCAUGAACCUGGAACAAUUUCAACAAAAAUCAAAAUGCAACUAAAAAAGAUUAAAUAUUUAAGCUAUAAAGUGAGUAUAAUAUAGUGAAUCUCACACCAAAAAAAAAAAACCAAUUGAAAAAUUACAAAGAAAAAAUGAAGAUAUGAAUGAUUGAAUUGAAAGAACAAUUGAAUUUUGUUGUAAAACUGAAGGGAAUGGAACUAUACCAAUUGAAAAUUGAGGAAUUUGAAGAUGAUGAUUGGGUUGAUUUUGGAUCCGUUGGAUUGAUGAAUUUUCAGAUAACGGAAACGGUUGCGCCCUAACUGAAAAUUGAUUCAGAGACUUGCACUUCACUGUGAAACGCAGCGUUUUAGCUAGGAAGUGACAUGACAUGGAUAUUCUUAAUUCUUGUUUGGGUAAGGAUGUUAUUAUAUGUUUUUUUUUUUUUUACUUUUGCGAAAUUUGGUGGGAUGUAUUUUUAUAUUUAUAAAAAAAAAUAUUAUUUUUUUUUGACACUAGAGAAAAAAUAUAUUAUUAUUUGGAGAUUUUUUUUCAUGGAUCAAACUUAUAUAUAGUUUCAUAUAUACGGUUCUUAUUGUGCUAGAUAUAUGGGAGGAAGUUAUUUUUAUUUAAAAACAAUUUUCUUUUUCUUUUUUUAAUUAAAAAAUAUAANNNNNNNNNNNNNNNNNNNNNNNNNNNNNNNNNNNNNNNNNNNNNNNNNNNNNNNNNNNNNNNNNNNNNNNNNNNNNNNNNNNNNNNNNNNNNNNNNNNNNNNNNNNNNNNNNNNNNNNNNNNNNNNNNNNNNNNNNNNNNNNNNNNNNNNNNNNNNNNNNNNNNNNNNNNNNNNNNNNNNNNNNNNNNNNNNACUAGAGAAAAAAUAUAUUAUUAUUUGGGGAUUUUUUUUCAUGGAUCAAACUUAUAUAUAGUUUCAUAUAUACGGUUCUUAUUGUGCUAGAUAUAUGGGAGAAAGUUAUUUUUAUUUAAAAAUAAUUUUCUUUUUCUUUUUUUAAUUAAAAAAUAUAAAUAAUUACAUUUUUGUGAGAGGAACAGGAAAAACUGCAUCUGAAGAAAUGCAUAUAAGUUUUGUCUUUUUUUCAUGUCGUUGUUUUUUUCUUUCUUAAUGUAUUUAAAUAACAAAUAAAUCAUAUAAAUUCUAAACAAAUUCUAAAUAUUGUAAACUGAAAUAUAAAUCUUAAAUUAUAAUUCAUCUUAUCUACUUCCCUACUUCUAAUAUAUUAAAAUCGAUUACCACCAAAUUUUCUAAUUUAUUCUUAUUAGUUUUAACCACAUUGCAAAUUUUGUAGGAGUAUGAUUCAUAAUAUAAGAUAUCUUUGUUUUUUAGCAGCAAUUUUUUUUUAUUAACAAAUUCGCCAUAGCAUAAAUUUUUUUUUACAUAAGUUUGCAUAAUAGAAAGUUAGACACAGACAAAUAAUUAGUGAAAAGGAUCAAAGCAAUAUUUUUUUUAUUUUUUUUAGAAGCAGAAUCAAAGCAAUAUAUGUAUUUCUUUUUAUAAAACAUUAUAUAUGUAGUUUGUUAAGAGAUAUUAUCUAUAACAUGCUUCAAAAAAAAUAAAAGAUAUUAUAUUCUUGGUUCAUGCAAUGGGUUGUUGUGUCUGUUUGAUUAUGAUCAACGUUGUGUUAAAUUGUGGAACCCUUCUAUCAGAUAUGAAUCUAAAAAGUCUCCAAAGUAUGAUUUUUAUGAUAAUAACAAGGUGUUGAUCCUAUAUUUUGGCUUUGGCUAUGAUGAUGUUAAUGACAAGUACAAGGUGCUAAUGGUUGUGUCUCGCGUCGAUUUUAGUGAAAAAGUGACUAGAAUAUAUACUUUUGGUGGAAAUUCUUGGACAACUAUUAAGAAUUUCAAUUCCCCUUGUCUUCCUACUAAAUCCGAAGGAAUAUUUGUGAGUGGCACUCUAAAUUGGAUAAUAUUUAAAAGAGGUGUUAGUUCUAAAAAAUAUGUAAUUCUUUCCUUUGAUCUUGAGAAGGAGACUUAUAAUAAUAAGCUGUUGCUGCUGCCGGAUAAUGAUGGUGUCAAAAUUACCUCCACUCCUGUUCUUGGUGUUUUGAGUAACUGUCUUUGUGUGUUUUUUGAGUACUCCAACAAAACUCAUUGGGAUAUUUGGUUGAUGAAAAAUUAUGGAGUUGAUGAAUCCUGGACUAGAUUGGCGACGAUUCCAAUUAAGGAUCUAACCCUUAGUACACAUCACUGGCCUUGCUAUAUUGAACCUUUGUUCAUUUUUGGAAACAGUAUUGUUCUGUGUACAUCUACCAAAUUUGUCCUAUAUAACUUAGAUGAUGGAAGCUUGGAUGAUUGUCUUCCAGAAACCAAUGUUCAUUCUAAAAAAUAUAUUUACUAUGAGAGUCUUAUAUCACCACAAUUGUAAAGACUAAACACACAUAUUUGUGGAGGUGAGUCUUUCAGGUUUUGAUUAUGUGAAUUUUAUUGCAACUCUUGUUACUGGUUUGUACUUUAACUAGUUUGCUAUUUUUCUUGAAUAUGUAUUACGGUGUCUACUGAUUACAUAAGGUCUGCAUUUUUUAUAUAUUUUGCACUGUGUGGANNNNNNNNNNNNNNNNNNNNNNNNNNNNNNNNNNNNNNNNNNNNNNNNNNNNNNNNNNNNNNNNNNNNNNNNNNNNNNNNNNNNNNNNNNNNNNNNNNNNNNNNNNNNNNNNNNNNNNNNNNNNNNNNNNNNNNNNNNNNNNNNNNNNNNNNNNNNNNNNNNNNNNNNNNNNNNNNNNNNNNNNNNNNNNNNNNNNNNNNNNNNNNNNNNNNNNNNNNNNNNNNNNNNNNNNNNNNNNNNNNNNNNNNNNNNNNNNNNNNNNNNNNNNNNNNNNNNNNNNNNNNNNNNNNNNNNNNNNNNNNNNNNNNNNNNNNNNNNUGUAUGCACUUUGUAUUGCAUCCUAUCAUUGCUAGGACUGUCUGCUACUCUUUGUUUCUAGCACAGUGGAUACAAGCAACUGGGUUUAUAAAGUUUCCUAAAUUUUUCGCAUUUCAAAUUACCAUUUGUUAGAACGAAACAGUGUCAUUGUUCUCUUGCAAUUUUUCCGAUUUGGAUUUGGAUUUGGUGCUGUUGAAAAAGCACGCAGUUUCACGCUGUUGUGCAUCUCAGCUGUUCAUUCUUAAUCGGAUGUCUCAGAUUAAAUUCAAAUAAAGUAAUCAUCAAAUGAUCUCAUCCAUUAAUACUUGAUCGGACGACUGAGAUGCACAACAGCGUAAAACCGUGUGCUUUUUCAACAGUACCAAAUCCAAAUCCCACUUUUUCCAGCCCUCAACAAUUUAUGCAACUUCUUAGUACAAAACUCAUUCAAUUGGUUUUUUAAACAUAAUAUCUUGACAAUAUUUGUAUGAAGUUUCCACUACCAUUAGCGAUAACUAAUCUUCAUUAGGGAACCUGUGAGGCACACAAGGUGGGUUCUCCUUUAAGAGGCAACCGAAUUUUCUCUAUAUGUAUGUAUGAGUCAAAAAUUGAAACCACUGUUCACAAAUUUAAGAAGAUAAAAACCUUUGCUAUCAAAAAAUAAAAAGAAGAUCAAAACUCUUACCACAUAGACUAAUUCUUAUUUAACUAAUAUUUUUGUAUACUAGUGAGUUCAAUUAAAAUAUUCAAAGAAAUCUGACAUAAUGUUUUAUACAAAGAUUAAGAAAUAUAAUACUAUUUUGUCAAAAAAAUAAAUAAAUAAUGUUAAAAAAAUCGGACAAUUUUACUAUUAGUGUAUAUAAAAUACCCUUUGUAAUAUAAUAGAUUAGCAUUAGUUAAUCUGUCUUAGGUCAACUAAACAUUAGUUAGGACCUUCUUAUGCUAGUACAGUACUGCAUAUAUAAACAUGUAAUCACUCUUGUACAAACAGAAUGAAAAAUAGAAAGAUUGAAAGAAAAGUUUGUUACGAUGCCGUUAUGGUUUCUCUGAAAACUAACAUGGUAUCAGUUAGACCUUGAUCCAUGGCAGAAACUUCCACAUCACCGCUUUCACCUAUGGCUGACGCCGCCGCAAACGUUCUCAAUCCUCCACCGAUAACGGCGUUUCGCGAAGACAAUUCAUCGAAUCAGAUGAAUCUCACCUUCUCUCUCAAGAUCUCUGAGAAACUCAAUGAGAAAAAUUUCCACAUGUGGCGACAACAAGUCGAGCCGUUCAUCAACGCACACAAUCUUGAUGAUUUCCUCGUUUCACCGGUGAUUCCGCCGCGUUUUCUCACUGCCGACGAUCACAUCACCGCCACGUUGAAUCCUGAAUAUCGCAAGUGGCGACAGAAAGAUCAGAUGCUGAUGUCGUGGAUUCAAACGACGCUUUCUAGCGAAAUCCUUGCUCGCGUUCUUGGUAGCACACACACGUUCGAGCUAUGGAACAAGAUCCUAUCCUACUUUCAGAAACAGAUGCGAGCAAAAGCGCGUCAACUUCGUGUUGAGUUACGCUCCACAAAGCUUGAAGAUCGUUCCGUCAAAGAUUAUUUGCUUCGAAUUCGUCUCCUCAUCGAUAAUCUUGUUGCAAUCGGUGAUCCGGUACCUCUUAAUCAUCAUCUCGAUAUUAUCUUGGAGGGAUUACCCUCGGAUUUCAAUUCUGUGAUUUCUGUUAUAGAAAGUAAUUUUGACUCCAUGGAUAUGGAUGAGGCUGAAGCAUUACUUCUUGCUCAUGAGACUCAUUUAGAAAAGUCCAAGAAGAAGACUCUUGAUGAAGUAGCUUCUCUCAAUUUGGCUCAAGCUUCGACUUCGAAAUCUGUUCAAAAUACUGAUUCUGAAUCCACUCAACCCUCUGUCAAUUCCACCACUGGUCCAGAUCCCUCGAGUUUCAACUCAUAUCGUGGCAGAGGAGGCAGAAACAAUCGUGGCCGUGGCAGAGGAGGAGGAGGAGGACGCUACUCCAAUACUCAAUGCCAGAUCUGUUUCAAAACUGGUCACCCUGCUUCUGAGUGUUGGCACAGGAGUAACUUGCAGUAUCAACCACAAAUUCCUCCAAACUAUCAUGCUGGUUAUGGUCAAAAUCCACCUAGUUAUGGAUUCAUGCACUAUCCUGCACCACACUACAAUGGAUAUGGCAAUGGUUUUGGUGCUUCUUCAUCUGGUUUCAAUCCAUAUUUGCCUCGUUUUCCCUCUCCAAUGCGUCCCUCCACAUCUCAGGUAGCUCCACCUAAUGCCCUUAUUGCUAAUGCACCUUCUGUAAGUGGUUCAGGUACUUGGUAUCCAGACUCUGGGGCCUNNNNNNNNNNNNNNNNNNNNNNGAAUAUCCAAGAGCCCUCCUUCUUUGAUGGUGCAGACCAAGUCUACAUUGGAAACGGACAAGGUUUGCCCAUACACUCUACUGGUUCUAGUGUGUUUCCCUCACCUUUAUACCCUAACAUUAGUUUAAGCCUUAAUAAUUUGCUUCAUGUCCCUACAAUAACCAAAAACCUAAUAAGUGUGAGUCAAUUUGCUAAAGACAAUAGUGUUUAUUUUGAAUUCCAUGCUGAUCAAUGUGUUGUCAAAUCUCAGGCCACUAAUGAAGUCCUACUUAAAGGCAAUGUGGGCUCAGAUGGCUUAUACCAAUUCCCAAGUCUCAAUAUUCAAUCUGCUCCUCUCAUCACUACUUUACCUUUAUCCAAUAAAGCAUCUGCUUGUACUGUUGGUAAUAUAGCUAAUGUCUCUAGUAGCAUGCAUCAUUUAUCCAAUAAAACAUCUGUUUUUACUGUUAGUAAUACAACUAGUACUACUAAUAGCAUGCAUCCUUUAUCUUUCAGUUCUCAAUACUUGUGGCACUUAAGGUUAGGCCACCCAAAUGAGCAUGUUUUGAAACUUGUUUUAAAGCAGUGUAAUCUUUCCUUUAGCAAUAAAAAUAAAGACUCUUUCCAAUUUUGUACUGCGUGUUGUAUGGGCAAAGCUCAUAGACUACAUUCUCCCUCAUCACAUACCACUUAUACUAAACCUCUUGAACUUGUUUUCAGCGAUCUUUGGGGUCCUUCCCCUACUGUCUCCACCUUAGGGUACCACUAUUACAUUACUUUUGUUGAUGCAUAUUCCAGAUUCACUUGGAUUUACCUCCUUAAAUCUAAAUCUGAUGUAUUAACCAUUUUCAAACAGUUCAAAACAAUGGUUGAACUUCAAUUGGGUCACUCUCUUAAAUCUCUUCAAACUGACUAGGGGGGGGGGGGGGGAANNNNNNNNNNNNNNNNNNUACCUUACUGAUCUUGGCAUAACACAUCGCCUCAUUUGUCCUCACACUCAUCAUCAAAAUGGUGUCAUUGAAAGAAAACAUAGGCAUAUUGUUGAUUUAGGCCUCGCACUAUUAAGUCAAGCCUCUUUACCCCUCAAAUAUUGGGACCAUGCCUUUUUAGCCUCUGUUUAUCUCAUAAAUAGAUUACCAUCAUCAACACUUCAGUUUCAGGUUCCUUACACUGUGUUGUUUAAUACCGUUCCUGACUAUCAUUCUUUUAAAGUUUUCGGUUGUGCUUGCUUUCCACUUCUAAGACCCUAUAAUACACAUAAAUUUGAUUUUAGGUCCCAUGAGUGUAUAUUUUUGGGAUAUUCCUCAACCCACAAAGGUUAUAAAUGUCUUUCACCUUCUGGCCGUAUAUAUGUGUCUAAAGAUGUUCUCUUUAAUGAGUCCAAGUUCCCAUACACCUCUAUGUUUUGUGAGCAUUCAUCUCCCUUAAUGUCAAGUGUCAGAGAUGUACCCACCAAAAUAUUACCCAUUGAACCUUCAUCUUUCCCUAACCACAAUAUUACUCCUAUCAGUCCUGAUAACCCAAUCCCUACCACAUCUACCCUACUACCCUCUUCUGACACUUUACCCACCACUNNNNNNNNNNNNNNNNNCAAUCCACCACCUUCCCUAACCAUUUCAAAUAGCUUCAAUAACCCUCCUUUACAUCCUAACAAAACCACUGUCCCAUCUAACUGUCACAACAUGCAAACCAGAUCUAAAUCUGGUAUUUUUCUCCCUAAACAUCCUACACCGUUCUCCUAACACACAGUGAACCUAAGAGUGUCAAACAAGCUUUGCAGGAUCCUAAGUGGCUUACUGCAAUGCAGAGUGAGUUUGAUGCUUUACAACAGAACAACACAUGGUCUCUUGUUCCUUUGCCAGCCAACAGAAAAGCCAUUGGCUGCAAGUGGAUCUUUAGAAUAAAAGAAAAUCCAGAUGGCUCAAUUAAUAAGUACAAAGCUAGGCUUGUUGCAAAAGGAUUCCAUCAACUUCAAGGAUUUGACUUCACUGAGACUUUUUCUCCAGUGGUAAAACCCCUCACUAUCAGAUUGAUACUCACUCUUGCUAUCUCUUAUAAGUGGUCUUUGCAGCAACUGGAUGUAAACAAUGCGUUUCUCAAUGGUGUGCUUGAGGAAGAGGUUUAUAUGGAGCAGCCUCAAGGAUUUGAGAACAGUAAUCCCUCCAUGGUUUGCAAACUUAACAAGGCUUUAUAUGGACUGAAGCAAGCCCUAAGACAGUGGUUUGAUAAGUUAACAACUACUUUAGUUCGUUUUGGUUUUCAAACAAGUAAAUGUGAUCCUUCUCUAUUCAUUCUCAACAAAGACAAUCACAUUGUAUAUCUGCUAGUCUAUGUUGAUGAUAUAAUCAUCACUGGCAGCUCAUCACAGUUGGUCACCUCUUUGGUUCACAAGCUUAACUCUGUCUUCAGUCUAAAGCAAUUAGGCCUUUUGGAUUACUUUUUGGGUAUAGAAGUUAAGCAUUUGCCCAACUCUACUCUGCUGCUUACUCAAAGCAAAUAUAUCAGAGACCUCCUAACUAAGACAAAUAUGCUUGAGAGUAAUCCCAUCUCUACUCCUAUGAUGUCCACUUGUAAACUUUCAAAAGUUGGUUCAGAUAAAUUUCAUGAUCCAUCGUUAUAUAGAUCUGUGGUUGGUUCUCUUCAAUAUGCAACAAUCACAAGACCAGAAAUAGCUUACGCAGUCAAUAAAGUUUGUCAAUUUAUGUCUAAUCCUCUUGACUCUCACUGGACUGCUGUAAAGAGAAUACUUCGAUAUCUCAAAGGAACCCUACAUAUGGGUCUAAUACUGUAUCCCUUUGAUGUCCACAAACCUGUUUCUCUCAAAGUAUUUUGUGAUGCUGAUUGGGCAUCAGACCCUGAUGAUAGAAGAUCUACUUCUGGUGCUGCCAUCUUCUUUGGUACUUCCUUAGUCUCUUGGUGGUCUCGAAAGCAGCAAGUUGUUGCAAGAUCCAGCACUGAAGCUGAAUACAGGAGCCUAGCUCAGGCCACCGCAGAUGUUCAAUGGAUUCAAACAUUACUCAAGGAGCUCACUAUUCCAUUCUCUCAACCCAUCAUUUACUGUGAUAAUCAGUCUGCUGUACUUUUAGCUCAUAAUCCCAUUCUUCACACUAGGACCAAGCAUAUGGAAAUUGAUUUGUUUUUUGUCAGAGAAAAAGUUGCAGCCAAGCAGCUUACCAUUGUGCACAUUCCUGGGACUGAACAAUGUGCAGAUAUUCUCACCAAACCAGUGUCUACAACAAAGUUUCUGCUUAUGAGAGACAAGCUCAAUGUGCAACCUUGUCAACCACAUUGAGCUUGGGGGGAAUAUUAGUGUAUAUAAAAUACCCUUUGUAAUAUAAUAGAUUAGCAUUAGUUAAUCUGUCUUAGGUCAACUAAACAUUAGUUAGGACCUUCUUAUGCUAGUACAGUACUGCAUAUAUAAACAUGUAAUCACUCUUGUACAAACAGAAUGAAAAAUAGAAAGAUUGAAAGAAAAGUUUGUUACGAUGCCGUGAUGGUUUCUCUGAAAACUAACAUUUACUAAAUUAACAUUAUUUACUAUUGAAGUAAUGUAUUAGAAACAGUGUACAUUAAUUCAAUUAAUUGAAGGGUACAAUUGAAAUAAAAUAAUAAUUCUAAAUGUUUUUUUAUAAGCAAAAUUUAAAUUAUAAGGAAUAUAAGGGGUACUCAACCCUUAUAAUUCACGGACUAUCGCCUCACAUACAUUGUAAACAGGCUAAAAGAUUAUUACACCAAUUUGAGAAAAUCAAAUUUCAAUUGUUCCCGAAUGGCCAAUAAACCAAUACCAUGAAAAGUAAAUAAUUUGCUCGUUAAAGAAUCAAUAUCUAUACAAGCACCUCUAAAUAAUAUGUUGUUGCGCGCCAAAUGCUCCACGGUGUCCAAAUUGAGUAUUUACUAUACGGGGUAGUGCAAAAUAGUGUUUUACAAGUAGUGUGAAGCUGGAAGGGGGUACGCGGUGGAAAGAUGUGCGGGCAGUGGCUUGUCAUUGCCUUUAGUUUUGGAGAAAUAAGGAAAAGAGCACCACAACCAUUUUAUUUGCCCUCUAUAUAUAUGUAUAGCAUGUUAUUAUGCAGAGUCCGGGAAUAUCAAAUCAGCCAUGCCCCUAGUAAUAUAGUACAGCAGGUUUAGAGGAGUGAAUAGUCUUGUUUGGUGAAGCCCCCCCGGAAGGAGAGUGGGUGAGAUUAAAUACUGACGGAGCUUGCAAGGAUGGUUAGAGAGCUGGGUGUGGUGGUCUUUUGCGUGAUAAGCAUCGUGGUUGGUUGGGUGCUUUUGCUAAAUAUAUUGAUAAAUGUCGUGCUUUUGUGGCAGAGUUGUAGUGGUGGAAGGCUUGAAUUUUGUUGGACAAAAGAAUUUUGGAAGGNNNNNNNNNNNNNNNNNNNNNNNNNNNNNNNNNNNNNNNNNNNNNNNNNNNNNNNNNNNNNNNNNNNNNNNNNNNNNNNNNNNNNNNNNNNNNNNNNNNNNNNNNNNNNNNNNNNNNNNNNNNNNNNNNNNNNNNNNNNNNNNNNNNNNNNNNNNNNNNNNNNNNNNNNNNNNNNNNNNNNNNNNNNNNNNNNNNNNNNNNNNNNNNNNNNNNNNNNNNNNNNNNNNNNNNNNNNNNNNNNNNNNNNNNNNNNNNNNNNNNNNNNNNNNNNNNNNNNNNNNNNNNNNNNNNNNNNNNNNNNNNNNNNNNNNNNNNNNNNNNNNNNNNNNNNNNNNNNNNNNNNNNNNNNNNNNNNNNNNNNNNNNNNNNNNNNNNNNNNNNNNNNNNNNNNNNNNNNNNNNNNNNNNNNNNNNNNNNNNNNNNNNNNNNNNNNNNNNNNNNNNNNNNNNNNNNNNNNNNNNNNNNNNNNNNNNNNNNNNNNNNNNNNNNNNNNNNNNNNNNNNNNNNNNNNNNNNNNNNNNNNNNNNNNNNNNNNNNNNNNNNNNNNNNNNNNNNNNNNNNNNNNNNNNNNNNNNNNNNNNNNNNNNNNNNNNNNNNNNNNNNNNNNNNNNNNNNNNNNNNNNNNNNNNNNNNNNNNNNNNNNNNNNNNNNNNNNNNNNNNNNNNNNNNNNNNNNNNNNNNNNNNNNNNNNNNNNUACCUUUGAAGGGCUUAAAUUUGUAUGUAUCUUUAUAUAGUCUUACACUAUUAUACUAACAAAUAUAGCACCUAGUCAGUGUCCCAAUUGAUUAUCAAAAAAACUAUGGUCAAUUUAGAAUCAAUGUCAAUCUAGAUUCAAAAAAGCAUGGAACAUAACUAUGGCAUAAACAACAUGGUACUUCAAGAAGAAAACAACAUAUAUGGAUGACUAUUUAAAAAUACCUGCAUGUGAGUUCUGAGAAGUUCAAUAGGAUAACAAGUUGCACAAGCAAGUGAGCGUGCCAACGAACCAGCCAUAAAGGUACAUAUGGAGAUGCGGUUGGAGCACUUUUGCUUGUGUCUUCCUCGAACCAGUUGCAGAAUAUGUCACAGCAAGGAAGGUAAAUUUCAACCUGAUUUAAGCAUACAAAAGAAUAGGUCAGCCAAUUACCAUGCUCUCAUUAUGCAGUAUCCAGUACUUAAUACAGUGAAUCACAGUUAAUUGACUNNNNNNNNNNNNNNNNNNNNNNNNNNNNNNNNNNNNNNNNGUCAAUACUGCAAGAGCCAGGCCUGCAUUUGUGCCUCUCCAUAGCCUAGUAAAUCCUUCCAUAAAUAAAUACCACUCUUGCAUUGAUUAACUAAUGUGUGUAGUCAAGACAAAUGUAUGUAAUGCAAGUAAAUAAUUGUUGCAAUCCGUCCAAUACAUAUACCUAUAUAUUCUAUAAUAUUAAACUACCAACCUGUUGUAUAAUUUUAAACAUGAUAUCUAGUGUUCAUUUGUACGGAAAACAAUCGGGAGGACAAAGUGAUACAGUGCCAUGGAGAACAUCUUAAAUCAGCUAACAUUUGGAAAACAAUAUUGGAAAGGUAAAAUUAAUUUCACUUGCACAAUUAUCCUUGUUAAAAAAAAACGGGAUUUCAACUAUGGAUAUAUCUACAUCAAUAGCUAUACUAAUGAUAUAUAUGUAGCCAUGGAAUAUUUUAAUUUUUGUGCUUGUGAAUUGGUUCAAAAUUAAAAUCAUUUUUUAGAGUCAAAGCAUGUUUGUUUUUUAGAGCAAAGACAAAAAUUAAUCAUGACAAUCUACUAGGUUGAGUUGUGUAACAAACGAGUUCGUAAUUAUAAUCUCUAAUUGUGACUGAAAUGGGUUGAAAUGCAUUAAAAAUCAAAGUAGGAAACAAAAACCAGAAUUAAAAAAGAUAGGCACAAAAUUAGAAUUGCAANNNNNNNNNNNNNNNNNNNNNNNNNNNNNNNNNNNNNNNNNNNNNNNNNNNNNNAGUGUGAAUGAAAUGAAAUCAGACACCAGAAAAAAAACUAGAAACUACAAUUGUGAACUCGGUGCAAAACGAAAUCAACAUGAAAUUAGAAAUAAACUUAUGGAGCUUAUGCUAGAACUUCUUUCGCAGUUUCUCCUUUAACUUCUUUCAAAUUUUUAAAAUGGUACAAUCCCUUAAAAAGAUAUCAAUUCUUACAAUGAAUUCAAACAGAUUGAGAAUCAAAUCUCACUAAUUACUACCUUUACAAAUUGAUUAAAGGCUCAUAAUAAAAGUGAGAAAUUAUUGUAGUAUAAAUUAGACAUGACAAGACAACACCUCUUUCAUGCUAGACAUGAGAAAAAUAAAAACAAACACCGGAGUAUAGUAUUACAAAUCACAGAUAUAAAAAGCCAAAUUAAAAAAUACCACCAUGGAAAGCUUUAAUUCAAGAUCAAAUCAACCAUUCUCUUAUGUUCUAGCAUAAUAUAACAUUAACAAUAUAGGGAAAAAAAACACCAAUAAACAAUCAGAAAAUUAAAAAUGGACAAUUUCUGGUGACCAUAAAAGAAGACAAGUUAUUAAUUAUUUCGGUCGCUAAAUCGGUCUCUAAAAGCGAAUUUUCUAGUAGUGGGAUUUGUGGUGUAUUGGGUUACUUGCUAAUCAAGCAGAUUAAGCGCCUCUCCUAAGUCUUGAUUGAGAUGUUAAAGUUUGUCAUUCUUAUCGUGAAACAAAUGUGUGCAGGUAAAUUUGCAAAUAUGAGAUGUUUAUUAAGCAGUGAAAUUAUGAUUUUUGAGGAAUGUCCGAUUCAAAUUUGACAUUUGUUUACUUCUAAUACUAUGGAAUAUUCCAUGCAUCGCUUGAUCCUUUUGUAGUUUUUUUUUUUUGACAAUGUGCUCUAGGGGGGGUGGUGAGUUUUGACAAUGUGCUCUAUGCAAUAAAAAUAUAUAUAAAGAAUUUACAAAAUGAAGUUAUGAAGAAGAGAAAGUGAAAAGAGAAAGAAAAUGAGUAACAUCUAGAGUAACACAUUACACUAUAAAUAAAUCGACUAUCCAUAUUAUUGGGGAAAUUAAAGAUUAAGUUUUGUUAAAAGGUUUGGUAACAUAGUAGCUGAUCAAUUGGGUUGGACUAGCUUAGUUGAGCACAAUUCAAAUUGGCUUUUUACACCUCCCCCUUGUAUUGUUUCCCAAUUUCUUUUGGAUUUGGACCUUUUUAAAUCUUAAUGACUUUCUUCUUAUUCAAAAAAGACCCCACGAAGAAGAACAUCAUUUUUUUAAAGUAGAACGUGAAGAUCAUUGUAUUGACUAACGCUAACAUAUAAUGAUUGAUCUUACUAAUUAUUUUGAGAAUAUGAACAACAGAAUAGUAUCUGACUAUUUAAUUGGAAACAAACAAACAUACCACGCAAGUGCUUACUUUUAAAAAUAUAUGACUAAUUAUUAAUUAGCAUUAUUUUAAGGAAGUUUAAUUGCAACCACAAGUUUAUGAUUAAAAUAUUUGAUAUCACGGUUCACCACAUAUCUUAGGUGUAGUAAUAUGAUAUGGUAAACCAAAAAAUUGAGUGUUAUUGGAGGGUCUUUUAGUGUUAAGAUAUCUCAGCAAUGCUGACUAACAUUGCAACAUAUAUUUUCAAGAUUUUUUUCAUUGAAAAUUAAUUUAAAUUUUGAUGUUUUUCAGAGACAAAUGAUUGUGUUUAAUUUACUAGAGAAAGAAAAUUUUGUUUUCAAUGAAUAUUUAAUAUUAUUUUUUUAAAUGGCAAAUGUUAAUUGUUAAAUUCAUUCUUUUUUCUUUCUAUUUUUUCUGGAAUUAAACUUGAGAUCUCAAACUCAUUUUAACUAUUAGUUCAAAUCAGUUGAGUAAUUCCAUUGAACAAACAGUGAUUUAAUCUUGAAUGUCCUAAUGGCGGAACAUGUAAGGGUUAGGGUUAUAGGGUGAUCAUUUUAUGUUUCUUUGUUAACCGCAAGUAGUUAACUAUUUCAAAACCUAGUCAAAAUAGAAGAACUCAACUUGUGUGUGUGUGACAAAUUCUUAUGCGAAGAUUAAGAAUUGAAAUUGACUUGCUGUAAAGUUUCACGCAGUUUGGCAUUGUACUUAAUUUCAUUCAUUAAACUGAAAUCAGAUGAUUUGAGUUGCACAUCAACUUUAACACAUUUAUACAAUCUCGGCGUUUAAUUGAAAUCGAACGACUGCACAUGUAGUAUCUCAAAGAUUAUUGUUACUUAACACGUAACAAAUAUAGUCAAUGACAUAUAUGUUGAGUUUUGAAAUGGCACGCCUUUGUGACAUUUUCAUACUUUGUGGUGAGAAAGUUUUAAAUGGUCAUUUGAUAUAAUAUUAAAAUAUAUCAAGUAAUGACACUAACAAAAAUAAAAAUUAACCCUGUAUAAGAGACAGUGAAAAUAUAUUUAAAAAAAUUUGUGGAGAAGAAUGACCAACAUUUCACAAUCAAGUUCAUAAUCAUGAACAUGAAUUAUGCUUUUUUACCAAACAACUUGAAUUGGCUCGUGAAUGACGAUGAUUCAUAUAAGUUAAAGUUGUUAUAAUUGGAUAGUUUAUUUAUUGGUUCACGUUGAAGUUGAACCUAUUACAACAAUAUAGAUGACACAUUAUUAAUAUUAAUAUUUUAAAGUAUUCUACCAGUACUAUAGGUACUUGAUUUGUGUGGCUGCUAAUUCGAAUUGGUAUGUGUUGUUAACUUAGGAUUGGCUAUUUGUUUGGCUAAUUAGUAAUUACUGUUUUUACUGACAUUAAUCGUGAAGAAAUUAAAGCUUUAAAUUUUUUAUUUUUUUAAGCUUAAUUUUGUAAUUUUUUUCUAAGCAGUUAGUUUAUCGAUUAGAUUUACACAUUAUAAAUGUAAAAAGGUAAAAAAAUUUAAGUUUGAAUAUAUUCAGACAACAUAUGUGUUUUUUAAAAAAUUACCUUUUGUUUUUCUUAAAAAAAAACUAAUACUUUUUUUUGUCAAAUAGUGUAGAGUCUGAGAUUUAAACUUAUCAACAGAGUUAAGCUCACAACAAUGAAUUGGUCCAAGUGGUAAGGGCUUUGGUCCCCUUAAGCAUGUGGUCAGAGGUUUGAUUCCUGGCUCAUGCGUAUGGAGAGAAUUUAGUUGGGAAGGGAGAACCCACCUUGUAUGCCCCACAGGUUCCCCGACGAAGAUUAAUCAUCGCUAUCGGCGGUGGAAACUUCGUACCAAUAUCAUGAUAACCAAAAAAAAAAAUUCCCAAGAUCUCAUAUUUUUUAUAUUCACUUCUUAUAUUGCUAUUUAAUUUUUGUUUUGGUACAUAAGCAACUUAGGAAUCUAAUCUAAAAGUGUGUUUGCAUGAGCUAAUUUGAAAUUCUAAUUUAGAAAACCAAAAUUUUAAAUAAUUAUAUGUAGACAUCGAAAGUUUACAUUUUUUUUAAAUACUAUAUAUACAUUUGUUAUCUCUGUUAAUUAUAAUUAUGAAUAUUAUAAAGAGUUGAAUGCAAAAUUACAUGAGAUAGAUAAUUAAAUGAUUGUUUAGUCCCUUAUAUAAAGAGAAAUAUUUUUGUUGAUCUUAAAAAUGAGAGCAAGAGAAAGCAUUGUCGCUUUUUUUAUUUAACUGAGAAAGCAUUGGCACUUAUAAUGUUUAACAAUUCAUCCUAAAAUGUUAUUUUGAGUAUAAUAGAUACAACAAUGAAUAAGGCCUCGUUUGGAUUAUUUUAUUUUUGAGUUUAUACAAACAGUGUAUGUAAUAUAAAUUAGAUUUUAUGUUAUUUUAUAAGUUCACACUAAUGAAAAUUGCAUUUUUAUAAUCUAUAUUUAAUCAUAAACUACCUUGACAAACUUAUAAUAAUACAUAAAAAUUGCAUAAACUUAAAAAUAAGAUAAUCUAAACAAGACCUAAGUCUUAUAAAAAUUUGGUAGUAAUUUAAAAAAUAUAAUAUUUUGUUUCAAAAAGCAAAAACUACAAUUUUCAUAGGCUUUGAUAACAAUUAUUAUUUUNNNNNNNNNNNNNNNNNNNNNNNNNNNNNNNNNNNNCGUCACAUUUGUGUCUUGUCAUCCAAAUUAAUGUGAAAUAAUUUCAAUCGAUUUUUGAAGAUAUGGUCAAAUAAUACUAGUAGUUUUGUUGUAAACUAUAACAUAUACUAGUAUAAUAAUAUAUUAAAAAUCAUUGUGGAAGGAUUAUGUGCGAAACAUAUGAAAUAUAGUAAAAAUAAAUAAGAUUAAAUAUUUAAACUAAUAAAUAAUUUUAAAAGGCUUGAUAUUUUUUUUACAAAAAAAAAUUGACAUUGUAAACUCUAAUAUCGGUGUCAAUUAAGAGAGAGAUGAAAAUGAGCUUUGACUUCGUCUUCUCUACUCAACAGUGACGUUCAAUAGAAACAUGUUACGAAAUUUUUCAAUAUUAAUUUUAAGUCAUCAAUGUCAACCAUGUCUUUUCGUGACAACCUUAGUUUCAACGUGAUCCUUCAAAGCUUGUGAAAAGGAAGACAUGAUUGCCAAAAAACUAGUUCGAUUAAUAGAAUAUAUGAAAACGACAGCCGACUCCUUACAAAAAAAUUUCAUGACACCAAAGUUUUUCAAGAUAUGUGCACUCUUUUGAAAGAUACCUAGACCACAUAUUGCAAGACCCAUAAGAAAUGAGGUUGAUCCUAAGUGCCUCUGAAUAAAAUACACGACUGAACCAAGACGUUUAGUUGAAAUUAUGUUAAAAAUGGAGCGAGUAGGCCACGUGUGAUGAUUAAAAAAGUUACCUCUCAAAAUAAGUGGUGAGAAAGAGGAAAAUCAAGCCAGGAAACAAGUAGAUGAUCAACAGAGUAAUACAUAUCCUGAUAUGCGUAUUGUUGACUCUUUAAGUGAUACAGAGAUAAAGAAUGAGUAUAAUCGAGAAUAUAGAGGUAGAAUCCUCAUGCAUGUAAUGUGAGGAGCUUUUUAUUUUUCUUUCACCGGCCAUUAAAAGAAAUCCUCAAAUCCAAUAGUAUGAAUUAGACCAAAAAUUCAAAUUAAGAUCGUAUAAGAGUCUUGUCUUCAUGAUUUAUUAGACCACCUGUUAUCAUAUUUUUGUUAUCGAAACACCCAUCAAACUCAAUAGUUUUGGGUGUGAUAAAUGAGUGUGUUAAAAGACUCACAUUUAAUAAUAAAAAGAUGACUUAAAAAUAUGUUUCUAAAUAUUAAAUAUUAUUGAAUUGUAUGUAUGAUAUAUAUUGAAGGUUUAAUGGGUUCUAUGACUCUAUCUUUGAAUUUUUCUCAUAUUCCUCUUUUUCUUCUUAAUGAAUAUUUCAUUACUUUUAAGUUUUCAGAUGAUGAACGGCCCCUAAGUUAGACUUGUGCAUUCUUUGAUUUCUAUAUUGUUUCUGAAAAGGGAAUUAAUGUGAAUAAUUUACUCAAGAUUUGAUUAUUGAAUCGCUCUAAGCAUGCAUGUCGUUUGCAUUAAAGUAUAGCAUUAUAUCGACUUGUUAGAUAGAUAGACCAGAUGAGGGAAUGGCUUCCCAAUAUAUUCCUGUCAACCCUUAUCUUAUUCGGAAUCGGAUAGGAACAGGAGUAAAGAAGGAUGUUAUUGGCAUGCCCUAUACGUAAGUUCUAAUCUAUAUAGUAUAUUUUUUUCACAUAUAUAUAAUAUAAGUUAUAGUUCUAUAGACUAUAGUAGUAUAUAGCAUAAAUAUAUGUUUACAUAUUCUUUAUUUUAUCCAUCCUUAAUUAUUUUAUUUUAUCCAUUAUUUUAUUUCAAUUUAUGCUUUGAUAUAGUUUACAAUGAAGGAAGUCAUGCGGUGGUUUUAUUUUGAGGAAUGUUUAAUUUUAUUACUAGAUUUCAAGUUUAUUAUUUGAAAUGUCUACUUAUUGGACCAAAUACAAGAACAAGAUGACAAAGAAGAAGCAGGAGAAGCAUCAUCAAGAGAAGUGCUGAAUUUUUAUUCGAAUGAAGAGGCUUAACGUAAAUUCCCUAUAUUAAUUAAUAUCAAGGAAUAAUUAAAACCGUAAAUUAUUGACGGUUAGGGCAGAGAUUGUGUGGAGGGAUAGUGUAUCGGCGCGUAUAAAAAUAGAAAGAAAAAAUAUAGAGACGGUAAAUGGUAAAUUAAAAUGAGGGUAAAAUAUGAAAAAUAUUUCAACAAUCAACUAUUUUGGUAGGAUGUAACCAAGAAAACUAUUUUGGUAAGACAACUUUAUGCUAAAAAAAAUUUAAAAUGAACGAAAUGAGUACUGAUUGGUUAAGAUGGUAGACACCACCAUCAUGAUUUCUAGUUGUAUAUUAACAAAUUGAUAAGCCUAUCAUCCCCGAUCUCUUGUUGUUUUGUGAUCAUAAGCAGUAAUGUUAGAUAACAUUGACGGUCUUCUUUACCUUGUCAUCUUUUAUUAGAGUUUAAGAUCGGCUUAUAGUUUUUUUUUUCUUUCUUUUUCCAAGUCUUAUUUACUCUUCUUCUUUUUAAUUUAUAUUGUUGUAAUGAUUAUUGUUUACUUAGAAAAAAUACAUUGACAAUGUUUCUUUUUGCCUCUCUGAUAUUAUUCGAGCAGUAGAUAGUCCUAUUGAGUUGAAUGUCAUCAAAUAUAUUUCUCCCAAUGAGGUUCAUUUAUCAUUUAUCAUCAAAUAUGUUUCUUUGUAUCGUACUUUAAUUUGUUUGUAAACUUGGUGUACCAUACUAUUAUUAGACUUGAUAUUGCUUAUGAUGUGCAUGUCAUUAGUCAAUUUGUUGAUUCUCCCACUACAGUACAUUGGGUAGUCGUACUUCAUAAUUUAUGUCAUCUUCGGGGAACUUAGUUUCAUCAUAUUCUUUUGAGUCACGUGCUUACUCACGAGCUAGUGACCCUACUGACCAUAUAAGUCUAGGUCACGAGGUUUUGUAUCUUUCUUGAAGAUUCUCUCAUCUCUUAGAAGAGUAAAAAUUGGACACACUCUCUCCCAACAAAUUGUUGAUUUGUUCAUGAAAAUUUCAUUAAGUGUUUUUGUUACUUGAUUAACAAACUUUCCAUGUUUUAUUGUAUAAGUAAGGGUAGUUUCGUCUUUUCUAAUAUAUAUUCUAUUAUAACUUCUUCUAUUUUUUAGUAAAACGUAUUUAUAGCAUUUCAUUAAUCAAAAUGCAUGUGUUCAAUAUAAUAAGGUAUUUCAAUUAAUAUUUUAAAAUUAGUUAUGCAUGUGAUCGCCUCAGUUAAACUAUAAACAACCCUAUUAUUUAUCGUCUACAUUAAAGUUGUUAUAAUAAGAAAAAAAGAGUAGUCUACAUUGUGAAACUAUUUCUCUCAUUUUAGUAUCUUCACCCUUAACUUUGUUAUUCAUACUAGCGGGCUAGGUAGGUGCGUUCCGCAUCUGCCUGUGUCUAACUCCUGCCCAAACAAAGAUAUGACUUAUGUUCCGCAUCUGUCUGUUUAUUAAUAAAAUAUUUUUGCUACUAAAAAAAAUGUGUCUUAUAUUAUGGUGAGUUUGUUAAUAAAAGAUUUUUGUUGCUAUUAAAAAAAUCAAGGGUAUUGUUGGUAUUAUGAAAAGUCCACACCAAAACUCAUGUAUCCUCUUUAUAUAUAGUAUAGAAGAUAUAUUCAAUUAAAACCCUAUAUCUCCUUUUUCUCUUCUGUAAAAAAAAAUUUAUAUCUAUGUAACAAAUAAACAAAAGUAUUAUUGACAAACCAAUAUCUAAUAUUGCAUUAUCGUCUAAAAAAUAAUUAAAAUUGCAUUGAACUUUUUUUUUAAAAAAAUAGGACCUUUAAGAAAAACAAAUAAAUAGUUUUUUUUUUCAAAUGGAACAAACAAAAAGAAUGGAGGGAGUAUAUUUUGUUGAGAGUUAAUUCAUAUUACCUAAUGCUUGUCUAAUUGUGUUACUUGUGUACUAAGAUAGAAGUUUGUCUACUUUCUGUUUUGGUUGUUAUGACGGUUAGGAGUUAGUUAGUGAUGCAGUUACUUGUUUCUCAAGUAACAUAGCAUAUAGGAAGAUAAAUAAGUAUUGUAUUGUGACUUUGUUAACGUGUGUGUGAUCAAUAGAAUACUCUCUUUCAUUUCUCUUCAUCUUCUCCAAUUUUUAUUAGGAAAAUGUUAAAUAGUGCACCCGGUGCAUUGGUUAAGCAUCCUAAAAAUGAAAUUUUGUUUUGAAAUUUGUGCAUUCAAUGCAUUGAAAGUGUAAAAAGUUGUUUUUAUCCACAUUAAUUUUAUGUUUUAUUUCUAUUUUUGGUAUGCUUAACUAGUGCACCAGGUGCACUGUUUAACAUGACCCUUUUUAUUAUUCCAUAGAUUUUACAAAGUGUGUGUGGUAACUGUGUUAGAUGCGCCUUGAGCCUAAAUACAGUGCGUGUGGGCGCGCGCAAUUGUGAUCAUUGUGUGAUUCUGUCGCAAUGUAUUUAUUUUUCAUGUUUGUUUAUUUUCAAAGAAAAAAUCGACCUCGUGAACCAAAACUACAAUGGAGAAAAUUGUUGAAAAAUAUUACCUCUAUAUAUUCGCAAUAAUCUUUUAUAAAUAAUCGCUUAUCUUUUAUAUCAAGAAAUAAAUAUUAAAAAAGCAUUUUAUUUAUAUAAUGUACUUUCAGACAAAAGAAAUAAUAAUCCAUGUUCUAUGGUGGUACUUUGAAUUGAACGUAUCAUUUUCUCAAAUUAUAAGAUUUUUUGUCGUGUCACAUUAGAUCACAAAAUAUCUGUACUUUUGUUCACCUUUUGUAGGACACUUCGCAAUGCAAAUUGCAUCUACAUGCAAGUUGGAAUAUUCAACUUAUAAUAAAGUUUUUUUUUUCCUAUUAAAACCAAUAAAAAUUAAAAAGUGACUUAGUUUUGUGGCUUCCUUUAAAACACAAUCGAAACUGUACCUCUCAGAUCACACGUGACAUCAGGACCGACCCUUCCCUAUUUUGCGUUGUACAGAAAACUGAAAAUAACAAUACAAAAAUAAAUAAAUAAAUAAAUAAAUACAACAAUACAGCAGUAUUCAAUUAUUAAAAUGUUGAUUCAAUGAUUCAUCCUAUUUUGCUUACAUUCUACUGAAUGGAACAAAGGUUUAAAAAAACUUUGAAAAUGCUGGGAAAAUAGUACAAAUAUUUUAUAUGCAAGAUAGUUGUUUAUUACCGCAUUUAAUAUUUUGCUUAUAUAAUUGAGAAAACAAAUAUAUCAUUUUUUUUUUUUACUCUAAUGAUGUCAAAUUUAAAUGUCUAUAGCAUAUUGUAUCUGAUGAUUACUAGUGGCAAAGUCUAUGGUGCACAAGUGACUUAAGUUGUGCACUAUGCACAAGUCACCGAAAACACUAUAACGAAUACGAAUUUUACAAAAUUCACCGUUGGAUAGAAAGUUUAUAUCGUAUAGAUCAUCCAUAAAUUUUUUAAGAAAAAUUAAAAAUCAUUUGAUAUGUUAUUGAGACCCGUCAAAAUUAACGAUUUAUGGAUUUUUAUUCAAUACCGUUAAUUUUGACGGGUCUCAAUAACAUAUCAAAUAAUUUUCAAAAAAAUUUAAAAAAUUUAUGGAUGAUCUAAACAAUAUAAACUUUAUAUUCAACGGUGAAUUUUGUAAAAUUUGUAUUUGUUAUAAAAAUAUCGAACACUUGUGUACCAUGCACCACUUAAUCAAGUGGUGCAUGUUAGACAAAGCCGAUUACUAGUAGAAAAAUGAUAACUAGUGUCAUCGAUAUACUUAGUUAUGAAGCCUAAUAUAGUAAAAUGGUCUUUAAAUUUGUGUAUUUCUUUUUCUUAAAAUAUAGAAAAUGUUUUUUUUUAUUUAUUUAUAAUGAGCUAUAGAUCGAACUCAGGACCUAUAACGUACUACCAAAACCCCUCACUAUUAGACCAAACUUAGUGGCUUAUAUAAAACUUUCAUAAUUUUAAUAAUAGAUAAUUAAAGAUAUUAGUGAUCAAAAUCGUACAUUGACAUAUAUGUAGUGGUCAAAAAUGACAUUUAAAAAGGAAAGAAGUGAGUACAUGUUUGUUAUUUUUCUCAAGAUCCAUUUAAAUAUUCCAUUUUUUUAAUUGAAAAAUGAUAUUUAUCACCGACUAAAAAAUAUUUACGUGGAAUCUCUGGUGCAUUCGUAACAAAUUAGUGUUUGAUGGUGUAAUGUAUCUAGUGUUGAAGGAACUGUUGAGACUACAUCAAACACUAAUUUGUUACAAUAACGCAUGAAUAUCUCAUCUCUCUUUAUUUUAUUUUAUUUUUGAUAAUCUCUCUUUAUUCUUUCUAACCGAUGUCGUAAAAAUGUCCUUAAUUAAUGAGGAUGAAACUUUUAGUUUUCCUAUAUUUUUUCUUCAUGUAAUGUAACAAAAAAAAAACGAAUUAUGGGUCCACUACUUCAUCUUUCUAUAUUGUCAAUGCCGUUUUUCUUUGUUAUAUGUUUUUAAAUGGCAAAUAUGAAAUUGCUAAAAAAAUAAAAAAUCCUUUAAAGACAAAUUGGAUAAAAAUAUUCUAUACUUAUUUUACCAUGCAUGGACAUUCAUAAUUAAGCUCACCCAAUGACAAUAGGCUUAGUUGGAUUGGAUUAUGCCUAAUCUUGAUAUAAACAAGUAUUUCUAUAUAUAGAUGCGCAUAAAUAUAUUAAAUCCCUAAUUAAUUAAAGCUUAUUUGUCAAUCUAAAUUAAACAAACACUAUCUAAAACGAUAAAUCAAGCGAGCACCACAUCAAGACAAAAACAAAAUCAAUAAUGCUGCACUAAAUUAUUUUUGUUUUGGCAUCUCAAAACUCAACUUUUAUUCCAUGCUUUUUGUUUAUGUUGAAUUAACGUUAAUCAGAUUAUCGUUUCAAGCAUAAAACACUAUUGUGAUUCACAGGGCCGGCCCUAUGGGUGUGCAAAGUGUGCCACCGCGCAGGGCCUCAAACAUUUAGGGGCCUUAAAUUGUUUAUAUCGGUUUAUUAGAAAAUUUAUAUAUGUAAAAAAAAUAAUGACUUUGUUACUACUAAAAAUAUUUGAGUACUAAAAAAAAGAAAAUUUAAUAGACACACUCUUAAUUUUAUAAGUAACUUGUGGUUGAUUGUAAAAUAAGAAACUAACAUUUCAUGAAAGUUUUUUUUCCCGAAGGAACCGUAAGUUGAUAAUGAUAUUAGAUUGGAGAUAUAUUUUAAUGUUGUUGAUUAAAAUAUGUCGCUUUUAGAUGUUAUUUACUAUUCAAAUAGAUAAUAACAUUUGGAAAAAAAAAUAUUUUUUAUUAAAGAUCUAUUUUUAAAUUUCAAACAGGACCUCCAAAUACUCGGGACCGGCCCUGGUGAUUCACGAACUUCUACGUUUAAAAAUGUUUAAUGGAAUAUUUUUUAAAUAUUGAAUAAUUUUUAUAAUCAUUUAAUAUAAUAAUGUAUUAUUAUUUCUUAUAAAAAAACUAAUAAAUUAUUAGUUUUUUCAUAAGAAAUAAUAAUACAUUAUUAGCAAUAAUGUAUUAUUUUCACACAAAUAAGAUUGAAUCUAAAUUUAACAAAAUGAAUUAUACUUUUACAACUUGACGAAUCAAAGUUCAAAUUAAAAAAAAAAAUCGUCUCAUAUUUUAUCUUAUAGGCAUUGAACAUGAAUUACUUCUUAUGGCAAAAAAAAUAAAAUUCCCUCCAAUAUGAAUAUAUCUAUAUAGUAUAUAUUCAUAUUACUAGUUUUAUUUUGAGCAUGUACUAUGUACAAUGUACAAUAUGAAGAAUAUCACAUCAUAUAUAUAAUGAGUCAGGAUCCGUUGACACCAACUAGUUUGACACCAAAUGUUACACAUCUCAAUAACGUUUUAACCGAUAUAAAUUUUAUAAAAUCCACCGUUGGAUUGAAAGUUUACAUCAUAUAGAUCAUUUGUNNNNNACAAAUGAUCUAUAUGAUGUAAACUUUCAAUCCAACGGUGGAUUUUAUAAAAUUUAUAUCUGUUAAAACGUUAUUGAGAGGUGUAACAUUUGGUGUCAAACUAGUUGGUGUCAACGGAUCCUGACUCAUAUAUAAUAAUCACAUUAUUAAUUUUCUUUUUGAGUAUUUUUUUGGUACAAGUUUUCUUUUUGAGUAUGUACUAUGUACAAUGUAGUGAUGUACAUUAUGAAGAAUAAUAUGCCAAUAAUAAUAUUUUUACCAAAAAAAUAAAUAUGCUCAAUAAUUUGCGUGUUUCAAUCAAAAAAAUUAUUUAAUUAAUUAAAUUGCGUGUAAUUUUGUCUUUUUGAUUUUUUUUCUUUCUAUAAAACAAACUCAUUUGGCCACCAACCUCAAAAAAUAAAGACUCUGUUUUUGUGUGUUUGGAUUCUCUUCUCUUUACUUCCAAAUUUCCAAUUUGUAUAUUCUUCCUUCUUUCAAUCAAAAUCCAGUUAUUCAUUUUUCUCAACUGGGUCUUGUUCAAUCUCUAUUGGGGUUGUGAAUUCUACGUUUCUGAGUUUCAAAGUUUCUUCCUUUUCACUUUCUGGAUUUGGGUUUGUUUCAUUUCUCAUCCGGGUCUCCAAUAGAAUUUGAAUUUUCAGGUAUUAAAUUGAAUUAAGUUAAAGUUAUUGUUUAUAAAGUUUUAAUUUUUGGUUAAUUUUGUAAACUGGGUUAGUUCAAUUUUUUGUUUUUUUUUCAUGGGUUGUUUAGUUAUUGAAUUGAAUAAAACUUUGGUCAAAAAAAUUAAAUAAAAUUGAACCAAACUGAAGUUAUUGUUCAUUGUUCAUAAAUUGUGUAUCUUUGGUUCAUUUUGUAAACUGGGUUAGUUCAAUUUUAUUUAUGUUUUUUUAUUUAUUUAAUUUAUUUAAUUUAUGGUUUUUUUUUGUUAUUAAAUUGAACUAAACUGAAAUUGUUGUUCAUUAAGUGUGUAUCUUUGGUUGAUUGGUUCAUUUUUUAAAACUGGGUUAGUUCAAUUUUUUAAUUUGUGUUUUUCUUAAGGGUUUGUUUGGUUAUUGAAUUGAAGUUACUGUUCAUAAAGUUUGUAUCUUUGGUUCAUUUUGUUAACUGGGUUAGUUCAAAUUUUGAAUUUUGAGUUUUUUCUAAAGGUUUGUUUGGUUAUUAAAUGAAGUUAUUGUUCAUAAAGUUUGUAUCUUUGGUUCAUUUUGUCAACUGGGUUAGUUCAAUUUUUGAAUUUUGUGUUUUUUUUUAAGGGGUUGUUUGGUUAUGAAAUUGAAGUUAUUGUUCAUAAAGUUUGUUUCUUUGGUUCAUUUUGAGAAUUGGUUAGUUAAUUUUUCUGAUUUUAUGUUAAUUUUUUUUUCAGGGUUUGUUAGGUUAGUCUGAAAUUCUCAAAGUUUGAAAAGUGAAAAACUGAAAAUGACAAUUGGAAAUCUUGCACCUAAGACAGAGAAGAAGAAAUCAUCAAGAAAGAGCAAGAACAAGGCUAUUGUUAGUGAAAAUACACCUUUGUUGCCCAAAAGUGAAGCCCAUGAAAGUGAUUCUGGGUUUGAUGAUUUCAAUGGAGCUUCAUUUUCUGGUGCUGUUUUCAACUUGGCAACUACAAUUAUUGGUGCUGGAAUCAUGGCUUUGCCUGCAACCUUGAAACAGUUGGGGUUGAUUCCUGGUCUUGCUGCUAUACUCAUCAUGGCUUUUUUGACUGAGAAGUCAAUUGAGCUUUUGAUUAGGUUUACAAGGGCAGGGAAAUCCGUUUCAUAUGCUGGUUUGAUGGGUGAUUCCUUUGGGACUAAUGAAACAGAACAAGAAAUGCAAGAAGAAUAUCAUGUGGUGGUCACGUGCUGUACUAACUAAUGAAAAGUUCAAACAUAACAAUAAUACUCUAGUGAGAAACCGAAAUCAAUUCCAAAGCACAAAUAGAAACAAAACAACUACGAAGCUUAAACCACAUCACUAGAAUGCGAAUCAGAAAGGAACGCGACAACGCCAGUGAUGCAGAUCCAAACACAGCAGCAGCAGAACCAUUUAUCUGCCCUCACGGUGGUAUUAUAGUCAAUAAAAAAGUUCACAGCAUUGACAAUAAUAAUUGACAUCUCUAGCUAGAAGUUAAUAAUCAUCAUAAUUUUUAUACUUCAUACUCUUAAUAACAAUAUCUGAUCUUAACAGUUGAUCAGAACAGGUGGAUGGCCAGCUGUAGUCCUUAGGUGCAGGUGGUAGACGACGGUCUGAGCAGCUUUACCACGGAGGGGGGGUUGUACCUGCAGGUGCUCCGAUGCCAAAGUCAGUAAGGGUAGAGAGCAAGAGGUACAAGAGAGAGAAGUUAGAGAGAGAGUAAUUAUGGAAUGAAUAGUGUCUACCUUGCUCUCCCAUGAGGGAGAGUAUUUAUAGCCCCCAGCUCUGGGCCAAAGGUCCCCUUAAUGGGCUGGAUCAGCCAAGGCCCAUUAAGAGGGACUGCCAAGAUAUCACCCUUAGAUAGUGGGUAGAGUAGUAAUUUUACCCUAUCUUGGUGGAGAGGUUGUUCCAUGCUGACAUGUGGACUUUGUGAGGGUCUAGGUGGACUAGCAUUAGUCUAGUCCAGAACAAUAUCUCCCAUGAAAAUGGAUCAAAGUUCAAUCCUAUACUUAUGGUAUUAUAGUCAAAGCUCAAUCUAGGUUUAAUAAAACUAAUGUCAAGGUUACUUAUGGCACUAAAUAGCAUAUUGUAGAACAACAGUUAGAACUUAGAACUACAUGCGUAGUUAGAAACAGACACUUUUCGGAUUAGACAUAUUACGACACAGAAACAUAUGAUUAUAUUGAAUUAUUAUUUUUUUCAAAUUAUUAUCGAUAUUAGUGUCUAUGUCGUAUCCGGUGUUUAUGUUUCAUAAGAUACAAUACAAGUAUACAAGAAAAACAAUAAAGAACUCAAAAUAAGGAAGACAAUUAGACACUGGUGUGAAAAUGUUAUCAAACAGAAUGAAAGCAAUGAAAUUAACCAACAUAAAAAGUAAUUUUUAAAAAACACAGACAAGUUACCGAAAACGAUGUGAUCCACUCCGUGUGGCGUAGGAAGCGUUAUUGGUGUUGUUUGGUUCUUUCCCGGCGAUGUGUUCUGUUCAGACAGCAACGAAACAGCAACGUUUCAUUUGCCACACUUUGCAUCAAGUAACACCUUUUUUUUCAUGUUCUGCUUUGUGGUUCUUAAAACUCAUGGCAUUUCACGUAGAUUCACCUCACUUUUCAUGCUUAACAGAGAAUCACUAUGCUAUUUCUCUUCUUCAACACAAUUACAACCCAUAUCAUCAUCAUCUUCUUCAAUUGUGGUUCCAUCACAAUCUAUGGUCCAAAGGGUAUGCUCAAUGGUGUGUGAAUUUUACAAUCAUAAUGCCAACAUGAGAGUUUCACCUCCAAGACUCCAUCUUGGGAUUGAUGUUGAUUCCUUAACACAUGAGCAAGCUGUUACCAUUGUUGCUUCACUUGCAAGUGAUGCUGGUUCAAUGGUGGCACUUAGUUUCUUCCAUUGGGCAAUUGGGUAUCCAAAGUUUCGAUAUUUUAUGAGGUUGUAUAUAGUGUGUGCGACAUCUUUGCUCGGGAAUAGGAAUUCGGAGAAAGCUCAUGAAGUUAUGCAGUGUAUGGUGAAGAGUUUUGCUGAGAUUGGGAGGUUGAAAGAGGCUGUGGAGAUGGUUAUUGAAAUGCAUAACCAAGGUUUGGUUCCGAAUACUCGGACUUUGAAUUGGGUGAUUAAGGUUGCAAGUGAAAUUGGUUUGGUUGAAUAUGCAGAGUUGUUGUUUGAGGAAAUGUGUGUGAGAGGGGUUCAACCGGAUUCUGUUAGCUAUAGGGUGAUGGUUAUUAUGUAUUGUAAGAUUGACAAUGUUUUGGAGGCAGAUAGAUGGUUGAGUGCCAUGCUUGAGAGGGGUUUUGUGGUUGAUAAUGCAACAUUUACGUUAAUAAUCAGCAAAUUUUGUGAAAAGGGUUAUGCAACUAGAGCGCAAUGGUAUUUUCGUAGGUUAGUUGAUAUGGGUUUGAAGCCUAAUUUGAUUAAUUUCACAUCUAUGAUUGAAGGUUUGUGCAAAAGGGGUAGCAUAAAGCAAGCAUUUGAAAUGUUGGAGGAGAUGGUUGCUAAAGGUUGGAAACCUAAUGUGUAUACUCAUACAUCAUUAAUUGAUGGACUUUGCAAGAAAGGAUGGACUGAAAAAGCGUUUAGAUUGUUUCUUAAGCUUGUUCGAAGUGAAAAUCACAAGCCAAAUGUGCUUACAUAUACUGCCAUGAUAAGUGGAUACUGUAGAGAGGAAAAACUAAACCGGGCAGAGAUGCUGCUGAGCCGAAUGAAAGAGCAGGGAUUAGUCCCGAACACCAACACUUACACAACUCUCAUUGAUGGGCAUUGCAAAGCAGGAAAUUUCGAAAGAGCAUAUGAUUUGAUGAAUCUAAUGAGUAGUGAAGGUUUCAAUCCUAAUGUAUGUACAUAUAAUGCCAUUGUUGAUGGCCUUUGUAAAAGGGGAAGGGUACUUGACGCUUACAAAAUGCUUGAGGAUGGCUUUCAUAAUGGCCUGAAACCAGAUAAAGUUACCUAUAAUAUUCUAAUGUCCGAACAUUGCAAACAGGCAAAUAUCAGGCAAGCAUUGGUGUUAUUCAAUAAGAUGCUAAAAAGUGGUAUUCAAAUUGAUAUUCAUUCAUACACCACAUUGAUUGCAGUCUUCUGUAGGGAAAGUAGAAUGAAAGAAAGUGAGAUGUUUUUUGAGGAAGCUGUGAGAAUUGGGCUCAUUCCUACAAACAAAACUUAUACAUCUAUGAUAUGUGGUUAUUGCCGAGAAGGAAAUUUGACCUUGGCUGUAAAGUUUUUCCAUAGGAUGAGUGACCAUGGCUGUGUUCCAGAUUCUAUUACGUACGGCGCUAUUAUAAGCGGCCUUUGCAAACAAUCAAAGCUCGAUGAGGCUCGGGGUCUGUAUGAUUCUAUGAUAGAAAAGGGACUUACCCCAUGUGAAGUUACUAGGGUAACAUUGGCUUAUGAAUAUUGUAAGGUAGAUGAUUGUUUAUCUGCUAUGGUUAUUCUAGAAAGGCUGGAAAAGAAACUCUGGAUCAGGACGGCUAAUACCUUGGUCAGGAAGCUUUGCAGUGAGCAGAAAGUAGGCAUGGCUGCACUGUUAUUUAAUAAGUUACUAGACAUGGAUGUUAAUGUUAAUCGCGUAAUAUUAGCAGCAUUUAUGACUGCAUGCUAUGAAAGCAAUAAUUAUGCUCUUGUUUCUGAUUUGUCUGCUAGGAUAAACAAGGAAAAUCGUUUGGACAUCAAAAACACAAAUUAACAACAAAAAAGUGCUUAGAGAGCUUUGGUCCCCUUGUAGGUCCCACCUAACCUAGCUUAACUCCAGAUUAAUUUGAGUUCAAGGUGGCAUUUGAAAAGGAGGGGUUCAGACCAGGAAAAAGUCAAUAAUUAGUAAUAAACAAUGUGCUUUUUAUUGCUGGAUGUACCUGUAUCUGUAAAUGAUAGGAUCUUGUGUUUGAAGAAGUAUCUGUGGGAUCGUCAUCAUGAAUUCUGCAUUAGCUUAGCGAUCAACAUUUGAGAUCACGAAGGGAAACAAUUGUGUAACUUCUCAUGUAAGGUACAUUUACCUCUCCACAUUGAAAUUUUAGAAAUUUAGAAAUCUUAAAAUGGUAUAGUUUAUCUCAAAAUUUGAAGGUUUAUUUGAUUUAGGUUUUCAUCAUUCGAUAUAAAUGCAGUGAUGAUGUUGUCAAGUGAAAUUAUCGCUUGGCACUAUGACAUGGUGGAUUAUUUGCCAUCCACCAUACGCCGCAAGGCCUAUUAUAUUCGCUGUGUUUCCUACAUAGGCAGCGAUACCAUAUGUAUAUUCGCUGUGUUUCCUACAUAGACAGAAAUACGGGAUAGACAACAGCAUGAGUGGAGUUUAUUUCAUGUACUCUUUUGCUGAAGCUGCUUCUCAUAACAAGUGCGGAUUUCCAAAUAGAAUUGACAUGUCAUAUGUAUUUAACCUGCACACUUUUUUACUCUCUGUAUAAUAAUCUCUUAAUUGCUGGAAAGGGAAAAAAGUGCGAGAUAAAUUUUAUACCUUUGUGGAGAAUCUUGAUGAUGGAUUUAUAUCAAUGAAACUUUUGCUGAGAGGUUUCUGACUUUUAUGCAAUAAGGAUUUGAAAAUUUUGAGUUUACAUAGUUUACACAAUUGUGCUUUGUUUGUAGCUCUUCCCAUAUAUACUAUUGUACAAAUCAGUAUCUUAAUGGCAUAAUCCACCCUCUUAAUUCUGUACAAAGCCUUGAGCAUGUGAAUCACAGAUACUGAGCCAAAACAUACUUACAUUAGAUAGUAUCUUUCACUGUGGCCAAAUGUCCUAUUACACUAGCAAAUGUUCAAAAAGCUACUAAGUGGUAGAAUGACUCGAUAAGAAAUUCCAAAAUAUAAAUAAAAGAGGACAUUUUUGGAAUGGAAAACUAAUAUUUGAGUAAACAGAUACAAUGUAACUCAACAGAGUUAAUAUCAUAAUUAGUUAACAAAAUGUAGGAGCUAGAUGAAUAAAAACAUAUCCACCACUUCAGCCUUUAUCAAAGUAUACUUGGCAAUAUACUUCAAAUGUAAAUACAGUACCUCGUCCUCUGGGGAUAGUAUGCCGUAAUAUUUGGGGAUUGACUCGGAUUCCCUUGUGUAGAAAAAAGUAUUUUUUACAUUCCAUUUGUUCCAUUGCAAGAAAUAAAAUAUUUUAAGUUUGUUGUAUUAGAGCCUGGUUUGGAAAACCCUUUGUUGUAUUGAUGACGAUGUUGGUGAGAACGAGGCCGUUGUAGAAGGUUCUGGAAUGUAUGGGGAAAAGGAGUAACGAGAUUCCGUGUUCAGAGAAUGCAACUGUAAAUGAAUUGGAAUCUGGGAAGAAAAACAUGUCUCUUGUUUUUUAUGCAGUGGAGGUUUGCUCAGAGAACUCUCUGCAAGUCUGCAAAGGUUGCUGGUUUAACUUUUCGAUGUCUAAGGUGGUGGCAGGAUGAACCCCGGGUCCUCCACUUUGUGCGUGAGUUUCCAAAAGCUUUUCAUUUCUUCUAUCCACAAAAAUAAAAAUGACGAAGUUGUUGUCCACAAAAUUUAAUAGUAAAAACAAUCGACGUGGGAUAUGUUUUAGGCUUAACUUGCUUUUUUCUCUUUUAGGUUCUUACAUUUGCGUUUUGUUUGGUAAAUAUGCGGAAUAGGUUUGUUUUAGGUAUGUUUUUGCCUCCUUUAAUGUUAUUUCUUUUGGCUCUUCCGAAAAAAUAAUUUCCCUCUUAGGUAGAAUUAAUGAUAAUUUCCUUUUUCUUGCAUUAAUUUUGAUAUGUGAUUGUUUACCUUCUGUUACUUUUGAAAGUACUGUUCUUUGAUGUGUUGUAACUUGUAACUAUUGGAACUGUUCUUUGAGAUAUUAGUUAUUUUCAGCUGUUCAUAAUAUUAAUUAUUUUAAGUUGUUCAUCCUUGAUAUUCUACUUAGUAUUAAUGUUUUUACUCUGAAUAGCAAAUGUAUUACCCCUUAGAAAGAAGUGAACUAAUUUCACCCACUCAUAUGACUGAUAAUGAGGUGAAUGAACAUGUGCCCAUAAAUUUAACUCAAGUAGAAGCAAAUCCAACUCAAGAAAAUGAAGAACUAGUUGUUCGGAGAAAGAGGGAAAAAAAUGAUGUUUGGAAGGAUGUUGAUGUAGUUGAAAUUAGUAAAGGUGUGCCGAAAGAUGUUUGCAAAUAAUGUAAACUACAAUUUGCUACUAGGGAAACAAGAGCUGGCACUAGUAAUAUAAGAAGACAUACUAGAAGUUGUGUUAGAAAGAAGUUGUAGACGACUACUGAUAAGAGAGACAUGCCACCAUUUCAUUUCGGACAUUGAAUUUAGGUAAUCCUUUCAUUGUUUCUGAUGCUAGACACUAACGAAAAAAUGAGGAAAUUAAUGGCAACUGCUAUCAUGGUUUAUGAAAAUCCUUUUAGUAUCGGAGAUUAUGAGGUUUAGAUGUGAUACUUCCAACAUUCAAAUCCAUAUUAUCAUAAGUUUACUCAAGAAAGUGAUUGUUUGACACUAUUUUAGAAGGAGAAGAACAUGUUGAAGGAACAUUUGAAAAGUGUGAACAAGAUUAGUUUUACUAUUGAUAUGUAGUAAUCUAGCCAUCUAGUGUUGAAUAUAUGGUUAUCACAAGACAUUUCAUUGACGCGGGAUGUGAUUUUAAAAGAGAGUUUUGAGUUUCCUGUAAGUACUCGCACCAAGGCAUGAUAUUGAUGUGAUUGAUGCUAUUUAUAAAUGAUUGAAAACUUGGGUAUUGAAAAUAAGGUUUUUUCAGUAUCUAUUGAUAAUUCAUGCUUGAUUCUUAUGAUUUCUCAAAGAGAAUUUAUCUCUAACUAGUAAGUUAAUCCUUGGUGGCUCUUUGUUUCAUGUAAGGUGUUUCGCUCAUAUAUUGAAUUUAUUAGUGCAAAAUGACCUUAGUAAAGUUAAGAACAUCAUUAUCAUUUUUAAUAUACAUGAAAUUGUCAAAUUUGUUAACCACAAUGAUGCAAGAUAAAGACAUUUUGUGAUAUGGUUGGGCAAAAACUUUGAAACAUUUUCUGCUCAACCACAUCACAAAAUGUGUUUAUUUUGCAUUAUUGUGGUUAAUAUAUUUGACACUUUCACAAAUAUUAAAAAUGAUGUUCUUAAUUUUACUAUGGUCGUUUUGCACUAACAAAUUCAAUAUAUGAGCGUACAUGAAACAAAGAGCCACGACUUACUACUUAGAUAAAUUCUCUUUGAGACAUCGUAAGCAUGAAGCAUUAUCAAUCGACACCGAAAAAACCUUAUUUUUAAUCCCUCAAGUUUUCAAUCAUUUAUAAAUAGCAUCAGCCACAUCAAUAUCACAACACAAAACUCAAACCUCUCUUUGAAGAUCCCAUCUGCAUCAAUGAAAUGUCCUACGAUAAGAAUAUAUUCAACCACUUGAUGGCUAAAUUACCACAUAUUUAUAGUUAAACUAAUCUUGAUCACACUUUCUAAAUGUUUCCUCAACAUUUUCUUCUCCUACUAAAAUAGUGCCAAACAAUCACCUCUUGCACUCUUAUGAGUAAGCUAUGAAAAUAUGAGUUUGUAUAUUGGAAGCCCCACAUCCAAACUUCAUCCUCGACAAUACUAAAAGGAUUUUCGUGAACCAUGAUGCAGUUGCCGUUAUUUUCUUCGUCGUUUCGUUAGAGUAUAUAGCACCAUGGCAAUAAAGGAGUUACCCAACUUCGAAGGCUAAAAUGGAAUGGUGGCCUGUCUCUUUUCAAUAGCCGUCUGCAACUUCUUUUUAACGCAACUUUUAAUACGUCUUUUGAUAUGACUAGUGCUAGCUCUUGUUCCCCCGGUAGCCGAUUGUAGUUUGCAGUAUUUGUAAAUAGCUUUCAACACACCUUUACUAAUUUCAACUUCAUCAUCAUCCUUCCAAACAUUACUUUAAUUUUGGUGUCUAAUAAUAUUUUGCAACUCAAAAUAAAAUUACAGUUCUCCAACUUCUAUCUUCACCAACCAUGAAUGCAUUUUUUCCUUUGGCUUUUAAAAAGUACUUCAGUUGAAAAAGUAAAAAUUGUAUUCAUCCAAAUUGAACCAACUUAAGUUACUAUAGGUUGGAGAUGCUCCAAGUUUGUUUUAACCAUCUCUCCACUUACACAAUUUUUACAGGUAAGACUUAUUUCUUAUAACUCUCUUGAUGUCUCUUAAAAAUUUAACUAAGUUGUCUAUAUAGGACAUUAAUGUAUAAUGAUGAUUUGAAAAGUUGUGUGAUCACCAUAUGCCAUUAAAAAAACUGUAUGUUUACUGAUUGAAUUAGAAAUUGAAAAUAUCAAAUUGGUCCCUAACAUUAGCAACUAUUGGUUUAACACUAUUUAGAGUGAUUUAACGGCUUAAUAUAAAAUUUAGUUGCUAAAUCAAUCUAUAUGGAUACUGAAAUAAUUUGAUCUCUAAGUCGGUUGUUAAAUAGCAAAUUUUUUUUGUUUGCACGGAAUUGACCUCUCAAAUUAAUCGAUUAUUGGGUCGAAUAUUGGGUUUCCAAAUAAAUAAAUCAUAAAAGUCUCCCAAGUUAAUUGGCAAUUUUUAUCAUAUUGUUUUUGUCUAUACAAACUAGCAACUUCUUUUACAAUUAAACAUUUUUUAAUAUGUUGUAAAGUAGGUUUUUAAAAUAUUUCAACCAAAUUAGCUACUUAAAUCAUACAUGUAUCUAUUUUUCUAUAACCUUAUCAUUAAAAUUGAAUAACAUCCCCCUAUCCCAAAAAAACAAACACACAUUAUCUCAUGUCACACUUUUAUUUUUUUUCACGAUAUAUAGAUUUACAUUAUUGAUACCUUUAUUUUUUUUUCUUAUAUGAUUUAAGAAAAUUGUACAAAAGCAAGUAAGAAAAAGCUGUUAUUGUAAGAUCCUUACUUUACAUAGAGGAAGUGACAGAAGAUAAGAAGUGCAAUGGUGAACGUACACGUGGAUCCUCCAUUAUGCUAAAAAUAACCAAACAUUCUUAACACCGUAUGGUUUAGGUCACUCCAUUAACUACCAACGGAUAUUUUAUGUGAUAUGGUUAUAGUUUGAACGUAGACACCACUAUACUAACAUAAUUGUGCUAUAACGCACGGGUUGUUUGAUCAUGAUCAUGCGGUUUUUUGAGUUCAAUUAAGAGUUUGAUAGUUUUUUUUUUAAUAAUAAAUAUAUUAUUAAUCAGGUCUCUGAACAAGACGAACAGAAACAGACAUAAAAGUAACUAUAUAAUAGGACGCCGUAUCAGGUCUCUGGUUCGGGGGUCAGUUCUGACAUCAAGUAGUUCCAACCCCCUCCCGAUCACAGUUGCGGGGAUCGAACUGUGGUCCUCCCUACCAAAUUCAACGAUAAUCACCACUGAACCAACUAACGAUUGGUUCAAAUUUUAUCUACGUAUUUAUUAAAUUAAAUAAAUUUUAUUUUUAUUUAGACAAAAUAAAAAAAUAAAUAUAGAAGGGACAACUUGUUAUUAAUGUAUGAUACUCAAAAAGUGGUAUCACUAUUGAAGCAAAACAUGUAUGAAUUGCAUAAAAAUUAUGGCAUUGUAGGGACCAUUUGUUAGUAAUGUACUAUGAUUAGAGUAUGAUAUUCAAAGUGGUAUCACCAUUGGAAAUGUUCUUAGGUUAUGCUUGAAUUUACUUAUUUUUUAGUUUAUGUUAAUAAAUAAAUUUUUAUGUAUUAUUAUAAAUUUAUCAACAUAUCGACAAAAUGUAUUUAUAUAGAUUUUAAGUUUUACAUUUGUAACUAACAGGUCUUUAGUUUUACGUUUGUAAUAAAUAGAUUCUUUAAAUUUUUUAAGAAACAAAUAGAAGUUUAAAUUUUACAUUUGUUGCAUGUCUAAGUUUUAUGCCUCCAACAAUUGAAGGUCCAGCUCUAUAGGAUUCGACGAACCUGUUGUCGGACGACGUUGAAUAUAAGAAGAAAAUUGAGCAAUGGAUUAAGUUCAUUGUUUUCAAAAGAUCGGUGGGUGGAGUGGAGGAGAGUCUCUUUGCUCUAUAUUUACUAGUGGUUGAGCUCUGUAGGUUGGGUUAGGGUGUUGAGGUAGGUAGGUAGGAGGUGGUGAUGGCAUCUCAAGUUUUUUAAAUUUUUUUAACUAAAGGCAGUGUUGCCUUUUAAUUUGUUUUUUGUUUUUCAUCCUCUGAUUCUUAAGAAAAGGGAGUCCUAAUAGUCAAGAGUUCGAAACGAGUUCUGACAUUAAGUGGUUUCAGUCUCCCCUCAAAUGCAGUUGCAGGAAUCGAACCGUAAUCCCUCUACCAAGUUCAGCGUCAAUCACUAUUGAUCGAACCAACUAACAUUUGGUGUUGCCUUUUAAAAUUUAAUUAAAAGAAAGAAAAAAAAGAGAAGUUAUAAUUAUUAUAACUAUGGGGACUAGGACAAAACCCAAUGUAAACAAUCAAUGGCAUAAAUAACACCUAGCUUGUUAAAAAAUUUAUCCAAAAAAUAUAAUGAAAUAAAAUUAUGGUGAAAAAAAAAAUGAGUGCAAAACGAAUUAAAAAAACAACCUUGAAAACUUACCAACAGAAACGAUAAUUUGGAAGCCCUAACCUAUUGUGGUUAAAUAAAUUGAAAACACAAGAGGGAAUAAAAUUCUAUUAUAAAAUUGUUACUCUAAAGUCCAAAAGAAACAAUUUUAUCUAUAUAACGAUGAUUUUCUCUAAUAAGGAACAAUAAAGCGCAUACUUUUGGUUAAUUGAUCACCAAUCAAUCAUCUAUUUCUUAAUUUUCAAGAAAUAUGAGACCAUGAUUCUUAAAAACAACUUGUUCUUAGCCAAAGAAAUAACUAACAUUUUUUUUAAUCAUAAAAUCGAAUAAACUGUCAAAUACCUUCUUGAAAUUUAAAAAUUAAUUAAAUAUUUCAUGAAAUUUGGAAAUAGGCAAAUAUCCCCCUAAAAUUUUAAAAAGUCAAUCAAAUUACUCCUGACGUAGACUCUGACUGAUAGUGUCAUAGGGCAAUUUGAUUGACUUUUUAAAAUUUCAGGGAGAUAUUUGUCUAUUUCCAAAUUUCAGGUAGAUAUAUUUGACGAAUUUUUAAAUUUUAGGAAAAUAUUUGACAGUUUAUUCUCAUAAAAUCCCUAUGUGUUUCAAAUAUAGAAGGAAAAAAAUCAACAAAAACAUCAUGUGGACGAAAAAAAAAAUGAAACCAACUUUUUGUUUUUAUCAUUGAUAAGUGUGCCUAUGCUCAUCAAAUCAAUGAUGAAUAUGAAAUCCAACCAUAGAAAUGUGUCAAGUACAGAUGUGAAGACACGUACACAGUCUCUUCUCUAGCUCACAAAAUUGGUGUGGUGGUGGUGGCAUGUUAUUUUUGGCAGCAUGAUAAGUCAUAUAUCUAGACUCAUGCAUAUGCUUUGUCACGUCAAGUUUCAUGAUCAUGUUGUGGUAUACUAUAUCAUAUUAUCAUGCCUAUUAAUUCAUUCUUUUUAUCCUAAGAAGAUUGGUUCAUGAUAUGAUAUUCUAUCUCAUUCUUCUUCCACGUUUACCGGACAAACAAAAGCAAUUCAACAAGGGGCUAUGUGUGUCAUUGGUUGGAUAUAACAAAAUCGACAUUAAAUGUUUUAAGAAUCAUUGCCACUCCAUGGUUGCCACGUGUGGGGUUGGCCAGUGCAAGGUUCCCCAUUGUAGAUGUUCUAAAGGGCUGUUUUUUCGAAAGAAGGAAAAUACCGAAACCAAUGAUAAUUUGAAUUAAGAUUUAGUUUAAGACUAAGUUUAUUCGCCAGCUUUCAUGUUUUCAUUCCUUCCUAUUUUCUUUCAUUCAAAAUAAACGGUCACAUAUCAGUAGUCUAAUAAAUGAUAAUCGGACGGUCAAAUUUAAAACUAAAUUUUACAUUUAAAAAGCUAAUUACAUAAACUAUGAACGUAAAAUCUUAACCGUUUAAUUUUGAUCGGAUGAUCAGUAUAUACUCGUAACAUGUAAUUUGAUUGUACUAAUCCAAUUUCAUAUUAUGAAUAUGAUUCUCAAUCUCUCUCCUCAUUGACUUCACACAAUCACAACUAGAAAAUCAUGACCGUAUAAUUGAGAUUUGUAAUAAUCUGGGUCCUUUUUCUACAAAUUUAGUAGGCAAUUUCCGACGAUGUACCUUACAAUCUUCUCUACUCCCCUCUCGAUCUAGUAGAGUUUUUGUCUUCCAUAAAAAUGAAACCACGUACCACGAGAUUUAUACACAUUCAAUCCAUUCUAACUACCAAUUAAACUAGCUACUAGAAAAAUACAUCGAUUAAAAUCAUAUUAGUCUCGGAUUACUAAGACCAAAAAUACUAUUUAUCCAUCAAAUAAUUAUGUCAAUAGUUAUAUAGUCCUAUAAAUCUAAUUAAGGCACUUUCUUGUACAAACAUUUCUCCACAUUAUCUUACAAAUAUAUAUUUUCAAACAUACCAUAAUUGUUUGUUGGACCUAUCAAAAGUCGAAAAAUGCCAAAGAAAUUUGUAUGACAAAUAAUGUCAUUAGUGUUAACAUCAUGCCAAGUCAAUAUACUUAAAAGCGUAACCAUUGCUAUUUUCACUAUAUAGUGCCAUUUUUCGUAUUUCUUUCCAUUGUGAAAUUGUUCCCCCAAAUUUGGCCUCACGACCCCAAAAAGAUAUGUUUGAGGAAAUGAAAUUUACAUUUCAUCAUGUAAUCACUCACGGAAGAAAAAAGAAAAAACCUUUCAAAAUAUAAAAGUGAUCCAAACUUUUAAGUAUGCACGGAUCCUAAAAAGUUCCUUGUAUAUAUCUUUAUGGAUCUUAUUUUUCUAAACCAAAAUUAAAUCAUAAAAAAAUAUUAAAAGUUUUAUUUUGAAAUUUGUCUCUAAUUUUAGCACUUAGAAUUAGAGUUUAUCAAAAUUAUGGUGUGUUUGACCUGCUAAAAAAUAAGGACUAGACGUGACAAUUUCAGCUGUAUUAUGUUUUAUUUUAAAAUUAUUUUUGGGACUGAACAAGUGACUGGACAAAAAUCACGAGAUAAGUUUUUGUCCUCCGCCCAAGUUGUUUAAAAUACCAAAAUAACCUAUUGUCUAAUAAACAUCCCAUGAGAUAAAAAAAAUUCAACACCUUAAAUUUUGUCACGUGUUAUUCUAUCAAGUAUUUAUAUUUUGCAGGCAAAAUUACAUCAAAGGUCCUUUAUUUUAUUUUUUUGUAACACUUUGGUCCUUUAUCUUUUUUUUGUAACACUUUGAUCCUUUAUCUUUUUUUUGUAACACUUUGGUCCUUUAUUUUUUUUAUUUGUAACACUUUAGUCCUUUUUUUUUGUAACAUUUUGUCCUUUAUCUUAUUUAUUUAUAAAAAAAUAAAGCACCAAAGUGGAUGGUGAGAUUGGUCCUUUGGAUUAGUCGGUCCUAGGACCAAAUACCAAGUCUUAAAAAAGAAAAAAUUACCAAAGUGUUACAAAAGAAAAGAUAAAGGACCAAAGUGUUACAAAAAGAAACGAUAAAGGACCAAAAUGUUACAAAAAAAAAAUAAAGGACCAAAGUGUUACAAAAAAAUAAGAUAAAGGACCUGCAGUGUAAUUUUGCCUAUUUUGCAGAUCAAACGAAGAGACAAUUUAGUUCAUUUUUUUUCCAACUCCACCUUCUAUUGUUAGUUCGAUCAGUAUUUUUAGUUAUGUUAGUUGCUUUGUCCUCCCUUCCAUGUCUUAUUUUGUAAUUACAUUAAUUUAUGUCAAAACUAUAAAUUUUAGGUAAGAUCUUUUUGGUAUUUAAACCCAAAUGAGCAAAUAAGACUUUAAACAAGAAUAAAAAGUUUGGUGUAUAUUUUGUUUUUGAAGCAAGUUUGGUGUAUUUUUAAAAGUAUAUAGAGCAAGAUUAUUUAUCCUGCUAUAUGCAUGAACACUUGCCUCCAAUCCACCGUCCCCUACAAAGUGGAUGCGGUCCAAUAUGUCAUUAUUUAAUUUCCUUUACCUUAUGAUAAGAUCAAGUUCAUUUGCCCUCAUAAGAAAUUGUUUUGAAUACUAAUAAUAUUUGAUUUAAAUGAUAAAUAAUUUGAGUUUGUUAAGUAAAUGGUUUUAAUUUCAUUCUCUAAUUCUCACGUAUGAAAGUGAUGUAAUUUAGUACAUAAUAUAAAUUAAAUACAUAAGUUUUUCAGUGUAUAUACCAAAAAAAUUAUAUUCACUUUUAAUAGUGAUAAGAGGGAGUAAUGUUUAUAAAGUAUUUUUAUGAGUUCGAUUUUUUGUCAUGUGAACUUUUCAUUCGAUGUACCAUAAAAAUAGAAAUCAAAGGUUUUAGACAUACAUCCUAACAAAAAAUGUAUGUAAAAUAUAGUCAAACUUAUAACUUUAUAAUGUCAAAUUUACAUUAGUUUUUGUUUGACUAAAUAUUUACAUUAGUUAUAAAGCCAACUUUUCCAAUAUUUAAGGUUUAUUCUAACACAUUUUCUCAACAAAAAAAAAAAAAGGUUUAUUCUAAAACAUAAAGUAUUUAGCUGAUAAAUCAUAUCACUAUUGGUCAUGACAAUAGAAAAAACAAGGCACAAUGAGGUUGAAGUAAUGUUAAAAGUUACCAACCUUAUGAUUUUUAGUUUUUAGUGUUUGGUUUGCCAAGCUUUUUGAAAGAUAAUUUAUAUAUAUUAGUGCUUUAAAAAGAGAGAGUUCUAUGAUUGAAAAAAUGGUAAAGAUUUUGUGGUCCAAAUAAACAAUCAUAGAAGUAUUUAUCCACUACUAUAUAUAUGGAAGCUAGCAUACUUGGUUGAAGCACACAUUGUCCUAUACUCAUAUACUACAACAUAAGGCAAAUUAAAUCUUUCUCAAAAACUUAGCAAGCAAACUCCUCACUAUGUCUAAAAUGUUUACCUUUUCUGAUCAUGAGAUGGUUUUGAUCUUUGGUCUCCUAGGUAUUAAAUUAAAUUUUUUAUUACCACUCUUAUAUUCCAACCUUUUCAAUACACCAUUUUCAACUUUCAAGUCAUGGCAAUGUAUUGAUUUAAAGUUCAUAUGAUUGAUGAAUUUUAGAUAAGGACAUAUUCUUCGAAAGAAUUUGAGUUCGAAUCGUAUAUAAAAUAUCUGAACUCCCGAUUACUAUGACCUUCUUUUUUCUUCUCAAAAUCAGAGAGUUAAGAUCAAUAAAAAUUACUUACUUUUUUAACCGACAUAAAAAAUUAGUUACACUUUUUCUAAUUGGUCUAGCAAAAUUGUUGAUAUUCUUUAUUUUGUAACAUAACAUUUUUCAUACAAUCUCAUUAAGGUUUUCAUCACAUUAAUUAUGAGUGUAACAUAAUAAUAGUAGCUUUCAAUUUUCUCUACUACUUGUAUAUUGGUUCUGAUUCUCUCUGUUUUCUUUUUGUGUCUUAGGUAACAUUGUGUCAUUCAUGGUGUUCUUAGCUCCAUUGUAAGUCCUAUCUCAAAAAAAUUAAAUAAUAUAUAAUUUUUGUAUGAAUAUCAUUUAAUAAAAUGCUAGAAAUAUCUUAUAUUUGUUACUCUCUAUCUUGUAGGCCAACCUUUUAUGCAAUUUACAAGAAAAAAUCAUCUGAAGGGUAUCAAUCAAUUCCAUAUGUUGUUGCACUUCUUAGUGCAUUGUUAUUGCUAUAUUAUGGUUUCCUAAAGACCAAUGCCCUUUUGAUUAUCACAAUCAAUUGUAUUGGAUGUGUUAUAGAAGUUUCAUACCUAAUAAUGUACAUCAUAUAUGCUCCAAGGAAGCUUAAGGUAAAACCAUAAUCACAAUAAUCUUUCUUUCUAAACUCUUUAUCUUUUCAUUCACUAAAAGAAUUUAAUUAUUUACAAAAAUUAGAAAUGCAAAAAUAAAAAUAAAAUUGUGUUUGAUGUUCAACAUAUGUCAGUGUCACACACCGACAUGAUAUCGACACAUGUGGUUACAAUCAAUAAGUUCAUGUUUUCAAAUUAUUUUAAAUUUCGUGUUUAGUGUUUGUGUCAAUUCUUAAUGUAAAUUUUGAUGAAUAUAUUGCAGAUAUCUACUUUGGUUUUGAUACUUAUUGCUGACAUAGGAGGUUUUGGCUUCACCAUGAUAAUCACUUUCUUUGUUGUGAAGAGCUCCUUUCGUGUUCAUGCAGUUGGCUUGAUUUGUGCCAUUUUUAACAUUGCAGUCUUUGCUGCUCCUUUAAGCAUAAUGGUAUGCACUUAUUCCGAGAUUAUAUUAUAGUUUUGGAUUAUGCUCCUCUUAAGUGAAAAAAAAAACUCGAGAAAAUAAUGUGUUAGACCUAAACCCUUAGAGGUUAAGAUCUGAGAAUAAAGACGUGCAAAAACAUAGAGAAAAAAAAUUCGAGAGAAUUCUUUUCCAUAUUUUCUUUUAUACAUAUUGAUUUUAUAUAGUUUGACACGCACUGGUACAAAAAGUUGAUUUCUCGAUAGGAAUUAAAGACAUAAAUAUGAUAUUGGUCUAUAGUUUUAACAUCUUCAACACUUUGCGACAAAAUUUGAGACAAAUUUCCUAUUUUGUCAAUAAUUCAAUUUUUUUCUAGUGGUGACGCAAUAUUAUUAUAUAUGAGAUUGAAUUUCAUGAUCCAACGAUUAUGAUUUAUUAACGGCGGCAGAUAUAACUUAGUUUUGUACAUGUGUGAACUUUUUAUUUUUUAUUUUAAAAACUCGAUAUCCAACCUUAGAACCGACUAAUUUGAAGGACCAAUUUCAGUGGCGGGGUCCAUUUGUACAUGUGUUUAUGAUUGAGUUAAAGGAGAUUUAUAAUUUGUACAUAUGAAUUGCAGAGGAAGGUGAUAAAAACAAGAAGUGUGGAGUACAUGCCAUUUUCAUUGUCAUUGUUUCUUACUCUAUGUGCUACCAUGUGGUUUUUCUAUGGUCUCUUUGACAAGGAUAACUACAUUAUGGUGAGUACUAUAAAAUAUUUAAUUUACUCAUCUUAUUAAUUUUUCUUUUAUAAUGUAUGCUUAAAAGUAACUAAACUAAUUUUUUUUUUUUGUUUUUUGAUCAGCUUCCAAAUGUGUUAGGAUUUCUAUUUGGUAUAUCUCAAAUGAUCUUAUACCUCAUAUACAAGAAUGCUAAGACUAAAGUAGAAGCUAAUUCUAAUGAGAAGCAAGAUUGUGAUGAUGGCAAUAAACAGAAUUUUCCUUCAAUGGUGGAAAUGAAAGAUGAUAAUAUAGUUUAACAUGGUGCAAUAUUGUAUAUUAUAUAGGCUUAAUUAAUUAAUAUUAGGAUGAAUGAAUGAUGAAUAACAUGUCUCCUAUAUCAUCUAUGUUCUAUGUACUACUAUGGACUAUUAAUGCUACUUUGGCAUGCUUUGGCUAUGUAAUAGACUAAUUAUAGUUCUAGUUCAAGUCACCAUGAGUUUAUGGUGUUGUUUAUGUUAAUCAAUGAUUAAUCACUUAAGUUUACAUGUAGCAAAUAUAUAUUGUUCUAAUUUAAAUGUAUUAUACAAAAAAAUUAAAAAAUCUAAAUUAACUUCAAGACUUUCUGUUCGGCAAAAAUAGUUCUUGGUUGAUAAGUUAGCUUAUAGCUUCUGGCUUCUAACUUCUAGCUCAGAAGUUACUUGAAAUAGCUUCUAAAAAAAGAAGCUAUAAGUCAGCAAAAUAAGCUAAAAACUCUUUCUAAAAAGACCGUUACCAAACAUGUCUUUUAGCUUAUAAGACAAAAGCUAAAAGCUAGCUUCUUUGCCUUGCCAAAUAGACCUAAGACAGGUCUCAAGAUGACUUCAUUAACUAAGAUCCAUCUCGUUACCUCAACAAAAAUUCAGCAAAAACGAAUUAUGAGAUUUCCUUUUCCUGCAGAAUUUUGACAUAUGUUUUAAAAACAGUAGCUUAGGUAAACUCUCCUUACAUUGUUGAUCUAGCUUCUUCAACUAGAAGUUUGUGAAAUGUUUGAAUGUGAAAAAAUUGAAUCUUAUGAUUGCAAAUAACAAGGACAUGUUGUGUGUGAUUUUGGCCAAUUAUGUAUCCAAAUUUUGUUGACUCAACAUUCUUAUCAUGUUUUCUCAUUUUUUUGAAAUGCUAGUCCUGUCUACAACAGGACACUUCAAAUGGUCUUGUUUGUGGUCACAUAUCAGCUUUGUAAGGACGAUUUUUUUCACGUCCCUAUUGUGUUUAAUACUUUAAUUUGAUAAUCCGUCGAGUAAAUUAUGCUUUCCUAGGAAAGACACUAACACCCUACUAGGAGACCAACCUUGUGAACUGACCCUACCAGGCAUCCUGGCUAAACAAGACCAGUAGUGGCGGUGUCGUGCAUUGGAAGUUGAAAUCAUUAAAUGAAAAUUUUAUUUUUCAGCAACUCUAUUGGACAACUUAAACCCUGCCUCUCCUGUCUUCAACUUGUUAUUCCUUCUUUGGCAUUUCUGAUCCAUCUGUUUGAGGAAAUGAUUUUUAUCUUUGUUGGCCAUUAGUGUUGAGUAACUUGAGUUGCCAAGUGCUCUUUCAAUUUGUUAUAAUAGUUAUGUGCCUAUCUUCUUUCUGAAUCAACACUUGUUUUCCUAAACCAUUUUACAAUUUCCAAAUGCCCAAAUUUUGUACCAUUCCAAAGAGAAGGAUUGUCUGCGCCCAACUAUCAUCGUAUAUCUCCAAGUGCGAUAAUUUAAAGGCAUUGCCUUGUCACAUGAAUACACUUCUCCCAAAGUUAAAAGAGGAAUAUGGUUACAUGGUUACUGCAUAGGUUUAAGCUCUACGGGUUAUUCUAUUUAAAGGAAAUCUUACUUCAUAUGAAUUCGAACUCAAAAUUUUACAAUUGUGUGUGUGAGAGUUUUAGGAUAUUAGCUUACAACUAUGAACAAAAUUGCGAUGUGAACGCAUACCUUGCAAAACAACUAUAUUACAAUUUUAAAGAGAUUUCAUUGCUAACCUGCAGACUUAAUCAAUAUCAUGGACUCGUGCAAGCUCUUGCCUCUUGGAUAUGCAUGCUGAGGGAGGGAAGCUCACUCGGCGUAGAAAUUGUAGAGGUCAAAGGUCCAUUGGAAAAAAGUUGGAUAGAGCUAUGGCUAAUAUCCAAAUUUUGGAAUUCCUCAGUUUUGGACAAGGCUGGCAGAUUGGCUUUAGCUUCCUCAAUUUUAACAAAGAUACUCAACUCCAAAUUCAGGAUCUUAACAAAGAUGGUAAAUGAAAUUUUGCAAGUUUAUAUACUCUUGUCGUCCCACCUAAUUUGAUGCAAUGGCAUCUCAAAAAUUUCAUUUUACUUAAAUAACAAGGUUCCUGAUGCUUUCAUUCGGUGAAGGAAGUUGAAAGCUAAUUACACUGCUAAAGAUGGUUACCAAUGGCGGAUCGAGCAGCAUGUAGUACAUGAUAGAAAUUCAUCGAGUUGAUUCUGCCUCUUUUAAUCUAAUCAAAGGGCCAUGGCUUGCUGGGAUGAACAGAAUCACGACACUCCUUCUAAACACUUGGUAUCAGAUAUUGAAACAAGCGCAUAUGCAUAUUUAGUCUAUCGGUAAGAAAGAAAAUGAGCAUCAGAGUAACAAAAAAGGGUUAUCUGUUAUUACAGGAAUAUAUAGGACACAUCUUUAGUUGAAAAUUCCAGACCUGUUGGCCUUAAUACCUGUCCACAAAUUGAUCACUAUACUUUGAUUUCUUGGCACCCCUCUAAUGAACUUGUGGAUGUUUUCAAUAUUGAUGGAAGUAGCUUUCGCAAUCUGGGAAGAGAUUGAUUUGGUGGCCUCAUAAGGAAUGAUAGUGGAGUUGGGAAACUAGGUUUUAUCGGCUAUAUUGGUAUUUCUGACUCUAAACAUACCCUCCAAUUAUAAGCCAUUUAUUUUGCCUUAAAUUGGCUAUACAAUCGGAUCGCCUUAACCAACAAACCCAUCAUAUCAUUUCAUAGAUAUGCUGCUAUAAUUCAAAAUAUUAAAGACUUGCUCCUUCUGCAGUGCACUGCCAAAAUUAGCGACACUCUUAUAGAAGGUAAUUUUAAUGCGAACUAUCUUUGCCAAAUCGGGUGCUGCUUAAGGCUCUAGCUUGAAAAUUGUGGACCAAUCUUCUGCAGGCCUUCUCCCUCUACUAGCUACUGAUGCAAUGAGGGAUUCACUUCCCUAGAGGAUUCCAUUUUUUUCAUUAUACCGAUAAAAAAAACUCCAGAUGCUAACGAUAAGAAAUAGAUGAAAGUAGUACAAUUAACAGCUUAUUUACAAAAUAGAAAUUCAUUCAUUUCCUUGAAAGAAAGUUGAGAUACUACAUAACAAUUUUUACAAAACAAAUGUAAGUGAUAUACAAUUAUACAUUGAUUCUUGUUACAUACAACCAAGUGUUGUACAUCUGAAAACAGAAAAAAAGACUAUAACAUAAGUGAUUCUCAAAUUAAAAGGAAUCAAACAUAGUAAUUCCUCUACACCAGCUUAUAGUAACAUUUGUUUUCAGAAAUUAAAACCUCAUUGCCCUUGCCACAUGGACACUUGAAAGUAAGACUUAAACAUUUUUCAGCCCACUCUACACUCACAGCCUCUUCAAUAUCUUCUCCAAAUUCAUCCUACAAAAAAAAUGAAACAGCAAUUAGUCUAAGAGCCUCAACUGCAAUUGUAAGUGCAUUAGUCACACUUAUUUAUAAUUUUCUACAGUAUCAAGAAUCACAACUACAACUGUGAUUAGAGCAACAAUUCAUUAUGUCUUCUUUGGUUGAAAUAUGGACAUUAGUACAUAGUAAUUCUCAAUUGAAUCAAACAUGACAGCUACAUGGUAAAAACAUAAAUUCAUUAUGAAGAACAUAUGAAGAAUCACACCACCAACUAUGAUCAAAACAGAAAUUCAUUAUGAAGAUGCAUUGAAGAUAACAACAAUAGAAAGCCAAUUAUGACAAUCCAAGAUCAAAACAUAUACCUGAGAUUUGUCUUUGUCAUCUUCAGCAACAGGAGAUUGCACUUUUUCUUCUUGUUCUUGUUGUUCUUCUUGUAUACCUUCUUCCUCCUCCUCUUCUUUCAUCACAUCAUCCCACCAUUGUUUCAUUUCUCUCAAACGAUCCUUCAUCCUUUUUAGCUUCUAUAAUCACAUAAAAAACCAGAGAAACCCAUUAUUCCAAAUCCAAAAAAGAUCAAAUUUUUACAAAGGAAUAAACAAAAGAAUGAAAACCCUUGAUUCCAUUUCCAAAAAAGAUCAAAUUUUUAACAAGAAAAAAUACAAAACAAAUAAAACCCAUGAUCCCAAAUUAUAAAAAGAUCAAUUUUUUACCUUUGAAUCAGGUGUAUUGUCCUCAGUGUUCAAAGAAUGAGAAACUGAUUUAACAUCAGCAGACAUACAUCUCGGUAAUUUCGGCGGCAAAGGUGGCAAACCAGAUUCUUUAGCCGUCAUCAUCGGCAUUGAUUUCUCCGAAGACUGACACAGAUCAGAGACACACCGACGAAGAACAUGAGCAUUACCACAUAGACUGACAGGAAGUGAAAUGGCAGAGAAGCCAUUAUCUUGGACAGAAGAAUGUUUCUUGGCGCUACGUUGUUCGGAGGAGGAAGAUGACGAAAGUGCACGGCGCUUGGCAGAGUUUCUGCGACGCUGAUGGCGGGCUAAGGUGGAAGAAGGGCUGUUGAGAUUCAGCAUGGAGAAGAAAUCGUCGUUUUCUUGUUGAGCAAGCAAUGAUGAAGAUGAUGAUGAUGGAAUGAUAAUUGAUUUUUGUUGUUUGUUUUUGUGAGUGGUUGAUGAAUUUGACAUCAAAUUGUGUUCUUCUUGAUUCUGAUUCUGAAUAUGAACAUGAUCCAUUUUUCUGAUUUUUUUUUCUCUGUGAUUGUGUUUUUUUCUUUUUUUCUUUUUUUCUCUGAAGUUUUGAUUUUUCAGUGAGUGUGAGUGGUAAAGAUGAAUGAAAAAAUGUGAGGGAACGUUUGUAUAUAAAUAAGUGAUUUCUGAAAAGAUGAUUAUGUUGAGGUUUUGUAACGGCUUUUGGCGGGUUAAUUAGUUGGUAUAUAGCUAUGGUAUGGUUAAGUUUGUAGGAUUUAAUUCACUAGCUAUCAUAUCAUAUCAUAUAGUAUUAUAGAGUUUUUUUAUUUUAUUUUAUUUUAAAUUAUGAUAAGAUACAUUUUUAUGUGAUCGGAGGCUGAAAUCACUUAAUGUCAAAACUGAUCCUGAACUAAAUUAAAUUUGUGGUAAAAGCCAAAACAAAAUGGGAAAAAAAAACUAGGGUGGCUCAUGAGUUGCAGACUUAUAGAGAGAAAAUCAGAGAAAGUCGAUGUGUUGAUACAUAACAAGAUUGCGAGAAAAAUAUUGGUUGACAAUAUAAAAUUAUUUUAAGUGCAUAUUAUUUUUUUGUUACGAAAUUUACCUACGAAAAAAAUUGUAAAAUUUGUGGCUAUUUUGAUGAAAUUUACCUAUUAACCCUUUGAUUAGUAUUAUAUAUAGAUUGAAAUAAAAGAAUUAGGGUUCUCUUCUCUUCUCUGAGUUCGCAAAAAUGGUUUCGCUGAAACUGCAGAAGAGGCUAUCAGCUAGCGUGUUGAAAUGCGGUAGAGGAAAGGUUUGGCUUGAUCCCAAUGAAGUCAAUGAAAUCUCCAUGGCCAAUUCCAGUUCGUACCUUUUUCUCUUAUAUUACUUUUUUGCCCUUACACCAUUUCAAUACUCAAUUUGUACCUUUUAUUUUUUGUUUUUAAAUUUCAUUUCUAGUUUUUUUAUUUCACUUUAUAUCGACUUAUAUAUAAGCUGAUUCGAUAGUUAUUAGUUACUAACUAACUGAAUGUUUUAUGCUAUGCGAGAAAACAAUGUUGUCAAUUGCUGAUAGUGAUAAAUUGUGGUUUGUUCAAAUUCAGCUAUGCUACAGUGAUACCAUGUCGGUAGCGACAAAAUGCCAACAUUUUUACUAAAUUGUAUAUCAGAACAAUAGUAAUUUCUUUAAAUUUUGCUAUGUUAUAGCGGACCUGGAUUCCAUGCAGUCAACACUGACUAAAAUAAUAAUUAAGGAACGUGUGUAAAUGGAUUGCUCACUUGCACUUCAUAAUAGUUUACGGAUUAUUGGUUGAUGUAGGCUUGAGACCUCAGAGUGUGCUCGUCUCUAGGUCUAAAGUUUGAAUAUUCCCGGUGUCAAUCUUUGUAUUGGGCCAGUCCAUGCAUGGCUUUGUUAUGCUUUAAAUGGGCCCUCUCUAGUGGACGAUGGGAUUGGUUCCCCAAAUUAGUUGGUCUUUGAGCCGGAUACCGAGUUUCUAACUACCGUUGGAUAGACCUGAAUAAUGUCAAGGGGGGUUGGUUUUAGUUUUGAAGUCAAUGCUUGAGGAAUGUUGAAAGGGAAAACUGGCCUUAACUUGUUAUAUACUCGAUUUAUUGGCUGCAAAUCUUUUGCAAUAGAAGCACUGCUAAGCUUUGGUGGGUUUUUAUUUGCAGGACAAAACAUUAGGAAGUUGGUUAAGGAUGGGUUUAUUAUUAGGAAGCCAACCAAGAUUCACUCCCGUUCACGUGCUCGGAGGAUGAAGGAAGCUAAGAGGAAGGGACGUCAUUCUGGAUAUGGUAAGCGCAAGGGUACAAGGGAGGCAAGACUUCCUACCAAAAUUCUUUGGAUGAGGAGGAUGCGUGUGCUUAGACGAUUGCUUCGAAAGUACAGGGAGUCAAAGAAAAUUGACAAACACAUGUACCAUGAUAUGUACAUGAAGGUCAAGGGUAAUGUUUUCAAGAACAAGAGAGUCUUGAUGGAGAGCAUUCACAAGAGCAAGGCAGAGAAGGCAAGAGAGAAGACUUUGUCUGACCAGUUUGAGGCAAAGCGUGCAAAGAACAAGGCAAGCAGGGAAAGGAAAUUUGCUCGGCGUGAGGAACGAUUCGCUCAAGUGAGUACUUCUAUAAUGUCUUCAGAAUCUAUUUACUUGUGUUAGAAUGUUAGAUAUCAUGAAUUUCUACUUUCAUUGUCGUUAAAUGCGAGGAUAUACUGGACUGAAAAACAUGGUUUCAACUUACUGUUUCUGUCACGGUUACGCUGUGAACCAUUAUAUCGUGGCAAAAUUUUAAAAAUGUGGUCAAUGUGGUUGAAAUUGCGGUCGCAAUUGCAGUUGCGGAGACCUCAAAAUCCUUUAUAUUGCUUCCACAAUUUAAAACCAUGCUGCUUGUAAUGAAUAUUGACAUUUCCACACUCCAUAAAAUGUUCAGGGUCCUGGUGAAAAGCAACCUGCACCCACUGCUCCACCUGCCACAACACCCCAACCUGCCCAGUGAGUAUUACACUUUAGCCUUACGCCUUAUUUACAGCUUUCACUGUGCUACUUUUCUUGUCGUCUAACUGUAUCUAUUUUAUGCAGGGCGCCAAAGAAAACUAAGAAGUGAGCAGCAUAAUCCUGCAGUCUUCUAAAACUGUGUUAUGUGCUAACUAGUCUCAAUUUUUGUCGGUUUAGACUAUGUCUUAUAACUAUAAACUUAUUUCUUGCUAAAUUUAUAUUAUUAUACCUAUUUGUUAGUUUUCACUUUUAUUGUUGGUUUUAAGAUUCACAAAGUUUGCGGAAAGUCUUGUGUUAUGCGUUAUUUAGCGCUGCUAAUCUCACGCUAAUACAAUUAACCACAUACAAGCAUAUCCAUACCAAUGUUUACCUGCAAUUCCUUCAAUAGGAGAUUCACUUUAGGCAGUACAUUAAUUAUGUUCAUUGAGCCAGUUAGUAUUUGAUGUAGAUGGGAACUGUUGGUAACCUCUAUUCAGCUUGCUGAAGUUCGGUUGACUAUAUAUAUAUAUAUAUCUGCUAGAAAGAUUAAUUCUCUGCAUUUUUACAAAAUCUGAUAAUAAACUUGCUGAAGUUCGUUAACUAUAAUCUUAGUACCUGUGUUGACACUGACACCGAUAAUAACUUAAAGAAAUUGGCAUAAUUCAAUGUAAUAAUAAGUGUUGGUGUCGUGUUGGAAGCGUCCGUGAUUCAUAGUAUAUGAUCCUUCUGAACUUGGAUUCUUUACAUUGUUCCAGCCUUGGAAGUUUUAAGGCCCCUUCUGUUGGUGAUUGACCAACUUGCCAUAGUUUAAGCAGGCAUGAAAUUUAACACAAACUAAUUUUCUGUUGAUGUCUCCAUCCAUCCAAGGAAGUUGUCAAUGGAAUAGACUACUUUUUUUUCUGCAGCAUUUAAAAGGAUCACAUGUUAUUACAUGCCUUGCUGAUCUUCAUGGUUUUUGUCAUUCCUCUGUUAACAAACUCCCCUUCUCGGUUUCUUGAAUUUCAUUGGGCUGAUCAUUGUUUUAGUCCCUAAACACAUCUACAAAUGUCUCUUGUAUUAGUGAUUUUUGUCUUCCAAUUGGUUUUUGUGUUGUCAUUUUAGUUCUCAAAUGUAUUUUUUUGUUGGUCAAUUUAUCAGUCUACAAAGUUGAUGACAAGAGAGACAUUAGAGUUGUGUACUUGGGUUUGCAUUUUUUAUUCAUUCAAGAUUAAUUUGAUUGUGAAUAACACAUCCAAAGACUAAAAUGAUGAUUGUGAAUAAUUCAAAGUUUGGCCACGAGAUAAGUAAAAUUUUACCAAAAAUUAUUCUCACCAGGAAUCCAACUUGGUUCUACAUAACAAUUCAUCUUAAAGGGAGCUCAUUAACCGCUGUAACUCAAUAUUUUUGUUUUAUCUUAUACCAUAAUCUGAAUGAUACUACUAUGUGCUGUAUAAUGAAAUGAACUCCAAUUUGCCAAACCACGUUCCUUUACUUUAUGGUUAAUUUAUUCGUGGAAUUCAAGAUAUGAUUACUUUUUUGUGAUCACGAAUAAUUAACUUUUGUCUCAAAAACCUUAGCUCAGAAGAGUAUCUCAAUUUAAAAAAUAUAAAAUAACAGUAUCUCAGCAAAAUUCCAAAAAUGUGAACGAUGUGCUCGACUUGUAGUAAGUAAGUUGUAAUAGAAUUUUACCAAAAAAGGAAAUAUGGCAUAUUUUCCAUGAAUUAUUAUUCUCUGCAGCUGGGAGAUAUGUAUUUGACUUUAAUUAAAGAUUAUUUUGAUUUGAUUGGAUAUUGAAGAUUAUUAUUCUAUGCUAUAUAUAUAUAGUAGUAAAAUGUGUCAAAGCGUACCAACAAUGAAUUGGUCCAAGUGGUAAGGGUCUUGGUCCCCUUAAGCAUGUGGUUAGGGGUUCGAUUCCUGACUCAUGUGUAUGGAGAGAAUUCGGUUCCUACCAAUAUCAUGGUAACCCAAAAAAAAAAAAUGUGUCAAAGCGUAAAGGCACAUAGUUAGUGAAUGGGAUUGAAAGUUAAAGUGCCAAAAACUGGUUGAAUGCUCUCAAAACCAAUUCGCUUGAGUGAGACAGAGACAUAUAAUGACAAGAUUUUUUUAAUUAUAAAGACAACCAAUCUUUGUUAAUUUUACAUCAUAUUUUAAAAUUAUGGACAUACUUAAAUUUAUGCAUUAACUUGUUAAAAAUUAAAUCAGAGUUCAACUUAGGUCCUGUUUGUUUGAGAUUUAAAAAAAAUGAUUUAUUUUGAAAAAAAUCAUUUUCAAGAAAAUAGAUUUUCUUAAUGAAAAUCUAAAGCUAUUUUCCGUUUGUUUACAAUCAUAAAAAUCUAUUUUUUUAGAAAAUGAUUUACAAAAAAAUAGAUUUUGAAGAAAGCUAUUGAAAAUAGCUUUUCAUUUUGAAGAAAAAAUGAUUUUUUUACUAAAAUGAUUUUUGAAAAAAUCUGAAACAAACACAAAUAAAAGAAGAAAAAUGAUUUUUCUUGAAAAAAAAUAGAUUUUUUUUAAAAAAAAAUCUGUAACAAACAGGGCCUUAAUCAGACUUGUGACUUGCGAGUCAUUGCUCAAUAAAUCGUUAAAUAAAUACAAAACAUAAAAAUCGGUUGAACCAAAGUGCAAUUCAAUCACGGUUCAACAAUGAUACAACUCAGUUAAAUUUUUUGUUGGUUUGAUCUAGUGAUGAGAGGUUUGAGUAAUAUAUAUACAUGAAAUCUUCGAUUCGAUCAUUAUUGACUUCAUUGUAAACACAAAAAAACGAACCGAAAAAUUGAGCAAUUUUCUGUUUAACCGAUUGUUCAGUUCAAUUUUUAAAAUGCUACCACGUAGUAAACACUUUUUCCUAAUCCAAAUCAAGAUUCAAUCUUUUUCAUAUUCCCUAUAUCCCAAAAAUGUCAACGAGCCAAUCCAUAAACAUAAUUCAAAGAAUCAAAUAAAACAUCAUAUGAAUAACCUAUAAUUGAAAACAAUAUUAUGCCUAAACAUGUUUUGGAAGUUCUAAGAUUAAUUAAUGGAGAAUCGUAUCUAAAAAAUUAAGAACAUUUUUCACAAUAGUAUUAAGCACAAUGGGAUUCUACAUGAUAUAUGGAACAGAAGACUAUAUUCUACUAUGUAGGAAAUGAAACAUUAUUCUUUUCUUAUUGUUCUUUGGAUUAGUCGAAAGGUCAAAACACUAACUACUAUAUAUAUAAGCUUACUACAAACAUUAGUUUUCAUAAGCAUAGUAUGUUACAAAAAUAGUUAUAAUGGGACAUAAUUUCAAGUUUGGAAUGAAUAAGAAAAUGUGUUUUGUGACCCUCAAAGGCUUCCGCUAAACUGUGUUUUAAAUCGAAUCAAAUAUAUUCGAAAAAACAUAGAAUAGCGGUUGCCUGCGAGCGUUCACUGAACACUUUAUUCUUUGUAUUUUGAUUGUUCAAUGAGUCUGAAGAAAUCUAUCUAUUUUUUAAGAAAAAUUUAUUCUAUACAAUUUUACUUGAUCUUUACUACUAAUAAUUCGAUUUGAAAUGGCAAUUUUCUAGCUAUUGCAAUAUAAACAUUUUUAUGGCACUCAAAAACAAAGUUUAUACCUCAAAAAGUUUUUUAUAUUGCAAUAGCACUCAAAAACAUAAAGUGUAGUAAUUCUUAAUGAUAUGUAUAUAUUUGUCUCUACAUCUUUCUCUCAUUUUCCUUCAAGCAAAUUUGGUAAACAUCUCAAAUCAGAAUUGGUCUAAGUAGCCAAAGAAUUGAUCAACCGCAAAGUAUGUCACCUCAACAUCUUUUAUAUUUAUAAUGAGCUCUCUCAUUUUUAUUUUUUUGGAUGCAUGAGCUCUCUCAUUUUUAUUUUACAACAAAUAUGCUUCAUUCAUUUCAUAUCAAAUGUCGUUUAAGAUUAUACAUACUUAAAAAUAAUUUAUUUGGUGUACCAAUUUUUUUUUGGCUUUUAACCACCUGUUUAAUCUGUUUCGGGGGUACGAAGUUUUUACACGAUGUGUGUUCUCUCCUCCCAACUGAAUUUUUUCAAUACACAUGAGUCAGGAAUCGAACCUCUGACCACAUGCUUAAGGAGACCAAAACGCUUACCACUUCGAUCAAUUCAUUGUUGGUUGGGUGUACCAAUUUACUAUAUUAUAUAAUGAAUGAUUCAUUGAUGAAACACAUAUUCAUUGUCAUUGAUCGGUAGAGUUUAAUGGGCCAAUACCUCAUCUGAGUAUAAUUAUCAGAACAUUUCGAUUCGUGUCUCUCUAUCUUCUCGCGCGUCUUGUUAAAUUCUCAAAAUAGCAUGCUUGUUACUUAAGUUGCGAACUCAAUCCGUACGAUAGAAGGGUGAGAGGGAUAAAAUAAUUAAAUUUUUAUAAAGUUCGCUGAACUUUAAGUAGUGAACUAUUUUUAUUUUUAUUUUUAUUUUAAAUUUUUGUGUUUUACAACACUCAUUACUUGAAAUAUGAAGGAGGUAAUAUGAAAAUGAAUUUAUUAACUGUCGAUGAAAAUGAAUUUGUUAAGAGAAGCCCAAUAAAGAAAGUUCCAUUAGGUAUAUAGCCUUGCAACUUGUAUUAUGAGGGUGUGAAAAGAAACUAUUUUAAUGGUCGUCUUAUAAUUUUAUUUUUAAUUUAGAAAUAUAAGUGUUUUAUGAAUACUAAUUAACAAAAAUAUAACAAAAUUAAUAUAUGAGUAUUAAUUUUAAGUUAAAAAUAAAAUUUAAAUAUUAAAUAAUUCACACUUAAUUGAUUUUCUCAUUAGUUAAAUAUGACUACAUGCAUGUAAAGAAAUUGAAUAAUAUCCUUUUUAUUUGUUGCACGCAUUAAAUAUGACUCUUUGAAUCAUUAUUAUACUCCCUCCGUUCUUUUUAAGUGUCCAAAAACGUCCUAUUUAACUGUCCAUUUAGUAUUUUAAGGGUACAAUUUGUCAAUUGUACCCUUUCUCAGUUACUCUUAUCUUUUUCAAAACUUUUUUUUUUAUUUUUUUUUCUACAUAACAUAUUAAAGUUUUUUUAUUUACAUAAUAUAUUAAAUUUAUUGGAAAGAUAAAGUGUGUGCAAAAAAAUAGGAAUUUAUUGGUGGAUUAAAAUUAGGGUAUAAUAGAAAGAUAAAGUGCAAAAAUAAUUUUUUUUAAUUUGGUAUUACUAUUCUAAAUGAACACUUAAAAAGGAACAUAGCGACUAUGGAGUAUAUGAUUGAAAUACAAAUUGGUUAUAUAUUUUAACCACUCUUGUUUUAUUUUAUUUUUGCAAAAUCCCAAUUAUAUUAUGUAUUUUUUUUGUGUAUAAUUAUGUAUUUUUUUGACAAUAUUUAUGUAUCUAUUAUUUAUCAAAUAAUUUAUUAUAUUUAAAUGUCUACAAAUAUAUUUAAAUGUCCACAAAUUUUAGCUCAACGGGUAGAAACAUCGAAAUUGUUAGGUCGGAUGUCAUUUCGUCUAUCUAUCGAAUUUUUUUUAUUAUAUUUAAAUAAUCGCAUAAAAUUUUGCUAUAUUAUUUUAUCAAAAUAUAAUUACUUUUUUUUUUGUUUCUCACUUGUUUUAAUAUAUUCUUUUUGUAUUUUUUUUCCUUCUUUUUUUUCGUACACGUGUAUAACAAUGAGAGAGAUUAUUGAGAAUACACGAGUACUAAAAAUUAUUAUUUGCUUAACAAAAAUCAUUCCAUUUUGAAAUAACGGUAUUCUUGUUCUUCUGUGCAAAGAAUGAAUCUUUAUACCACAUAUUUUCCACAACUAGAGUCUCCAAAACUUGGACAGCCAUAAAGAAAGAUCUUACAAGACCCUGCGUUAUCGGUGACUGACUUUGAGUGUCACGUGAUCUAUGGCCAUGUUUGCUUCCCCAUUUUCCCAGACAAUGCAUAUAUAUAUAUACAAUGUCUUGCACAUUUGAAAGUAAGAGUGAACGACGUUCGUAAUGUCAGAAGGAGUAUCCUCUGAACAACAGUUGGAGUUACAAGGUGUUCCCUUGAAAAUAACAGUUUCAACGAUAUACAUUCUCGCGGCUUCGGACAAAUGCAGAAAAAUAUUUCACAAGCCUUAAGCUAAUAAAUAAUCUUUGUACAAUGACAAAAAUAUUUUCAUUUAAAUUACAAAUUAAUAAAAUCCAAAUUUGUUUAUCCUCGUGCACGUACAAGAAACACAUGACUUCAUAUUCCACAUUUGGUACCUACAACCAUAUUUAAAUGUAAGGGUCAAUUUCCUUAUCCAAAUUGAAUCAUGCCGAACAGACGGUAAAUGUUAUAAACUAGCAAUAAAAUACUCGGCCAUAAAAAGUAAUAAAAUAAAAUCGAUGCCAGAAACUCUUUUUAAUAACUUAAUACAAAUUAAUAAUGCAUUAAAAUGCAACUAGACCAUGAUCCGAAUAUCGCCUCAUUUGGCACUUGGAAUUUAACUCCCCAAGUAGCGUAUUCGCCCCAUUUGGCGUUUACUAAUAAAAUCGCCCCAAUUGGCACUUAUGACUCAACUAUAUGUCAUGAUAUGCUUUAUAUACACACUUUAAUAUACACAAUUAUUCAAUCGCCCAAUUUGGCACUUAAUAGUUAAUAUACACACAUUCUUUUAAAAUUACCACCAUUUUCACCAAAUCAGAUCAAAAUUAAAACUUUCUUUCAAUACUACACCAAAUAGUCAUUUUAUCAACAACCAACAAGAUACUCAAAUCUACAAUCAACCACAAAAACAACCAUCAUAAAAUAAUCAAAUAUACAAUCAGCCACACACAUAACUUAUAAUAUAGCAUAGAAUUGUUAUAAAAAUAGCACUUUCAUUGCUUCUAUUAUUAUUCUUCUUAACGGUUAAAUAUUCAAUUAUUAAUCUAUAACAUAAAUCCUACGUGCAUGAGUGUAUAUAUGGAGAAAAAACUCUUACCAUAGCCGCUCUCCUUCCAAGCACAAUACUCUAAGCCUAAAUAUGCAGCUACAUUGCACACACGAUAUAUCUCACUCCAAAGUUCAUUUCAACGAUUCGAUGGUCCAAAUGGAGUACUAUGUGUUGAAAAGCUACUUUCCAAAAAAGAAGGCGAUCAGACGGUUAAUGAGGACGUAGUCGCAAUUCUACGGUGAUGGGUUUGUGGAAAACGAAAAUAACUUAGGUUAUGAAAGAAUUUCAUAAAAGAAUCAAUAGCUUCAUAGGAACAAUUCUCAAAUUAGAGAUUGGAGUAUAGAAACAAAACGAGAGGGAUAGAAAAUAGAAUACCUCAAUACUCCAACAAAGUUGAGACAAGUAUUUGCUAGAUUAUUGUGUGAGGGUCUUAAAAAUAUUUAGAUGAUGAUAUGUGUAUGAGAUAGUAGCUAAUUUGUAUUAUUUCCUCUACUGGCUUGCAAAAUAACGUGAUGCACUGAGUUUGUAUGUGUGUGGCUAGUUUACUAGAGACAAAAUUUAUAUAUGCAAUCGAUGGAGGAGAAGAGAAGUCACACUGUGUCACUUGCAAUCGAUGGAGGAGACAAAAUAUAUCCUUUCACUGAUUUUAUAGACUUGGUUGUCUACCAUUGCAAAUAUAGUACCUUAUUCCACUUAAUUUAUUAUUCAAGAAAAGAAAGGACACAUGCAUGGGGUUACGGUUUCAUGAUCAUGGAAUACUAAUGAAAUCAAUUGGAAAUUGAAUAUCAAAGGGAUAGUAAUACUUUAACGAUAGUAUGAGAUCCAAGCAGCUAAUCAUUAUUAAUUUGAGGCAAAUGUUCUUGUUCAAAAAUAUUUGAGGCAAGUGAAUGGAAAGGGCAGUAUCCAAACGGUCACACAAAUUGACUAAUAUAUAAAAUAAAAUAAAUAAUUAGAUGAAAUAGGUGUUCAAAUUAUAAUUAAUAGUGAAAGUAGUUCAUUUAAUUAUUUAUGCAUAAAAUAGAUAAAAUAAUAAAUCAAUAAACUUAUUAUAAAGUAAAUAUAAAAUAUUGGAUUGUUACACUGUGUCAUGUCAGAUUGGUUAUGAAUAUCAGAUGCAGUGAGCGUUGAUCGAACACGUUACCUUUGAACACCUAUUUCAUCCGUAAGUUUAUUGAUUUAUAAGUGAGUUUGACACAUUAGUCCAAAACUUUAAGGUCUUAAGUUUAUGAAUCAUCUUACUUAUAGAGUGUUCAACAUAUACAUUUAAUAUGAAACUCAACGUGCACUUAAAAUAUCAACAAAAACGUAGUAGGAGCUGAAGUAUAUGAGGCAUCUUUGUAUAAACCAACACCAAGACCGAUUUAACUAUAAAAUCAACUUUUUUUUUAUAAGCAAAAGAUUCAAUUAUAAAGAGUAUAAGGAGUAUUCAACUCUUACAAUUCUGAAAUAAAUCAUUAGAUGUUAAAAAUGCAAAAUAAUAGAUCUUUACACCAAUUUAAAAAUACAAGAGAACACUUAUAAAUUAUUCUACCAAUAAACCAAAAUCAAAAAAUAUAAAUAAUUUGAUCCACUAAAGAUCGUAAGUUAUUGACCAUAUAUUAUUUCCAAAAAAAUCAACUUGUUGUUUAAUGGGCCCGUAUAGUGUAGGUUUUUUAUAGGGUACAAUAUAUAUAGUCUAGGUUUUUUAUCUUCAUCUUGAGGAAGGUUCUAAGCACUUUUCUCGGUUUGGUGAUAUGUUGCAAUUAUCUAGGAGUUCCAAAGUCAAACAUUUGAUUUGGCUUACAACUACUUGAAGCAUUUGGAGACUUAGGAAUAAUAUUAUUUUCAGGGGGCUGUAGCUGAUAGUGAUAGUUUGGUAGAUAAUAUCAAACUUAUUUCUUGGUUAUGGUUUAUAGGACGCUCGGGGAAUUCUUGUAAUUAUAAUUAUUCCAACUGGUGUACUAAUCCGUUAGAUAGCCUUUCAAGCAUCUAAUUGAUUUUUGUGGUUCGAGUUUUAACACUUGAACACUCGUUUAUUAAUAUAUAUUUUUCUUAUCAAAAAAAAAAAAAUAUCCCGCAUAUUAAUUAAUUAUAAAUUUAUCAAAUCUACAUAAUUAUUAAUUAAUAUGAAUUAACAAUUCUUUAGGUCAAAAAAGAGAGAAACCAUUCUACUAAUUGUCAAAAGAAUUAUUACAUUCAUUAUCAAAAAAAAAAAAGAAUUAUUACAUUCCCUCAAAAAAUAUGAUUAAAUAUUCUAAAAAACUAAUUCUAAAGAUAAAAUUAAACAUGACAUUAAAAAAACAAACUUUGGUACAUAUUUCUUAUUCAAAAUGUACUCAUUUAUUUCAAUAGUUGCACCAAAAUAUUCAACAAAAGAUAGUUGCUGUAACAUCUUUCAUCAAAUUACAAAGUAAAUGAGUAGAUUAAAAUCCGAUAUAAAACUUUAUUAAUCGCAUAUAUGCUACCUAAAAAAAACAUUUACUUGCAUGCUUAUUUCAAAUUUUCAUCAUUCAUAAUCAAACAUUAACAUAGAUAAUUUUUAUACAUGCAGUCCCUCAACACAAUCAUAAACUAUUGUUUCGGCUGUUUGACGACGACACCGACACUGGCGAAGGUGGCAGUGUUGAUACCCUCCAUCUAAGUCAUAGACACUAGAGAAAAAAAAAUCUUUUUCAUGGUUUUUUAUUCACCGGCACGACGACAAUCUUUUUCUUCUUGUUUUCAUUUUCAAUAUCCCUCUUAUAAAUUGUUGAUAAACGAAGAAUUUUCCUUUUCUUCUUUUUUUUGUUAUUAGUAGCCAUUUUUUUGUCAUCAAUAGUAACCAUGUCAUAAACUGAUGAUAAAUGCUGAAUUUGGAUCAAUUCAUCUUGGCUAUAUAAGUGUGGUAAAUCAUGUGAUAUAAACACAUCCAUGUAACGUGGUGCAAAAGGUUGUGUAGAGUUUCUCUCACGUGAUUCAAAAUCUUCAACACUUUUCACCAAUUUCCAUAGUUGUUUCAUGUUUCUCAUGAUGAUGAAAUGAUGAAUUGAUGAUGAAUGUUAAUUUGAGUAUGGUUAUAAGCUUGUGAUGGAAAUUGUAGUGUCGAGAAUGAAAUGUAAUAGGGGGCUCUUGGUGUAUAUAUAUAUAUAAUAAUGGUGACAAAAUAAAAAAAAUGGGUUUUUUUAGAAAGAAAAAAAAAAGAAUGAUUAAUUAAGAGCCUCGGUCAAACGAAUACUUUCUCUGAUCCUUGAUAUAAAAAAAAUUACUUUUUAGAUUCAUUGAAUGAUUGAUGUAUUUGGCCUAAAAAGUGGACUAGAUACAUCGAUCAUUCCAUGAAUCUAAUAAACAAAAAGUUUCUUAUAUAAUGGACUAGAGGGAGUAAUAAUUAAGAGUCAAAUUAAUUUUUCUGUCAAGAAAAAAAAAAGAGAGUCAAAUUGAUUUAUGAUUAAAUUUAAAGAUGCUUUUUAUAUAGACAUAAAUAUGUUUUUAAUAUUGUCACUUUAUAAUAUUUAAAACAAAAAAAUUAAAAAGUAAAAUAAAGAAAAUUAAAGAUACAAGGACGUCAAAGGUGCAUUCAUGAAAGUAAAUUUUGUAUAUCAAGGACACAUAUGAAAUUUGUCACGCUUUAGAGUCAAACAUAUAUAAAUGAGAUAAAUUUUUCAAAGGUCAAAUAUAUAUAAGUGAGACAAAUUUUUUAUUAUUCACAAUUUUUUUUUACCAUAAAAUUAAUAAACUAGACAUUUGUUAUUUGUGUAAAAAAAUUAAAAUAUUUAUUUCACCUAUACAUCAUAAACUAGACAUUUGUUAUGAUGGCUAACGUUAACUAAGUUUGAGGUUAAUCAGGACCAUAUUAGAGCUCAAUUCAAUAUUAGCUAAACGUGUAAAAUGAUAAAAUAGGAUAUAAGAUGAUUAAUUCUAUAGUUAUUUUAUAGAUAAUUUUAUUUAGUCUCUUAUAAAACACAAAAUUUAGAAAAACACUGUUCAUUAUUUAAAAUGCAGCGAACCUUAUAAAAAUUCUUUUAUCGAUCGUCAUCACCCUUUCCUCACCGAUGAGGGAAAUAUUUUGAUUGAAUAUGUGUUUUAUCCAUGAAUCAUUCAUUUUAUAAUAUAGUAAAUUGGUGCACCUAAUAAAAAACAAAACAUCAACAUCAAUUCUAAAAACCAAAACUAGCACCUCAACUACAAGAAAAUCCGACUCCUCUCGAAGAGAAGAUAAAGAUCAACCAUUGAGGCAAGAUAGAUAGACACCAUUGGGGACUCUAACCAAUCAGAAUCGUCCAGACCCAGCUCCAUGCCACAACAAACUAUUAUGGUUCCAACAAAAAUUAGGAUGAAUAUAAUGCCCCACUCAUAUAGAAGGUGCUAGAAUUUUUAGCCAUAUACUAUUUUCAAGAAGUCAGUUUCAUCCUAUCUGUGUAAGAUUUUGGUUAACAUCAGAGUAAACCAAAAUUUCCUAACAUAUUAGGGGGUAUAAAAUGACAUAAUCUUAAGCUAAUAUAUUCAAUGAGAAGAUAAAAUGAUUUAAAACCGUUUUUUUUAUGAGAUAAGUAGUAAAUAUAUAUUUAAAUGUAAUAUUCGAAUGUAAAUAAAAAAUUAUAUUAAACUAUAUAGUGCAUAUAAUUACUUUCUAUUUUAUUCAAAUUCUAUGAAUUAAAAUAAAUUCGUAUAGAUAUUGUGGUAAGAAAUGCUUUAGGAAAAAGUGCAGAGGAGUUAAAACCUAUGAAUCUACCAUACUCCCAUUUGUUGUGUAUGAAUCCAACAAAAGGAAUUUAUUUUUUUUAUCAAAAUCCAACAAAAGGAUUUAAAACCUAUGAAUCUACCUACCAUAAUUUUCAUCUUAAUGAUUAACCACUAGCAUACACAUUUAAUUUCAUCCUAUCCUUUCAACGAAUUUGAACCCAAUUAUAAUGAACCAACAAAACAUUAGGAAAAUUCCUUUAUAAAUAGCUUCGUAUCUUAGUCACAUAAAUUACUAUAUCAUUGACACAAGUGUUGGAGUGAUAUAGAUCAUAAUCAUAUAUAUUUUUUUUAAACAUUCAAUAUAAGUAUGUCAAUUGUAGAUUUGUUAAUAUUUACCGAAGGUGGGAAUCGAACUCAAGAUUAUCUUUAUAACUUCACUCUUCGAACUCAAGAACAUAGGCCGCCAGCCAACAAAUUAAUAGAUGUGUUUAUCAUUGGAGAUAUCGCUUUGGCAAUUCUUCUUUUCGUCGCAAUCCAUUAUUGGAGGCUCAACAGAAACACGCCCAUCACAAAAUGGCCUGUGCUUGGAAUGCUACCUGGUCUCUCACACAAUGUAUCCAACAUUCACAGUUAUAUAAACUUAAUUUUGCAACAAAAUGGAGGAACAUUCAUUUUUGAAGGACCAUGGUUAACAAACAUGGACAUUGUUUUCACCGGUGAUCCCAUGAACGUGCAACACAUCACAAGCACAAAAUUCGCAAACUACGGAAAAGGAAACGAUUUCAGAGAAAUUUUUGAAGUUCUUGGAGACGGAAUUUUCAGGUAUGAUUCCAACAUUUGAAAGCACGGUUGAACCCUAGUCUAUUUUUAUUUUAUUUUAUUUGGAAAUUAUAUAUAUGUUAGUUAUUAUACAACCUUACUUGAACAAGAAGAUCCGUACUAUAGACUCGUACUAUUGUGUCCUUGAUUGCUAAGGAGACAAGAACAAUAUAAGUCUGGUGAAUGACACAUGACUGUGUGAUCAAAGCAUGAUUAACGACUAGAUAUCUUGUGCUCAUCAUCAUCCUCAGGUGUGAAGGAUCAUUCUCAGCCAGUAAUACUGGUUGGGGUGGCCGCACGAUUGUCUGACAUACUCUAUAAAAAAACAUCUUGUUCUAGUUAUUAUGAGUACGGAAUAAUAAUACUGACUGGGGUGGUCGCACGAUUGUCUAACGAUUAUAUAUAUUCUAGUUAUUAUUCAUGAUAUUCUUGUUCUUAAUGCUUUUUUGAAUUGACUAAUUUGUUAAACGAUCUUUUGAUUUAAUCUUUAAUUGGAAAAUGUUUUUCAGGUCUGAUUCCGAAAUUUGGAAGUACAAUAGAACACUACUUCAUUCAAUUUUCAAACAAGAAAGUUUUCAUGCAUUUAUUCAAAAAACAGUUGAGGAAAAAGUUUGUAGUUGUCUUCUUGUGUUUCUUGACAAUGCUUGUAAAGAAGGUGUACAAGUUGAUUUACAAGAUGUUUUUCAAAGAUUAACUUUUGACAACAUAUGUUCUGUAGUUUUAGGAUUUGAUCCUAGAUGUCUUUCUAUUGAUCUUCCUAAAAUUACAUGUGAGAGAGCCUUUACACAAGCAGAGGACACAUUGUUCAAUAGACAUGUAAAGCCAAGAUUCUUAUGGAAGUUGCAAAAAUGGUUUCAAGUUGGUGAAGAGAAACAAUUUAUAGAAAAUAAUAAAAUUGUUGAUAAAAUGUUGUAUUCAAAAAUCAAAUCUAAAAGAGAAAUGCAAGGAGAAAAAAAUUUUGAUUUGCUAAAUACUCUUAUGAAUGAAGUAGGAGAUGAAAAAAUUCCAAUAGAUGAUAAGUUUUUGAGAGACACAUCAAUUAAUCUACUUGCGGCCGGAAGAGACACUAUUAGUUCUGGCCUUACUUGGUUUUUUUGGUUAGUGGCAACACAUCCUUUGGUUGAAGCUAAGAUUCUUGAAGAGAUUAAACAAAAUUUACCAUCAAGAGAAAAUAAUUGGAAAGAUUUAGGGACAAAAGGACUUGGCAAGUUAAUUUAUCUACAUGGAGCUUUAUGUGAAGCCUUAAGGCUUUAUCCACCGGUUCCUUUCGAGCAUAAAUCCGCACUGCAUUCCGAUGUGCUUCCUAGUGGACAUAAGAUUAAGUCCAAUGCAAUGAUAGUGUAUUCGCUAUACGCAGUUGGAAGGGUCGAGGAAAUAUGGGGAAAAGAUUGCUUGGAGUUUAAGCCAGAGAGAUGGAUUUCGAAGAAAGGAGGGAUAGUUCACGUACCAUCUUACAAGUUCAUUGCUUUUAAUGCUGGACCAAGGAGUUGUUUGGGAAAGGAUAUAAGCUUUAUUGAGAUGAAAAUUGUUGCUGCAGCAAUAUUGUCAAAUUAUCACAUUCAAGUAGUGGAAGAUCAUCCCAUAAUCCCAAGUGUUUCUGUUGUCCUACACAUGAAACAUGGCUUGAAGGUUAAUGUCAAAAAAAGAAGCAUUUGAUUUGAUGAUCAAGGGAAAUCUUCUGAAAAUAUCAUUACCAUGUUCAAAUGCUAUACAUAAUGUUUAUUUAGUUAUGAAUUCUAGAUAUACGCUAUGUUUGGUCAUUUUUUGUUUUUUUAUUCCUAGAAUUUCAUUUGUAUUGUAAAAUUAUUUGAUUAAUCUUAUAAAAAAAAAUUAUUUGAUUAAUAUUCAUGUUUGUUUUAUGGUUAUUUAUUAGCUACUUCUAUACAUUAAUCUCCUUGUUUUACAAUGAGUGACCCAACCCGCUACUUGAAAUGCGACAGGGUAAAAAUGAAAAGCAAGAGCCGGGCAAGAAGGGCGAGGGUCGCGAGAAAAGGAUUCCCCGACUAUUAAUCAACAAGACCAAUAAUAAAGGAAGCCCAAUAAAAAAAUCCAUUAGAUAUAUAACCUUACAACUUGUAUUAUGAGGGUGUGAAAAGAAACUAUUUUAAUGGUAGUCUUAUCAAUUUCCAAGAAGGAAGGUACUAUCAUUAAGAGAGCGUCUUUUCACACCCUAUAAUUCUUAACAGCCACCCUCAUUUGGAUUUAUCGAUCUAGAUAGGAAAAAUGGGUAUAUCUCAAAAGAUAAAAUAUUAAAAAGAUGAUUCGUAUUAAAAUCCGCCAUUUAUCAAAUAAACUAUUAAUAUAUGCAUAAAAUAUAAAAUAAUUAAAUUUUAUUUGUCUAAAACUUUAAAUAUAAAUCAAGAGUGUGUGUAUCAAGACAUUAAAUCUAUAAAAUAUGAAUUUGUCUAAUGAAUUAUUGAUUGAUGUUGCAAAAAAAAGUUCAUACGAUAGAUUUUACGUGCAUUUAAAAACUUUUGUAUUGAGUUUAAUAAAAGACGAAUAAAUCAGAUGUCAUAUAAUUUGCUAUAUGAUUGAUGUAUAGACUUGUAUAAAUUAUUCAAUUAUGAAAGAAAUACUAUAAACAUUAUUUUGUAAAAAUAAAUAAUAAUAAUAAUUGCAUAUUUGAUCCCUUAUGUUUAUUUUAGGUUUUAAUUUGAUCUCUUACGUUUAAAAAGUUUUAAGUUGGUCUUUUUAGUCAAAUUUUUGUUUAAAUCGUCUACAUAGCUAAUGGAUUUGAGUACUCGGACAACUUAAGAGCGUACUAUGCGAAAGUUUUAGAAGAAAUAAACUCAAAAUUUAAUGAAAAGUUAGAAGAAAUAAACUCAAAAUUUAACAAAAAUGACGGACUUAAUAUUGACAUCAAUAACAUAAGGGACCAACUUAAAAUAUUUUACACGUAAGGAACUAAAUUAAUUAAAAUAAACAUAGGGUCCAUAAUUAAUCGAAAGCAACUUGUUAUUAAUUAUGUUGGUCUGAUGGUAUUGACUUGAGACCUGAGAGUGUGCACCUCCUUGAUGUCUCAGAUUCGAUUCUCUCUAGUACCAAUUUUGGUGGGCUAAUUUAGCUUCUUAAAAAAAAAAACUUGUUAUUAAUUCCAUUUGCUUAUAAAAAAAAUUAAAAAUCAACUUGUUGUUUAAUGGGCUCGUAUAUAUAUAGUCUUAGGUUUUUUUUAGGGUACAAUAUAUAUAGUCUAGUUUUUUUUUUUUUACAAUAAAUAUAUAGUCUAGUUAAUAAUACCCCACGGAUAUGAAUUUAAUUAUAAAUUUAAAUCAUGAGUUAUUAUUUGUCAAACCUACAUUAAUUAAUUUUUUUUUAAAGAGAGACCUACAUAAUUAAUUUUAUUUUUUUUUGACGAAUCCUACAUAAUUAAUUAUUAACUUGUAUGAAUGAAUCAGCUAUUCUUUUGGUCAAAAAAAGAGAAAUCAUUCUACUAAUUGUCAAAAAAAAUUAUUACAUUCCCUCAAAAAAGAUAAAAGUAAACAUGACAUUAAAAAAAAAAAACUUUGGUACAUAUUUCUUAUUCAAAAUGUACUCAUUUUUAAUUCAAUAGUUGCACCAAAAUAUUCAACAAAAGAUAGUUGCAGCUAGCUUUCAUCAAAUUACAAAGUAAAUGAGUACAUUAAAAUCGAUAUAAAACUUUAUUAAUCGCAUGCCACCUAAAAAAAAAAACCAUGUUAAUUGCAUGCUUAUAUCAAAUUCUCAUCAUUCAUAAGCAAACAUUAACAUAGCUAAUUUUUAAUGCAGUCCCUCAACACAAUCAUAAAUUGUUGGCUCGACCCGUUGACGAUGACACCGACGACACUGGCGAAGGUGGUGGUGUUGAUGCCCUCUCUAUCAUAGACACUUUCUUUGAUGUCGAUGCUUUCUUCGAUCUUGAACCCUUCCUUGAACUAGAAAAAAAUCUUUUUCUUAGUCUUUUCUUCACGGGCACAACGACAAUCUUUUUCUUCUCGUUUUCAUUUUUAAUAUCCCUCUUAUAAAUUGAUGUUAAACGACGAAUUUUUCUUUUCUUCUUUUUUUUGUCAUUAGUAGCCAUUUUUUUGUCAUCAAUAUUAACCAUGUCAUAAAUUGAUGAUAAAUGCUGAAUUUGGAUCAAUUCAUCUUGGCUAUAUAAGUGUGGUAAAUCAUGUGAUAUAAACACAUCCAUGUAACGUGGUGCAAAAGGUUGUGUAGAGUUUCUCUCACGAGAUUCAAAAUCUUCAACACUUUUCACCAAUUUCCAUAGUUGUUUCAUGUUUCUCAUCAUGAUGAAUUGAUGAUGAUGAAUGUUUGAGAAUGGUUACAAAGUUGAGAUGGAAAUUUUAGUGUGGAGAAUGAAAUGGUAUAGGGGGCUCUUGGUGUAUAUAUAAUAAAAGGUGACAAAGUAAAUAAAGGUUUUUUUUUUACAGAAAAAUAAAUAAAUAAUGUUUAAUUAAGAGUCUUGGUCAAACUAAUAAUAAUUAAGAGUCAAAUAAAUUUUUCUGUCAAAAAAAGAGUCAAAUAAAUUUUUAUUUUUUAUUUUAUAAUAAAGAGUCAAAAAAAUUUAUGAUUAAAUAUAAAGAUGUUUUUAAUAUUGCCAUUUUAGAAUAUAUAUUUAAACCAAAAAGAAAAAAACAAAGAUAAAUAAGGGAAAGAUACAAGUCAAAGGUGGACCCUUUUGAAAGUAAAUUUGGUAUAACAAGGACACAAAUGAAAUUUGUUAUAUAAUUUGUCAAAUAAGUGAAACAAUUUUUUAUCAUUCACAGGUUUAUUUUUACUAUAGAAUCAAUAAAUUUCAUUAUUAAAUUAUGCGACAUCACAUAUAUUUUAUUUGAUUCAAUGGUAAGACUUACUAAUCCAAUGUUUUAGAAAAAAAAUUAAAAUGACUUAUACUGAUCCAAUUCUAAAAUUAAAUUUAUAUAUAGUAAAAAAUAUUUCUCAUUUAUACACUUUGACUGACAUUUGUUACUAUGGCUAAGUUCAAGGUUCACCCCAAAAUUAAUCAGGACCAUAUUAGACCCUCAAUUCAAUAUUAGCUAAAAUUAAGAGUAAAAUGAUAAAAUAUGAUGUAAGAUAAUUUAUUCAAUAGUUAUUUUAUAUCUAAUUUAAUUUAGGUUAAACAAGUUUUGUUCUCUUUUAAAUAUAUCUCAUUUUGUUUUUAGUCCCUCUAAUAUUCUUUUCAAACAAUGAUCCUUCAAAUGUUUUCAAUUAGCGUCUCUGCUUUUAAAAUAACUCAUGUGUAUCCUUUGGAUUUUUUAAUUAUUUUUUACAGUCAUGUUUAAACAGAAAAUGUGAAGAUGUGUUUGAUUAUUUCUUGACAUUUCUUAAAAAUAAUAAGUGAAUGAAUUCCUUAAAAAUAUUUUAAGACCAUUGUUUAAAGAACAAUUUUAAUGAGACUAAAAAUAAAUGGCUUUAAUGCACUUUUGAUCCCCCUAUUUUGAAAAACCUGAACUUUUGAUCCCCCUAUUUUAAAAGCCAACUUUUUGAUCCCCUAUUUUGANNNNNNNNNNNNNNNNNNNNNNNNNNNNNNNNNNNNNNNNNNNNNNNNNNNNNNNNNNNNNNNNNNNNNNNNNNNNNNNNNNNNNNNNNNNNNNNNNNNNNNNAGCUGAACUUUUGAUCCCCCUAUUUAAAAAGCCAACUUUUUGAUCCCCCUAUUUUGAAAAAUCUGAAGUUUUGAUCCUCCUAUUUUAGAUUUUUCUGAAUUUUAGUCACCGAACUCAAUUUGGUCAAAUUUUUGUUGAUGUGUCAAGCUCAUUAAUGACGUGGCAGUUUUCAUGUUGACAAAACAUUUCCAUGUCACUAAUUUUUUUUUUAAAAUCAAAUAUUUUAAAAAUAUUAAAAUAAUAAAAUAAUUAAUGAUAAUUAAAAAAAAAUAAAAUAAACCUUUUUACAUUAUACAAUAAUAACUAAAAUAAAACUCUUUACAUUAUUAUAUAACUAAAAAUCAGUAAAUUACUCAAAGAAGUCAGAAAAGCAAACGUUGGUUCCCAAAUCAUGACACCCUAAGAAAUCAGAAACACAAAUAAUCACGCUGGUGUUAACAUCCUUCGUCUUUGUUCGCUCCCUCUCAAUCGUUUAUUGACUUUGUUCUCAAUCGUUAACUUUUUUGGGGUAAUUUAUUGAUUUUUUAUCAUAUAUAUACAUGUAUAGAGGUUAAUUUUACUGUUUUUUUAAAUUAUAAUUAAUUUAUUUAUUUAUUUUUUAAUACUUUUAAAAUAUUUGAUCUAAAAAAUUAAAGACAUGAAAACGUUUUGUCAUGAUGGACACUACCAUGUCAAUAAUAAGCUUGACACAUCAUCAAAAAUUUGACCAAAUUAAGUUCGGUGACUAAAAUUAAAAAAAAAAUCUAAAAUAGGAGGAUCAAAACUUCAGAUUUUUCAAAAUAGGGGAUCAAAAAGUUGGCUUUUUAAAUAGGGGGAUCAAAAGUUCAAAUUUUUCAAAAUAGGGGGAUCAAAAAGUUGGCUUUUAAAAUAGGGGAUCAAAAGUUCAGAUUUUUCAAAAUAGGGGGAUCAAAAGUGCAUUAAAGUCAAAAUAAAAUAAGAUAUAUUUAUAGAUCGAAAAACUUAUUUAACCGUUUAAUUUAUGUAACAAUGUGAGACAAAAUGUCUUUCAGAAAAUGUGUUAGUCACAUAAAUUGUACCGUAAAACACAAUAUAUCUAUAUCCAACAAGGACAUGGAUAUAUUAUACUAUCCCCAUCCUCAUAUAUAUACCUAUUUACAUCCCUAGUGAAAGGGGAUUAGAUUCUUUGAGGAGAAUGUCCAAUUAAUAAGGCUGAAUUUGUAGUUCCUUUGAAUAGAACAAAAUCUCUUAGUGCAAACCAAUUUUACAUACAUAUAAAAACAUAUUGAUGUUCAAAUUUAAUUUAAUUUAUCAAAUUAAAAUUCUUUUAUGAUGUACUUGUAGCUAGGGACAAAAUUAAUUUUGAACCAAUAUGUAGCAAACGAUCUUUUUUUUUUUGGGUGAAUAUGUAGCAAACAACCUAUUAGGUUUAAAAUUAAUCUUUUAUAUACACUCCUGCUUCAAAAAUAUAUCUUUCGAAUUCAUACACUCACUUGGACACUCACUCAAAAAAAAUUGAGAUAUAAAAGGUACAUAUAAAUCUUCUUAUAUACUCUUCAUUAAGUACCUCACUUAAAUACUACUAAUAGUAAUAAGGAUGAUCUAGAUUCCUUAUUGUUCUCAUGAUCUUCUAUAUUUAACCUACUUUGAGAUUUCUUUCUUGAAUUAAUUAUUGUCAAUUUUUGAAACAUGCUAAGCUUAUAUUUGAAAGUGAGUUGCUAACAUCGGGUUCGAUUCCUGGGUGGAACAAUUUUUUGGCCAGACUUUACUUACCUCGUGACCGAACUCUGGACUACUAGACCCCUUUUCCCUAGGAACCAGAGGGUUACAAACCAAAAAAAAAAAAACAAAAAAAGUGACUUGCUAACAUGUUGGACACACAAGAUGAAUUAUAUAUAAAUGUAGUCGAUAUUGCAUUGAAAAUUAAAAUGAGUUAUUCAUUUUGGGAGAAUAUGUUAUUACAAAUGUGUCACUCAUUCUAGAACAAAGAGAUUAAUGUAUAAAAGUAGCUAAAAAUAAAUAACCGUAAAACAAACAUGAAAUAUAAUCAAAUAAGUUAAAUAAAAAUUUUCAAAUGCUUCUUUUUUUGACAUUAACUUUCAAGCCAUGUUUCAUGUGUAGGACAACAGAAAUACUUGGGAUUAUGGGAUGAUCUUUCACUACUUGAAUGUGAUAAUUUGACAAUAUUGCUGCAGCAACAAUUUUCAUUUCAAUGAAGCUUAUAUCCUUUCCCAAACAACUCCUUGGUCCAGCAUUAAAAGCAAUGAACUUGUAAGACGGUACAUGAAUUAUCCCUCCUUUCUGCGAAAUCCAUCUCUCUGGCUUAAACUCCAAGCAAUCUUUUCCCCAAAUUUCCUCGACCCUUCCGAUCGCAUAAAGUGAAUACAUUACUGUUGCAUUGGACUUAAUCCUAUGCCCACUAGGAAGCACAUCAGAUUCCAAUGCACAUUUAUGCUCAAAAGGAAUUGGUGGAUAAAGCCUUAAGGCUUCACAUAAAGCUCCAUGUAGAUAAAUUAACUUACCAAGUCCUUUUGUCCCUAAAUCUUUCCAAUUAUGUUCUCUUGAUGGUAAAUUUUCUUUGAUCUCUUCAAGAAUCUUAGCUUCAACCAAAGGGUGUGUUGCCACCAACCAAAAAAACCAACUAAGACAAGAACUAAUAGUGUCUCUUCCAGCUGCAAGUAGAUUAAUUGAUGUGUCUCUCAAAAACUUAUCAUCUAUCAAAAACUUAUCAUCAAUUGGGUUUUUUUCAUCUCCUACUACAUUCAUAAUAGUAUUUAGCAAGUCAAAUUUUUUUUGUCCUUGUGUAUCUCUUUUGGAUUUGAUUUGUGAAUACAACAUUUCAUCAAGAAUUUUAUUAUUCUCUACAAAUUCUUUCUCUUGACCAACUUGAAACCAAUUUUGCAACUUCCACAAGAACUUUGGCUUUACAUGUCUAUAGAACAAUGUGUUUUCUGAUUGUGUAAAGGCUCUCUCACAUUUAAUUAUAGGGAGAUCAAUAGAAAGACAACUAGGAUCAUAUCCUAAAACUAUAGAACAUAUAUUGUCAAAAGUUAACCUUUGAAAAACAUCUUGUAAAUCCACUUGAAUACCUUCUUUACAAGCAUUGUCAAGAAACAUAAAAAGACCAUUACAAACUUUUUCCUCAACUGUUUUUUGAAUAAAUGCACGAAAACUUUCUUGUUUGAAAAUUGAAUGAAGUAGUGUUCUGUUGUACUUCCAUAUGUGGGAAUCAGACCUGAAAAGCAGCAUUAAGAACGAGGAUAAAACAUCGAUUUCAUGAAUAACUAAUAUGGAGUCUGCUUGUCCAAAAAGACAUAUUUUAAUCAAUAACAUCAGAAUACAACUUCAGACUAAUAUCGUUAUCAACCUUCUAGUUACUUAAAAAGAACGGUCCAAAUAAUAACCUGAUAUUUGGUCUAAAUGGGCCCAGCCUGAAUCAUUAUCGAGUUAUUUGAUCCAUCUUAUGCAUGUAUUUCUAUUAAUUAAUUUAUUUUCAAAUGAUUGCAAUAUACUUAUUUUCAAUUGUUAAUUAAUUACAUUUUUGUCAGAAUAAUUAAUAUGGUAUUGUUGUUGAUUUUCAAAGAGAGUUAAAUGAUAAAAUUUUGUGUUUAGAAAUGGACCUAUAUAUGAUUAUAUUUAAAUACAAAAUAUUGUUGGUUUCCAUUUAUUUUUAGUAAUGUUAUUUUUUUUUUCUAAAUUCGGUCACAAGUUACUUAUAAAAUUAAAAAUUUAUCUAUUAAAUUUAGUUAUUAAAUCUAUCUUUUUUUUAGUAAAAAAAUAUUGUUUUAAAAGUUACAUAUAUACAAAUUUUAAUAGACCCACAGGGCCGACCUUGACCACCCUAGACAGUAUUGUUGGCUAGGAAUGAUCCUCUGCAGCUAAGGAUGAUGAGCACAACAUGCAGAUCAUCAUGGCCGUUAAUCACACAACAUGUCAUCCACCAGACUAUUUUCCUGUCUUCAAAGAAAUCAAGAAGACAGUAAUACUGGUUCAUAGAAUAUUUGAUGUAUUUAGUCUAUAAUAUGGAUUAGAUCAUACAUCAAACAUUUUAUGAACCUAAAAAAUAAUUUUUUUUCUUAUAAUAAGAACCGGAAGAAGUAACCAGAAUAUAUACAAUAACCAAAUAAAAAAAAAUAUACAAUAUUGUUCUAUUGUACUUCCAAUGUGGGGAUCAUACCUGAAAAUUCCUUCUCCAAGAAUUUCAAAAAUCUCUCUGAAAUGGUUCCCUUUUCCAUAAUUUGCAAAUUUUGUGCUUGUGAUAUGUUGCACGUUCAUAGGAUCACAGGUGAAAACAGUGCCCAAAUUUGUUAACCAUGGUCCUUCAAAAAUGAAUGUUCCUCCAUUUUGUUUCAAGAUUAAAGUUAAAUAGUUGUGAAUGUUGGAUAUAUUAUGUAUGUAAGCAGGUAGCAUUCCAAGCACAGGCCACUUUGUCAUGGAUGUGUUUCUAUUGAGCCUCCAAUAAUGGAUUGCCACGAAAAGAAGAAUCGCCAAAACGAUAUCUCCAAUAGUAAACACAUCUAUUAUUUUGUUGGCCGGCGGCAUAUGUUCUCGAGCUUGAGAAUAAAAUUGGUCUUGAGUUCGAUUUUCACCUCUACCGAUAAAUACUAAUAAUAAAUUUUUAAUUGACAUAGUUAUAUUGAAUGUUUUGGAAAAAAUGAUAUAUGAUAUAUAUAUAUCACUUGACUAAGUUACGAAACUAUUUAUAAAGCAAUAUUCCUAAAGUUUUGUUGGUUCAUUAUAUGAUUUGUGUUCAAAUUCGUUGAAAGGAUAGGACGAAAUUAAAUGAAAAUUAUGGUAGGUAGAUUCAUAGGUUUUAUAAUUCCUUUUGUUGGAUUCAUACACAACAAAUGGGAGUAUGGUAGAUUCAUAGGUUUUAAUUCUUCUUACCACAAUAUCUAUACGAAUUUAUUUUAAUUCAUUAUAUGCAGUUAUGUAGUAUAUAGUGUAACAUAAUUUCUUAUUUACAUCCGUUUACAUUUAAAUAUUUACUACUUCUGUUCCCUGUGAGCUUAGCUCAGUUGGUAGGGAUAUCACACUAUAUGUGUAGGAGUCCGGGUUUGAAUCCGGAACAUUCCACUUAUUCACCUUUAAGGUAAAUUUUCUAGCUAUUAGACAAAAAAAAUUACUACUUCUCUCACAUUUUUUACUAAUUCUAUCAUUAAAUAUACCACUAAAUAUAAUUUUAGGCUAUGUAUAAUUUUCUAAUUUUGUUUUUGUUCUCUUUAAAAAAAUUAUUUAUUUUUCUGCCGAGUAUUUGGUAUAUAGAGUGAAAUUUACUUCUUGGAAGUAGUUUAUGGGUAAUAAUUCUAGCAUGCCUUGCUACUCUAUGAAUGAGGAUGCACCCUAUUUUGCGCUGGAAAUUUGUUGGGGUAUGGAGCUGAGUCUCGAUGGUUCUGGUUGGUUGGAGUCCUCCUUGAUGUUUGUCUUGCUUGUUGGUUAAUCCAUUUUUUUUCUCUUUGAGAGGAGUCGGAUCUUUUUAUGAUUGAGGUGGUGGAAUUAGCAGUGGACCUAGGGGUGGGUUGAGGUGGGCCACCCCCAAAAGAUAAUUUUUUUUAUACGUAGGUAUUAAUUUAAAUGUAUUAUUAAUUAUUUUAAAUCACUCAGUAUAUAUAUAUGUACAAAUAUUAAUGUAAAUAUUAAUUUAGAGUAUAUUAUUGAUGAUUAUAAGUAACUCGAUACACAUAUUAGUUCAAAUAUUAGUGUAAAUAUUAGUUCAUAAUUAAUUGAAUUUAUAAUAUUAGAUAAAAUUAGCAGUUGAACUAGCAUAUAUAAAUAUGAAAUGACAAAAAAAUAUGUUUAAUUUAAUUAAUAUUUAAUUUUUUAAGUCCCAUAUUUUCACAUUUGUUUCAAUUUUAGUCCUAUCUUAAUUAUUUUUUUUCUUUUUUGCAGUAAAAUUAGCGAAUUUUAAUGCCAAAAAAAUGUGAAUUUUGGUCUCAAUUUUGAAGUUUCAUCUUUAGAUUCAAUGUUGGAGACAAUAAAUCACCUUUAUAGCCAAAAAUCACAAUUUUUAGAGUAAAAAUAUAGAUUGUUGGUACCAAAAUUGUAACAUAUAAAAAUAGAGGAGCAAAAAAUUUAAUUUAAAAAUAGAUUGACUAUUUUUCGGCUCAUCUACAAUAUUUUUUCUAGUUUUGCCACUGGGUGGAAUGUUCUUUUAUUUUUUUUGGAGUUAGUAUGCCCGCUUUGUUUCUGGUUGGUGUGUUUUUGAUUUUUUUUUUUUUUGUUUUCUUCGACUAUUUGUGUUUUUGUCUUGUUUGGGUGUUUNNNNNNNNNNNNNNUCAAAUUAUGAAGGGUUGGAUUAGAAAAAACCAAAAUAAAUACUACUACAUUCUAAAAUACAAGUAUAUGUCCCGUGAACCAUACCCAAAACAAUUGGUAUAAUAAUAGGUACAAUAAUAAAAUAAAAAAUAAAAAAACUUCAGUAAUUGCAUGCUAAGCUAAUCUUUAAUGCAAUAGCUCAAUAAAAUCAUAAACUGAAGGCUCGGCGGUUUGACGGUGGCACCAACACCCGCGGAGGCGGCAUUGUUGAUGCCCUCUUUGAAACUGAUUCUUUCUUCGAAGUUGAACCCUUCCUCAAUUUCGAAAAAAAUCUCUUUCUUGAAUUUUUCAUUGCCGGCGUGACAACGAUCCUUUUCUUCCCUUUUUUCUCUUCAAUAGCCUUGUUAUAUAUUGAUGAUAAAUGCAAAAUUUGGUUCAAUUCUUGAUUGCUAUAAAAAUGUGGUGCAACAUAUGAUAUUAAUCCAUCCAUGUAAUGAGGUGUGAAAGGUUUUGUUGAUUUUCUCUCACGUGACUCCAAAUCUGAAAUACUUUCCACCAAUUUCCAUAGCUGUUUCUUGUUCCUCAUGAUGAUUUUUUGUUGGGAUAUUACUUUUUCUACAACAUUUGAUAGGAACAAAUGUGUUUUCUAACAAACUACUCCAUUUCAUAGGGUUUGAAUAUAAUUUUUGCUUGGACAUUGGUUUUUGUUUUGUAUGUAAUAUUGUUGUUUCAUUCUAGUUUCUCUUGUUGAUCCGUUCGUUUGUAUCGGUCGCAAAAACCUAAAAAUCGGUGAAAUAGUGUGAGACGCGCUGAUCACGACGGAUAAUAUACUACUUUCACAAGAAUUUUCUGCGUAAUAUGCUAACCCUUCAUCAUGAUUUAAGAUUUAAGAGAGCCUUCUCAUAGAACAUAGAAUUGACAAGAAUAGUUUUUCUGUGUAAUGUGCAUUUUUUUUAGUUAUGUUGAAAGUGUCACAAGUUGCAUAAAUUAUGGGCAUACGAGAUUGUUACUAUUGAGAUAAAUUUGCCUUUGACCAAGCAAAAGCCAGGAAUACAUAUCAAACAUUACACAUAUAUAGCCAUUAGAGAAAUGUGGAAAUAAAUAAACCAUCUUUAAAAUACAAUUUAUUUUGUUUGGAUGAAAAUACAAUACUUUGAGUCACACUGCUUAACUAAAGUGAUAUUUGUCUUGUAAUGCUAGUAAUUUUUAUAACUAAAUUUAUUUAUUUUUUUGGGCAUUUUUUAAUUCAAAUUUUAAGUCCUUGUUUAGAUCGCUUGGCCCUAUGACAUAAAGUUUUUUGACAUAAUAAAAAAUAAUAACUUAAAGUUAAUUGUUAUAAAAAAAAUAUUUAUUUACUUUAGUUAAGUAUUGUAUAGAGUUUAUUUAUUUAGUGUUAGGUGUUUUGUUAGUUUUGUGAUAGCUUGUCUUUGGUUGUAUUCGCCUCUAUAUAGGUCUCAUCAUUUGGUGAACAUCUCUUAACUCUUAUCAAUCAGUAUUAGAGUCUGGUUUGACGAAUGGUUCGACCGGCUCUUUGAGAGUGUAAUUCAAAUUUCUUUUGAAGAGAGUGUAGUUUUUUUUAGCUUUUUACUACCAGUUUAAUCUGGUUCCGAAGUCAGUUCUGACAUCAAGUGGUUUUAACACCUCCUAAUCAAAGUUAUGCGGGAUCGAACUAUGAUCCUUCCUAUCAAGUUCAGUGUCAAUCACCACUGAAUCAAAGAUGGGUGAAAAGAGUAUAAUUUACUCAAAAAUUAUUAUAUUCUGUACAUAAUUAGACUAUUAAGGUUACGACAACCAUAUCUCUAUAAUAUUCCAAACACAACAAAUCUUACAAAUUUGCUUAUUUAGUCAAAACCGCCUUAUAUAUGGCAUAAUCUGAAUAGUGCUAUGUGCACUGUGUAUAUAUAGUAGCAACAUGAUCAAAUGAACAUCAAUUUGCCAAACCACGUUCCUUUAGUGGUUUAUGGUUAAUCCAUUGUGAAGGUGUUGCUGGUUGACUUGUACAAGUUGUAACGGAGUGUUACCAAAAAAGGAAAUGUGCCAUAUUUUGCAUAAAAUUGCUGGAAAGUUAUCAAAAAAUAUAUAUAUAUAGUUAACUGAUAAGUUGGCUGAUAACUGAAAAACUAGUAGAAUAAAAUUAAAGUGUUUAGUAAGUUUAGUUGUUGUAAAUACAAAAAUGACAUAGUUAUUUUUGUGAGUGAAUAGUUAUUAAAAUAAUAAGAUUAAAAUUGGAAUUAAAGGUUAAAACAAACAAAAAAAAAUGGAAUUAAAGGUUAAAAAAA